UGAAGUCGUCCUCGAUGUCACCGACAGUGAGGUCGGCAUGAGCGACCACAAAGAGCGCGCCCUCGCCGGUGCAGGUGAUCUCUGCCCUGCCAUCGUCGUUGUUGACGCCGAGGCGACCAGCGAGGGGGUAGAAGGCCACCAAGGUCUUGGCCAUAGCCUCCUUGAGCCUGGCCACGUCGAAGAAACCAUCGGCGGCGGCAACAGCAUUGCUGCUGGAGCUGUACAGGUAGACUGUUGGGGUGUGGCCUCUGUUGGCCAGAAUGAGGUCCAGCGGAGAGAGCCAGAGCCCCUCCGACGGUGUCGGCUCGCUCGACACUACAAACGACGACUCUACCACCUGCACUGCCUCAGAAUCCAUGACAUUCGCCAUUCUAAUUUCUGCUCGAUCACGCACAGAGUUCAAACUUUCUACUGCACCUGAAACUGAAAGGGACAGAGAGUUUAGACUGGAUUUAUAUAUCACACCCCGAACAGAUAUUGUUGUUCUGUAACAACAAUAAUAUUCUUUUUUGGAUUUAUAUAUGGACGGAUUGCGUCGUAACAACACAGAUAAUUUGGAGAUGGAAAAUCAAAAGGCACGCAUGCGUUGGUCUGCCAGAAUCCUUACCUCACCUAUGCGGUGGCAACAGGAGACAGGAAAUGGAAGAAUGGAAAUGGAUUGAGGACGGAGGGGGUGGCUCGCGUUGAGGCCUUGAGGGAACAAAUAUCAUGGGUUUCAAACGUUGAAGCGCCGACAAGGAACUUAUUCUUACUUGGAUGGGUGGGGGCAUGCAGCUGCGACUGGCACUACCGUGGCAGCCUUUGGGCCAAGUAAUCAGCACCAUUGCCUCAAUGGAGGUGGCGGUGCACAGCUAAUGAUGGUGGUUACGACAUUCAAUUUUAGCCAUGUGAUAUGACUGGCACGACACUAGCACUAGCACUAGCACUAACACGGUCAAACACGACACUAUAUUAGACAUGGCACGGUCAAACACGACAGCUAAUCCAUGCCUGCUUGAUAGUGCCGUCGUGCUGGUACAUUGACCCAGCCAUGAUAUAAGUGGCAAGACGUGUCGUGCCACCAGGCAUGCUGGCACGAUGGUGUUAGUGUGUUAUCAUGGGACACUAUAAGUGUCUCACGCAUCAAACAGCUCAGAAUAAGUUGAAAUUGGUCUGAACUCAGAAUUAUAGAUUCAUUUAAGACUCAAACAACUCGUAAUUACAAGUUCAAAUUGCUAAGAUGACAAAUUUAUUAAGAGCUUUAGUGCAAUGGCUGUCUCAUUAAAAACUUUUCUAGGUAAAAUUGAGAAACACUAGACAGGAAAAACGAGUAUAGCCCAACUCCAUAAAAGUUCAAUAUCCUUACAUCAAAGUCCAAGUCUAUAAUAUUACAACCCCAUUACAUAAAUGCUCUCAAAGAAACUAAUUAAGAUAAAGAUUUUUCAAAUGAUUCUUCAAGCUCCUUGUCAUCCACCACGUGUUGCACCCUUACUUUAGCAUCCUCCCAAUCUUUAAUGCAAGUCAACAUCUCUACCACGUAAGACUUCAACCUCCUCCGCCACUCGUCGAUGAACCUACCAGUCAGACUAAAAGUGGAUUCUAAAGUGAUGGUAGAGACAUAAACGGUUAAAAUAUCUUUAGCCAUAAUUGAUAGUACUGGAUAAGUAAGUUUGUGCUGAUGCCACCAAUGCAACAUGUUGAAAUCAUCAUUUAACUGGUUCACAGUGCAACAGUCCAAGUAUGAAAUGAGUUCAGAAGCAUUAGAAACUAAAGAGUUUGCAGCGUGCAGCAGGGAAGUUGCAGAGGAAUCUCUAGCCAUGUUUAGAGUAGAAACAAAAGAAUAAAUACCACCAGAAUCACCCACAUCAUCAGUAUCAUCAUAAAUUUCAUUCUAAGCAGACCUUUUCUUACCAGAUAUGUUAGGAGGGACAACCCUUCUCAACCUAACAGAUCCAUAUUUCUCUUCAUACUUAUUAUAAACAUCAGCAAGCCUAGCUCUAGUAGUAACCCGAUAAGCAGCAUGAUCUAUAGUCGUUAGGUUCAUCAAUAUCCUAAGCACUCUAUUGAAACCUUCCAUUUUAGCUCUAGGGUCCAAGAUGAAUGCAAAAGAGUAAACCAAAGAUAUGUUCCUCCAACAUUUAUUAUAUUUGUCUAUCAUAGGUUGAAUCACAUGUCUGAUGUGAGUGUCAUUAGCAUAGUUCUUUAGGUGCAUAGCAAUCUUAAUAAGAUAAUGAAACAUAAGGGAAGAUGUAGGAUAGUCAACACCAGACAAUGAAAUGCAACUUUAGAAUCAUAAAAGAGUUCAAAAAAUUUAAGUACUUUUUCUACAAUAACCCAAUGGUCAUCAGUUAAAAUAAAUGGAUCACCUUUAGCCCUAGGAUAGUUUGCAUGCAUGAUAGUAGUGAAAAGGACUAUGAGGAAACAAAUGCUUAAGCGUCAGAUAUGUGGAGCUCCACCUAACCUCCAUGUAUAACUGAAAUUUUCUAGGCCUAUAAUUAGUGGCGGUGAAAUAACUUUUAUAUGCAACAAUUCUCUAGUUAGAAGAGUUUAAAAAAGAUAUUGCAGUUCUAAAUGUUUCAAUCAAAGACUUAAGAGAAUCAAGGGCCUCUUUAACUAUCAGAUUGAUAAUACGAUAUGCAUAACUGAAAGUAGCCUAGAGGGGGGGUGAAUAGGUGAAAACUGAAAUUUACAAUUUUAAACACAACUACAAGCCGGGGUUAGCGUUAGAAAUAAAUGCGAGUCUGAAAGAGAGGGAAAAAACAAAUCACAAGGAAAUGAAGCGGAUGACAUGAUGAUUUGUUUUACCGAGGUUCGAUUCUUGAGAACCUACUCCCCGUUGAGGUGGUCACAAAGACCUGGUCUCUUUCAACCCUUUCCCUCUCUCAAACGGUCACCUAGACCGAGUGAGCUUCCUUCCUUGAUUUUUGGGUCACCUAGACCCCACAAGGACGACCACACAAUUGGUGUCUCUUGCUUCGCUUACAAGGCUUUGAGAGUAAGAAUAAGAGAAAGAAGAAAGCCAACCAAGCAACAAGAGCAACAAAAGAACACAAGUCAAUCUUCUCACAAGUCCUAAAAACUAGAGUUGAAUUGUGGACUUUGAUUUGAUCGGAGGCUUUGAUUUGUGUCUUGGAGUGUUGUGUAUUGCUCUUGUAUUGAAUGAGGAGUAGUGAAUGCUUGGAUGGGUGGGGCCAUGCAGCUGCGACUGGCACUACCCUGGCAGCCUUUGGGCCGAGUAAUCAGCACCAUUGCCUCAAUGGAGGUGGUGGUGCACAACUAAUGAUGGUGGUUACGACAUUCAAUUUUAGCCAUGUGGCAUGACUGGCACGACACUAGCCCUAGCACUAGCAUUAGCAUUAGCACAGUCAAACACGACACGAUCAGGCACGACACGAUCAAACACAAUAGCUAAUCCGUGCCUGCCUGAUAGUGUCGUCGUACCGGUACAUUGACCCAGACAUGAUACAAGUGGGCAGACAUAUCGUGCCACCAGACACGCUAGCACAAUAUUGUGUCGUCAUGGGGCACUAUAAAUGCCUCACACAUCAAACAGUUUAGAAUAAGUUGAAACUGGUCAGAACUUAGAAUUACAGAUUCAUUUAAGACUCAAACAACUCAGAAUUACAAGUUCAAAUUGCUAAGAAGACAAAUUUAUUAAGAGCUUUAGUGCAAUGGCUGCCUCGUUAAAAACUUGUCUAGGUAAAAUUCACCCUUGUGAGAAACCCUAGACAGGAAAAAGGGUAUAGCCCAACUCCAUAAAAGUUCAUUAUCCUUACAUCAAAGUCCAAGUCUAUAAUAUUGCAGCCCCAUUACAUAAAUGCUCUCAGAGAAACUAAUUAAUAUAAAUAUUUUCGAAUUAUUCUUCAAGCUCCUUAUCAUCCACCAAGUGUUGCAUCCUUACUUUAGCAUCCUCCCAAUCUUUAAUGUAGGUCAACAUCUCUACCACAUAAGACUUCAACCUCCUCCGCCACUCAUCGAUGAUCCUGCCAGUCAGACUAAAAGUGGAUUCUGAACUACUCGUCGAUGAUCCUACCAGUCAGAUUAAAAGUGGAUUAUGAAGAGAUGGUAGAGACAUGAACAGUUAGAAUAUCUUUAGCCAUAAUUGACAGUACUGGAUAAGUGAGUUUGUGCUGAUGCCACCAAUGCAACGUGUUGAAAUCAUCAUUUAACUGGUUCACAGUGCAACGGUCCAAGUACAAAAUGAGUUCAGAAGCAUUAGAAGCUAAAGAGUUUGCAGCCUGCAGCAGGGAAGUUGCAGAGGAAUCUCAAGCCAUGUUUAGAGUAGAAGCAAACGAAUAAAUACCACUAGAAUCACCCACAUCAUCAGUAUCAUCAUAAAUUUCAUUCUAAGGAGACCUUUUCUUACCAGAUAGGUUAGGAGGGACAACCCUUCUCAACCUUAACAAGAUAAUGAAGCAUAAGUGGAGAUGUAGGAUAGUCAACACUAGACAAUGCAACUGAAGAAUCAUAAAAGAGUUCAAGAAAUUUAAGUACUUUUUCUGCAAUAACCCAAUGGUCAUCAAUUGAAAUAAAUGGAUCACCUUCAGCCCUAGGAUAGUUUGCAUGCAUGAAAGUAGUGAAAGGGACCCUAUGAGGAAACAAAUGCUUAAGCGUCAGAUAUGUGGAGUUCCACUUAACCUCCAUGUACAACUGAAAAUUUCUAGGCCUAUAAUUAGUGGCAAUGCAAUAACUUUUAUAUGCAACAAUUCUCUAGUGAGAAGAGUUUAAAAAGAUAUUUCAGUUCUAAAUGUUUCAAUCAAAUACUUAAGAGCAUCAAGGGUCUCUUUAACUAUCAGAUUGAUAAUACGACAUGCAUAACGCUGAUUCAAGAACAUAGAUAUGGUAGUUUGGGAUUCAUCGCCAUCAUCAACAUUCUCAAUACCAAGAUUUGGUGACAAUAUAGGUCUAAGCAACCUCAUGGCAGAAACAUUAGAUGAUGCAUUAUCUAAGGUAAUAGCAAACACCUUAUUAGUCAAGCCAUAAUCAGCAAGCACACCAGCAACACGAUCAACAAUGUUUUGUCCAUUGUGUGACACAUCAAUAAGCACAAGACUAAGCACCCUUUUCUCUAGUUGCCAAUCAAGGUUUAUGUAAUGAGCAACAACACUAAGGUAGUCCACUUUGGCAUUACCAGACCAAAUGAGGUCAAACACACACAAUUAACAAUAGAAGAACUAAGAGUCUCAACAAGCUUAGCCUUUUUAUCAUUGAAGUAUUUAACCAUGUCUCUAGAGGUGGUUUGUCUAGAGAUAGGUACAAAUUGAGGAUUACGAGCAGUUCUAAUGUAGUAUUCAAAUGCAGCACUUUCAACCAUAUAAAUAGGAACUUCGAGCCUAGCAAGCAAUUGAACUAGUUCAUUAUGUGCCAUAGGACAAGACUCCCAAUUACGCAUACUACCAUCAGGAUUAAAAGAGAUAUGAGAUUGAGACAUGCGAGUUUUUUCAUGCCUCCUGGGACAUUUAUCCCUAUGUCGGGUAAGGUGGCUAGUGCCGCCACUAGAGAAAGCAGAGUAUUGCUUAGAGCAAUGGAUGCACUUAGCUAUGUACUUGACCUUCUUACCAUUGACAUUUUUGAAGAGUUUUUGGAAAUCUAACCACACCGCUGAGGUAGAAUGAUGAGAACUCUUGGCGCUUUGUUCAUCAUCUGCACCAGAGCAACUGAUGUCCUAUGAGCUUGAUAGAGACGACGACAAAGAUGACAAGACAAGGAUGAUGUCAUGCCAUGUGCCAGUGCCGUCCAUAGGUGGAUCAAGAUGACACAGGAGAGGGAGAAUAAGAGAUGAGUGAAAAUGAAUUAGGGUUAGGGUUCAACAACUCAUAGCGAUGCCCUCAACGUGCAAAUCCAAGAGACAAAUGGAGAAGGGGAGGGUUGAUCAAUAGAUCUAAGGGGAGGAACUGUGUUGUAGCCACGCUGGCCAUUGGAUUGGGAGAAGAAGAGGGCAAUGGAGAGUGUGGCAGUGGAGUGAAAGGUGCGAACUUGGAGGGCAGAGACUGAGAGAGUGAGAGACGAGUGGUUGAGUGGAGCACGAGACAUGAUUUGGGGUUAGGUUUGGUCGGAGUGGACAACUUGGAGUAACUAGUCAGGGGAGGGGCACUAGCUUUUGGGCCAUGUCGAGGUUGUGUCCCAAUAAGCCAUGCUGACCCAAUAAUCUAUGUCGUGCCUGGGCCAACCCUAAAGGCCAAGAUGGCGGCUGAGGCACGACACUAAGGUGGGUUGGGCCAGGCACAUGCAAUAGGUUAGUCAGGUCGGGCCGUACCUAGGUCAUGCUUUUUCAUGUCGUGCCUAGGCUGGCCCAUCGUGUUAGUGCCAAAUGGCCAUUUAUAGAUAUGUCCAACCGACAGUCUCGAAAUCUCCUGCCUCCUACCUACUGUUCUCGUGGAAAUAUAUUAUAUUUGUCUAAAUCUUAAGAAUGCUUCUUCCACUACAAGCAAUGUACUUAAUCUAAUAGACUGACAUAUUUAGAUUUGGUAUGUUGGUUGGCACACCUUGACAUACUUACCAUUAAGUAUGCCAUUGAAGGGACAAUCCUUUAUGCGAGCAAGUGUGAGAGGAGCAUAGUUAUUGAGAGCAUGGCCCUCACAAGCUCUUCUAUCCUUACCGACAUUUGUUCCUGAAAGGGAAAUGUGCCUUGAUCCAUUUCUAUAAAUGUUUUUGUGAUUAAUGACCAACGCAACGCUAUGGACUAACAUGUUUGCUAAGUAUGUGUAUGUAGAAAUCAACUUUAGAUAAACAGAGAAACUAAGUUGGAGGAUUUAAAUAAAUGAAGUUACAUAACUUAGAUUGGUUGGAUUAUCACUAGAAAUAUUUGUCUAAGUCAUGGGUACACUCAAGAAGCGAGUCAAAUUUAUUUGGAGAAGAAAAGUAAGAAAUAAUACAUGGUUCAGCUAUCUGAGGCGCACUAGACCUAAAUUCUAGAGAGGACUUGAAUGGGACUUUGGUGGCUUGGCACACUGGACUAGCCUAGUGGCACACCGGAUCGAAGUUCCAAAGAGCCCUAAAGAAUCAACUUCGAUGACCUAUCACACCGACCUAGUCCAGUGGUGCACCACACCUUGGGUCCAACUAUUUCUUCGGCCUUCAAUGGUCAUCUCAAUGACUAGCUGACAGGUGGCUGGUUCAGUGGGGCACCAGAUCAGACCAGCGCUCCGUAAGAAGGCAUGUCUGAGGCAGACCCCGUUGAUGGCGGGCGACCGUCGGAGGUUCGGCGGUGCACCGGACUGGUCCAGUGCAUUCGGCGUAAAGCAAACUUUCUGCAAUCUACACAACACCUUUUUGUGGCAUUUUGGGCUAUAAAUACCCCUCCUAUCAGCCUAGACAAGUACUCAAUUCACUCAAGAGAAACACAUUCAUUCCUAAACAUUCAUUGUGUAUGGCUAGCAAGAGUCUCUAAUUAUGUGCUUAGAGAAACACAUUCAUUCAUAAACAACCUUUGGAGAGAUCCAAGCACCCAGAAUUGCAAGCAUAGCCUAGAGAGAGUUGUGCUGCAAAUUAUGUGCUUGUGGUCUUAGUUCUUUGGUGUUGUUGUGCUCUUGUGUGCGUUCUUUCUCCCUCUUGUUUUAUUGGAGUUCUAAGUCACAUUCAUUGUGUAUGGCUAGCAAGAGUCUCUAAUCUUUACGGAGUACCUUGUGAGAAGAAACAUCAGUCAAAGGAACCGAGGGCUCAAGUUGAUCGGUGGAUCACAUGAAAACGUUGAAAGAGACCUAGUCCGAUGGGACACCUCAACGGGGGCGUAGGUUCUUUAGAGCCAAACCGUGGUAAACAAAUUGUUAUGUCUUGUGUUCUUCACUUUCUACAAUUUUUUCUUAAUCUCUCUCGCUCUAAGUUAUUGUUAUAUAUUCAAUUGUGAUAUUGCCCUUGUAUUAAUUCUGCAACCAAGACGUGCAUCAAGUGCAAGAACUUCCCUCUUCGCUUACUCUAUUUGAUCUAGAUCUUGACCUAACAUCUAAUAUGAAAUUCAAAAUAAAGGUGUUGCCUAUUCACCCCCUCUAUGCUGCUUUGAGGAGCGUAAUACCCUACUUUUUGGGAUGGAUUUGUAUGUGAGUGGUGUUACAGGUGGUGUCUACCGAGUUGUGAGAUGCUAAUGAGAUGAAAAUGGAGGGGAUCCGCCUUGGCCUUAUAUACACGACCGUAGGGUGCUUCCCGUGUACAUGCUGAUCAUACUAUUCUUGCUUAUCUCCUAAUUAAUAGCAAACAACCUUCACUAUCCCGAGGAAAACCCAGCGCCUCCGCUCCGAGCUAUCUCCGGCGUUUGAGGAUGUUGGGCGUGGGAAAAACGAACGACCCCAACAUGAUCAUGCCCAAACCGCGACUAGUCCAGGUGUGGGCCUCGGCCCGCUUCCACCGUUUCCCUUUGCCCGGCCCACAGUGGGAUGUCGCAGAGGGGCGACUGUCAUGUGGCCCCAGGCGAAGUUUUUGCCCCCGAGUGGACCCAGGGGAUAUCUGUCCCCCACAAGCCCCCAAUCUUUGAGUUGAUUUUGAAAUAAUCGAUUCAAAGGUUCCUGGUUCUUGCUUAUGAGUUCAUCGUCUGACUUGAGAUAUUUACAAUUUCGUUGGGUGCACCGAAGGUGCACCCAUUGGGUGUAGCCCUCGAGCUUUGAGUUGAUUUUGAAAUAAUCAACACAAAGGUCUUCAUCUUAUGCUUUAGAAUUUAGCACUCAUGUUUAAAGUUUUGUGAAUUCGUUGGGUGCUCCGAAGGUGCGCCCAAUGUGUGUAGCCCCCGAGCUUUGAGUUGAUUUUUAUGUAAUCAAUUCAAAGGUCUUCAUCUUAUGCUUUAGAAUUUAGCACUCGGCUUCAAAGUUUUGAGAAUCCGUUGGGUGCACCGAAGGUGCAUCCAAUGUGUGUAGUCCCAGAGCUUUGAAUUGAUUUUGAAAUAAUCAAUUCAAAGGUCUUCAUCUUAUGCUUUAGAAUUCAGCACUCGGCUUCAAAGUUUUGUGAAUCUGUUGGGUGCACCGAAGGUGCACUAAAUGGGUGUAGCCCCCGAGCUUUGAGUUGAUUUUGAAGUAAUCAAUUCAAAGGUCUUCAUCUUAUGCUUUAGAAUUCAACACUCGGCUUCAAAGUUUUGUGAAUCCGUUGGGUGCACCGAAGGUGCACCCAAUGGGUGUAGCCCCCGAGCUUUGAGUUGAUUUUAAAAUAAUCAAUUCAAAGGCCUUCAUCUUAUGUCUUUUCUCAAAAUGAUCUUUUGGAAUAGCCUGGUGACAACAUCUGUCCAUAUCUUGUUUGGUCUAGAAUCAAUUUGAUCGGCCACGAGUUGGAGUCUGGCCACUCGAAGCAGAGAGGUCCUGGCGGGACACCACUCGGCCAUGAACUUCAAUGCCUCUGCAGAUUAGACUUGUGCUUGGUGACCGCAUCUGGACUUCCUCCCAUUUCAACUGAUCUUCCCCUUUGUCAUGGUAUAUUCAUUGCGUAUAUGUUGCAGGUCUCACUGCUUCAGAAAAUCUCGGAAAAUUCGGGCGGUACACCCAAUGGGUGUGCCCAACGGGUGUCUGCCCAGUAAAAUAUGGCCAUCGUGUAGUCCUGAAAUAGUAACUGUUGGAACUUGCUCUCAGUUGCAAGGGGAUCCAACAAGGGUGAACAAUGACGUUAAUAGGGUUCUCGCGCGUGUUGGCAAUAGCUCUGUUAAUCUGGCCUCUCACGGGCACUGUGCGGGGGUAUUUAUAGGUAUCUGAGUGCCCAGCGCCUUGUGUUAAGGACGCAUGUGCCCUCAGCCACCUAGGUUAUCCCCAGAAUAUUCCCAUAAAGCAGGGUUACAAACUGUAAUUACAGGAAUGCCUUUACAAAUUAGGCACGUAACACGCGGCGGCCACGCAGGGCCCGUUACAAUGGGCCGGAUCACACGUGGGCCUCUGAGCUAGACGAGGCCGCACGGUGGGAUGACGACGUCGCGGGCCUUCGUCUGGUGCCGAAUAAAGCGAAGGGUGUCCCUGCCCGUUUUGUCUCCGUCGGACCGGCGACUGCAGCGAAGGCCUCGAGCGAAGGGUGGCGUCUUUGCCUUCGCCCCAACAUUUGCCCUCCGAGGGACCAGUUCGACAAAGUCACCUGGAGCCGAAGACGUCGCUAGAUGGCGGAGACGCUGCCCUCGCUCGAAGUGGUUCCGCGGGGGUUUUUGACAUGACCGUUGAUUGACACCGUACUGUUGGAUUGCGGGUUUCCCGAAGCGCCGCGCCCUGUCUAUAAAAGGGGGCGGGGGUCGGCGCUUUUUGAACUUCACUUUCCACGCUCCGUGAAAACCCUAGCCGCCUUUUCCACCGUCUUGCUGCUCGUCUGCCCGCCGUGCUCUUGUUCGCCGGAGAUCUGGCUCGAGUGAAGCAGACCGCCCGCCGCCGCCGACGGUACGUAGCGAUGCCGACCUCCUCUUCUUCCGCUGCCGCUACGCCGCCGGCCGACGCCUCGCCGCCAGCCGACGCCUCGUCUGAGGAGACGCUGAGUAGUUUGGUGGCGGAGGAGUUGCGCGCCGGCGAUUCUGUGGAUUUUGGCGUGUCGCGGAUGUCGUCGGUCCGCGUGCAAGAUAUGCAGCGGCUGGGUUACUUUGGCGGCGGAGUUGCUCGUGUCCCGGGGACGGAGGAAGUCCCCGAGCCGGAGGGCGAGUUGGUUGUGUUCGAGGCGUUCUUUGCCGCCGGUCUCCGCCUGCCUGCGCACCGAUUUGUUGGCGAAGUCGUGCGCAGGUUUAACGUUCAGAUACAUCAGCUGACACCGAAUGCCAUGGUGGCUCUGUCGAAGUAUGUCUGGGCGACGACUUCGUACGGUGGACAACCAUCAGUCGAAGUCUUUGCGAAGUACUAUUGCCUGCACUGGAAGAAGAGGAUGAUUGGAGAUGAAGUUGCCCAGUUUGGGUCCUGCACGUUUACGCCGAAGACCGGCAAGACCACGAUGCAGGUAGUGGAGUUGGUUCCUUGCGCCCGCAACAAGUGGGGCAACUGGAAUGAGUUUUGGUUUUACGUCGCUGAGGGUACCGUCGAAGACCAUGAGGGGCUCCCCGUGUCCGAGAUGUGUUCUCAUUUUUACUCAGCAUACCCGCCCUUUGAGGUGGCGGAGGAGGAUGCGGACGAAGUGGCCCUUCGGUGCGCCGCCGGCCUGAGCAGUGGGCGCAAUUUGGUUGAAGAAUUUGUGGCAUACGGGGUAUGGCCCUUGGCGCAUGGCUGGGCGUUGGGCGAAGUGUGCCCUCGCCAGAUGCCUUCCCAUGGUGGGAAGAUGGUGCGAAGUCCUGCCUUCGCGCUGAAUCUGCAAAGCCGCGAUCCGGCCGCCUUUGUGCGUGGGGCGGAGGAUGGGGCGGUGCGGCUCGUUGGUCGGUACGUGCCGAGGAUAGAGGGCCAGCGUAACUGGGAUAUCCGCUGGUCGAAUGACCGUUUGAACAGGGUUUUUGAAUUGAAUCAACUGCCGUAUGACGGCUACCCCAGCCAAGACGAUGUGGACCGCCGUGGGAAGAAGCCGGUGGUGGAGACUGGAGACGACCCUGCGCCGGCGGCCGCCCCAUCCUCUAAAAAGAGGAAAUUAGGUACUGCUAUGGGAGGACUUGGGGUUUCUGAUGGUUUUGCUAGAGAGUUGAUGAGGACUUGCGCGGCCCCGGGGGGAAGGAUGUCUUCGCCCGAGCUCCGGGAGUCUUCGGCGGAUGCUGAGGGUUAUCGGGGGUUGGUGGCCUAGGAAUGUUCCUAUCCCCCGCGCCGCCGGCGAAGACUUUUUUACAUCUCGCAUGGUUCGUGAAUGGAAAGUGUUUCCUUACGGGUGGAAUAUUGCUGUUGUUGUGUCGGCAGUGAUGGACAAGGAUCGCCAGGGAGCUGCACAAAAGCGCCAGGCGGUUGUCAGGCUUCAUGAAGCCAGGCCAAAGAGGCAGCGGGGGGCUGCGAAGGCUGCGGCCCCUGGCGGAGGCAAGCCGCCGCUGGCGGCAAAGUCGGGCGUCCCUGCAUCUAGCAAGGCACCGGAGGCAGCGGCAGGCGCCGGUGGUUCCAAAUCGACGAAGGCUGUGCCGCCGUCCAGCAGGGUGCCGGAGGUCGCGAAGGCGGCCCGAGUGUUGCCGUCGUCGGGCAAGCGCGUCGCCGACUUCGCCACCGAUAUUAGUGUGGACGACUAUCUUGGUGGUAAGCCGUUGGCUCGUUCGUUUUUUUAAUUCGUUGAUAUGUCGCAGGGUCGGACGAAGGCCAGCUUGCUAUUGUUGCGCCUGCCGCGGCGACCAUGGCGGCUGCCGUAGUGCCGAAGGCGAAGGGCGGUGCUCUUAGUGCCGGAGGCGAGAUGUCGGCACUCGCGGCUGUCAGGGAUGAGGCGGGCGCUAUGUCCCGCCGGCUGAAGGAGCUGACGGAGGCACUAAGUCAGGUCCGUUGAGCUAGACUUCGGUUUUUUUUGUCGGCUUUGUUGGGGCCGCGGUCUUACGUGUGUUCUGCAGGUGGCUGACUUCGCCGACCGCAUAGCGUCGGGGGCCCUCACGGCAGUUGUGUCUGCCGAAGUCGAGAGACUUCGGACGCAACAUGCUGACGCCGUCCGUGAAAAAUCGGCCGCCGACAGUAAGUGCCGCAAGCUGGCGGACAAGGUGGCCGCGCUGGAGGGGGAGAAGACUGACCUCCGGCGCCAAUUGGCGGGGGAGAGGAGGGAGACCAACGAGGCCCUCGCCAAGGCGCAGGCUGCGCAGGCGGAGGCCAAUCUGGCGCGGGCGGAGGGCAAUCUUGCCAGGGAGCGCGCCGAGCAGCUGCAGGAGCGGCUCAUCGCCCUGGAGAGCCGCGUGGAGAGGUCCGAGGCCGCGACGCGCGCGGAGGCUGAGCGGACGCGCAAAUAGCUUAUGGAUUCGUACCAUGAGCUGGGCGCGCGGACCGGUGACUUCGAAGUGCCGGACCGAGAGCCCGGACUUCGCUGCCUGGAGUGGGUACAGGAGGAGUUGCAGGCACUCCCCACUAUCAUGGAGGGGUUUAUGUCGUAUGCCUCCCUGGUCACCUGCGAGGGGGUGAUGAACGCGCUCUCCCGCGAAGGGUGCCAGCACUUCGAGGUCUUCGACCAAGCUGAUGAAGACUUUGAGCGAGAUAUCUACAAGGUUGAGGACCCCAUAGUGAAGGAAUCCGCUGGAGCCAUCUACGACCGGAUGUGGGGUCCGCACGAUCGCGAGGUGGUCAGGGAGCGGGCCGAGACGGCGAGGGCUCAGGUAACGUUUGGAUUUUGUUUGGCGUUUGCUGGAUGUGGGCUACGUGUGGUUUUGCUGAAUUUGUGUGCUGUGUCCUAGGCGGCGCGUGGCGAGAGGGUGGAUUACUUCGGGGUGUUGAACAGCGCGCUGCCUGACCCGGAGCCGAUCCCGGCGGAGGCCGUGUCCGGGGCCGCCCUAGAGCCGCCCCUGGAGACUGCGGAAGGCGCUCCGGAUGCCCCCGCAUCUGCUGCGGCCGGCGGAGACCUGCCCCCAGAGACCGCCGAAGGCGCGCCUGAUGCCCCCGCAGCCGCUGCGCCGAGGGCUGAAGAUCCUGCGACGGUGGAGGCGGAGGCGACAGCGGAGGCAACGGCGGAGGCUCCCGCAACGGCUGAGUCUUCGCAGGUGGCGUAGUGGGUGUGGAUAGUUAGGGAAUUUUGGAUAUGUUGCUGAAUUUUGGUUGCUGCGCAGGUUCAAGAUUUUGGGCCUGCGCACGCAACCGCCACUACUAAUUUUUUGGCGGCUUCGACCGUGGAUGGUGGUAAUAAAUGUGAUGGGUCUGCAUCUGAGUUUUCUGAUUUUGCUGACUCUGGGAGCUCGGUUGAGUGGACUGAGGAGUCGUCGGAGGACUUGGACUACUUUGCGGCCUUGGAUGUGGCAGCGGCGGAGGCUUCACCGCACGCUGUGGACACAGAAGAUGUGCCUGGUCCGAGCAUCGGGCGCCAACGGCGAAGGGCGGUUGCGAAGCGUAGAGUGAGUGGGGCGAAGGGAGGUCGGCUUCGUGUGAGUAGGGCUGGCUGGCAGGAACUGUUAUCUUUGCCAGCCGCCGUGAGUACAGGUGAAGGGGAAUUGCGAAGUCUUUUUGCGGGUGAGGAGCUUAGGAUAAUGUUAUUUAAUUAUAGGGAGAUGGGAAUUAUUCCUAAGGUUGAGCCGAUGUAGAGUGUGGUGCCCUCGCUUGUACAUGUGUAAAGGCUUGUAUGAUGAGGUUGUGUGCCCCCGCACACUUGGCUAUGCUUGCGAAGGCGUUAUGUACUUGGUCUGGUGUGUUUUGUUAUGCUGUGUUGGUCCGGCUGCACCCUUAGGUGACUUCUGCACGGAUAGUCUUCGCGGUAGACUUCGGUUUUUCGCACUUGUUGUGCUAGUCCGGCUGCACCCUUAGGCGACUUCUGCAUGGAUUUGUCGCACGCUAGGGUGGCUAGCGCUGAGCCUCGCGGUGACCUCGUAUUGGUCGAAUGUCGAAGACCGUCGUCGCGGCCUUUUUUCGACGCAUGUUUUUGCGGGGGAUUUUUUGUUAGAAAUAUGCCCUAGAGAUAAUCAUAGAGAUGAGCAUAUUUCUUUGUAUCCAUGAUAUAUAUAUUGCUUAAUUGAAUAUCCAUGGAAGGCACCUUGUAUUGAUUAGCAAUUAUGUGAAUUGUUUGUGAGAUUCUUUACUUAUAUGGUUAUUCUAAAUGAUGUCCCUAGUCAGAGUCGAUGACUAGCACAUGUAUUAGUUGAUGACUACAUUUCACAAGUCAUGAACAUGGAGAUGUUAAACUAAUAAUGUGGGCGCAUGUAUGACAUGAGGCUGGACCGACCCAACGUGAGAUAUUGUAAUAUAGUUCUCUUCUUGCAACAUGAAUACUGUAUCCUUAGACCUGAGAUUGUCGCAUGUUCUCAAGAUGUGAAUUGACUUACUUAGGGACUAUCAAAUGCUAUCCCGUAACUGGGUAGUUAUAAAGGUAGUUUUGGGUUUGUCAGGAAGCAUGCUAUGAGGCAUGGUCAGUCAAGAUGGAAUUUGUCCCUCUCUUUGUGAGAGAGAUAUCUCUGGGCCCCUCGAGUGAUUGGAUCAAGAAAUGCAUGGCCGUGCUAGGGUUAAGAGUUAACCAUUGAAAGGAUUCCAAUUCACAGUAUCGAGAAAGAGAGGUCAGCUUAGAGCCAGACCAAAUAUCGUGAGACAAAGGGAACAGCAUGUACGUAAUGUCGCAAUGGUUCGUCUGAUAUGAUCUUUACGUACACAUAGGAGUUGACAUGUCUUGCUAGAGGCCGCUGUCAAUUAUUGGGCCAAGUAAGAGUACUCGGCCUAUGUCUAUUUGUACGUGAACCUAUAGGGUCACACACUUAAGGGGAAGGAAGCCUAAUUCGGAUUAGAUCCGAAAUUAGACUGGGCUUUAGGGUUAAUGAUGGACCUCGGCGUCAGAAGCCCACCAUAACGCCUAUAUAAUGAGGGGCGGGGGCGCGGUUAAGAUAUAACCUAAUUCGCCACCAGCGAACUAACAGCCGCCGCCCACCUCUCGCCCUCGCCAAGCCGCCGUCGCGAACCUAGCAGUUCGGUACGCGGCGCUUCCUCCCUGUACGUGUGGAUACCUCGGAGGUGCUACAUCUGGAGCACUUGGACGAACCGUGCGAGGACGUGAAGGACGCCGGCGACUGCACGGCACUGCUCGACGCGUUCGUCUACAUCGAGACGUCUUCCGCUGCUCUGCGCGUCUAGUGGUAAUUCCAUGACCUAUAACCGCAGUAGUUCUUGGUAUUAUGGGGAUGAACAUUUUUGUUUUGCGCUAGCGUAGCCUCCCCGUAAUCCUACAGUGGUAUCAGAACCAGGUUCUGCGUAAGUUUUAGGUCUGGAUCUAGGUUCAUGUGAUGGAUCUACUUGAUGCACGGUUUGAUUAGAUCAAUUGGUAAUAAAGGGUUGAAGUAGAUUACAUCGGAUAUGACUAGUGAGAUCAGUUCGUCCUUCUCUGUUGUAUGCGCGACUUGCCCCUACCGGCUGGAAUCACCAUCGGGGCUAACUGCGUACACAACCAGCAGAUUGACGCAACAGAUCGACGUCAUGAGUGUAAUCUUCUUCGGGUCGAAAGUCUCGGAUUUGGGUUGAUUUGAUCAACCGCAUGAGAUUUCCAGUGGAAUUUCCAUACAUACGAUGCAUGGAAUCCUGUGAGGUUUCCAGUGAAAGUCAGCGGGACCGCCGUGGCUAUCUGCUGUAGUGGCGAACGUAUAGAAACAUGUUUGUCUAACCUGUUUUUGCAGGACAUGUGAUCGGUAUGGCUAUUAUGUGUAUGUGAUGCAUGUUAACAAAUUAUUCAGGACCUGCGUGUCGUGACCAGGGCAAUACGGCUGGAGCCACAUGUAUUGUCCAAAUUUAAUGUAAUGACCUGCGUGUCAACAUGUGAUGAUCCAAAGCGUAUAUGUAAUUUGUUUACCAGCAUACGUUAGAUAGGUCUUGAAGGACUCAUCACCUGGAGGAUGGCAUACCUAUAUCAUGGAGAUGGAGAUCAUCGUGAUGGACAGAUUAUUGGAGAUGGAGAUCACCAUGUGAAAACAAGCCAUACCGAAUCACAAUUGUUGUGUGAAUGCCAUUCUUAUUGUUCUACUUGUUUAUAUUGCAUAUAUGUCCUUGCGUGCGAUGUUAUAAGUAGGACGAUCCCUCAUAAAUGUUUAAGCUUUAAUGCCUCUCCAAACCUUGCACUAUCAUAAGUCUUGUACAAUUGGUGGUGGGUCUAUGAAAUUAGGGUGCCACCAGUUUUCCUUGACUAGAUAGGUUUGUAUCGGAUACGAACUGCAGAAAGGGUUGGUUAACUUAAACAAAGUCAGCUUAAUGGUUAAGGACUUUGAGGCAUAAGGUUGGGAGCCGAGACAUAGAGAUGUCACCCAACAACAGGAGUCAUAUAUAUGAUAUGAUUAGCAAGGAGUUGCUUACCGAUCUACCUUGUCUUCUAGCGGUGAUGCUAAAGCUCACUAGUAGACUUGUUAGUUGUGGAUUCUGAAUCACUAAGUAUCAAUAGAGGGAUAUUGAUUUUAGUGGGAGUAGACUAUUAAAUGUUUAAUAUGAUUUACUCUGUCAUGGAUAUUUUUGUCUUAGUAUUUUGCAUUAUUUUGUUGUAGAUAAAUGGCACCUAGCACACCAACAUUUACUUUGCGAUCGAUUCUUGAAAAGGAUAAGUUAAAUGGAACAAACUAUACGGAUUGGAUCCGUAACCUGAGAAUUGUUCUCAGGGCUGAAAAAAAAGGAAGACGUUCUAGACUCCCCACUGCCAGAGGAUCCUGGUGAAAAUGCAACUGCCGCAGCUAAAACCGCUUACAAGAAAGCAAUGGAUGCUAAUCUUGAAGUAAGUUGCCUAAUGCUUGCUUGCAUGGAGCCUGAGCUCCAGAUGCAGUUUGAGACAAACCAUGAGGUGUACGAUAUGAUCGUGGCGCUCAAGGAUAUGUUCCAGACUCAGGCUAGGACUGAAAGGUUCAAUGUGUCCAAAGCCUUUCUGGAAUGCAAGCUAGCAGAAGGCGCAGCAGUUGGGCCACACGUAAUCAAAAUGGUUGGUUACAGUCAGAGGUUGGAGAAGCUAGGCUUCCCAAUAAGCCAAGAGUUGGCCACUGACUUCAUUUUGGCAUCUCUUCCGCCCAGCUAUGGAAACUUCAUCACGAACUACCAUAUGCAUGGGGCGGAGAGGGGCCUCAAUGAACUAUGUGGCAUGCUGAAAACUGCAGAGGGGGACAUAAAGAAAAGUGCUGGCAGCAGCGGCCAUGUGAUGGCGGUCCAAAACAAACCCAACUUUAAGAAGAAGGGUAAGUCUCAAAAGAAGAAGGGCAAGGGAAAGGAUACAGUAUCCAAGCCCAAUCAAAAGCCCAAGGCUGGACCAGCUGCAGAUGCAGAGUGCUUUUAUUGCAAAGAACUUGGUCACUGGAAAAGGAAUUGCAAGCAGUACUUGGCCUCUAUUAAGGAUCGCGGCGGUAAGGGUACAGCCGCAGCAGGUACACUUGCUAUUCACAUUACAGAAAUUUUUCUUGCUGAUUCUUAUAUUAAUUCUUGGGUAUUUGAUACCGGAUCGGUUGCCCAUAUUUGCAAUUCGAUGCAGGGAAUGAUAAGAAGUAGAAGCGUGAAAAGAGGAGAAGUUGAUUUCCGGGUAGGCAAUAAUGCAAGAGUUGCUGCGUUGACCGUCGGGACGAUGCAACUCCACCUCCCAUCAGGAUUUAUUUUGGAGUUAAAUAAUUGUUAUCUAGUUCCUAGUAUGAGUCGAAACAUUAUGUCUCCUUCAUGUUUGAUGAAGGAUGGUUAUUCAUUUGCGAGUGAAAACAAUGGUUGUGUGAUCUCUAAGAAUGGCAUGUUUGUGGCUUUUGCAUCCAUUAUGAAUGGGUUAUUCAUUUUAAAUCUUGAUGAUGCACCUAUCUGUAAUAUUAGUGCUAAAAGGCCUCGGCCUAAUGAUUUAAGUCCUACCUACAUGUGGCACUGUCGUUUGGGUCAUAUAAGUGAGAAUCGCAUGAAGAAGCUUCAUUCUGAUGGGCUUUUAACUUCGUUUGAUUUUGAAUCAUACGAGACAUGUGAAGCUUGCUUACUUGGUAAGAUGACCAAGGCGCCCUUCACGGGUUUACCGGAGAGGACGUUAGAUUUAUUGGAACUCAUACAUACUGAUGUGUGCGGACCAAUGAGUACGACAGCUAGGGGAGGAUUCCAAUACUUCAUAACCUUCACUGAUGAUUUUAGUAGAUAUGGGUAUGUCUACUUAAUGAAACACAAGUCUGAAUCCUUAGAAAAGUUCAAAGAGUUUCAGAAUGAAGUAGAAAAUCAGCGUGGCAAGAAAAUUAAAGCACUACGAUCAGAUCGUGGUGGUGAAUAUUUGAGUCAUGAGUUUAGCAAUCAUCUAAAGAGUUGUGGAAUUGUUCCACAGCUUACGCCGCCUGGAACGCCUCAGAGGAAUGGCGUGUCUGAGCGACGUAAUCGGACUUUAUUGGAUAUGGUUCGAUCAAUGAUGAGCCAGUCGGACCUACCUUUGUCGUUUUGGGGAUACGCUCUAGAAACAGCAGCUUUCACACUAAAUAGGGUACCGUCUAAGUCCGUAGUUAAGACACCAUAUGAGAUGUGGACUGGGAAGACUCCCAGCUUGUCUUUUCUGAAGAUUUGGGGUUGUGAGGUUUACGUCAAGCGACUACAGUCGGAUAAACUCACUCCAAAAUCGGACAAGUGCAUGUUCGUGGGAUAUCCAAAGGAAACUUUAGGAUAUUACUUUUACCACCGGUCAGAGGGCAAAGUGUUUGUCGCCCGGAACGGUGUGUUCUUAGAGAAAGAGUUUCUCAAAAGAGAGAAAAGUAAACAAAAGGUGUAUCUUGAAGAAGUUCAGGAUGAGCCAGUGGGACAAGAUUCAACAAGUGAUGCUAAUGUAGCAGAACAAGUUGAGACGUCUAUGGCAAGAGAAUCACCACCACAACCACGAAGGUCAGCAAGGCUUCGCGAGGCACGAGGAGAAGUGCUAUUGUUGGGCAAUGGGGAAGUGUUGUUGUUAGACAACGACGAACCUGCAACAUAUUCAGAAGCGAUGAUGGACCCAGAUUCCGAGAAAUGGCAUGUCGCCAUGAGAUCCGAGAUAGAUUCCAUGGGAGAAAAUCAAGUUUGGAACUUGGUUGACCCGCCUGAUGGUGUUAGACCUAUAGAAUGCAAAUGGAUCUAUAAGAAGAAGAAAGACAUGGAUGGAAAUGUUCACAUCUAUAAGGCUCGACUUGUUGCAAAGGGUUUUCGACAAGUUCAAGGAGUUGACUAUGACGAGACAUUCUCGCCAGUAGCGAUGCUUAAAUCUAUUCGGAUCAUUCUAGCUAUUGCCGCAUAUUUCGAUUAUGAGAUUUGGCAGAUGGAUGUCAAAACAGCUUUCCUUAAUGGAAACCUAGAUGAGGACGUGUAUAUGAUACAGCCCGAGGGUUUUGUCAAUCCGAUCAAUGCUGGAAAGAUAUGCAAACUUCAGAAAUCCAUUUAUGGGUUGAAGCAAGCAUCUCGGAGUUGGAACAUUCGUUUUGAUGAAGUGAUCAAAGGGCUUGGUUUUCAUCAGAAUGAAGAAGAAGCUUGUGUUUACAAGAAGGAAAGUGGGAGCGCUGUUGUAUUUCUGAUCUUGUAUGUGGAUGACAUAUUAUUGAUUGGGAAUGACAUUCCUAUGCUGGAGUCCGUCAAGGCUUCACUGAAAAAGAGUUUUUCUAUGAAGGACUUAGGGGAAGCAGCAUAUAUUUUGGGCAUAAGGAUCUAUAGAGAUAGGUCGAAGAGGCUUAUAGGAUUAAGUCAAGAUACGUACAUUGAUAAGGUUUUGAAACGGUUCAACAUGGAACAGUCCAAGAAAGGGUUCAUACCUAUGUCACAUGGUAAACACCUUAGCCAGAUGCAAUGUCCUGCAACGGCUAAUGAGCGGGAGCGCAUGAGUAAGGUACCAUACGCCUCAGCAAUUGGUUCAAUCAUGUAUGCCAUGAUAAGUACACGCCCAGAUGUUUCAUACGCUAUAAGUGCUACGAGUAGAUACCAGGCUGAUCCAGGUGAGGAUCACUGGACAGCGGUAAAAGGCAUUCUUAAGUACUUAAGAAGGACUAAAGAUAUGUUCCUGGUAUAUGGGGGUAAGGAGGAGCUCGUUGUAACUGGUUACACCGAUGCUAGCUUCCAAACUGACCCAGACGAGUUAAAAUCGCAAUCAGGUUUUGUGUUCAUAAUAAAUGGUGGUGCUGUUAGUUGGAAGAGUUCCAAACAGGAGACUGUGACUGAUUCUACAACAGAAGCCGAGUACAUUGCAGCUUCUGAAUCUGCGAAGGUAGGUGUUUGGAUAAGGAAGUUCCUCAUCGAGCUUGGUGUGUUUCCUAAUGCAUCUAGCCCAUUGAACCUCUACUGUGACAACAAUGGGGCUAUUGCGCAAGCUAAGGAGCCAAGGAACCACCAGAAAAACAAACACGUACUACGGAAGUUUCACCUCAUACGGGAAUUCAUUAGGCGGGGUGAGAUAAAGAUAUGCAAAAUACAUACGGAUUUGAAUGUUGCUGAUCCUUUGACAAAACCUCUUCCACAACCUAAGCAUGAGGCACACGUGAGAUCUAUGGGUAUUAGAUAUCUUCUAGAUUAACUCUAGUGCAAGUGGGAGACUGUUAGAAAUAUGCCCUAGAGAUAAUCAUAGAGAUGAGCAUAUUUCUUUGUAUCCAUGAUAUAUAUAUUGCUUAAUUGAAUAUCCAUGGAAGGCACCUUGUAUUGAUUAGCAAUUAUGUGAAUUGUUUGUGAGAUUCUUUACUUAUAUGGUUAUUCUAAAUGAUGUCCCUAGUCAGAGUCGAUGACUAGCACAUGUAUUAGUUGAUGACUACAUUUCACAAGUCAUGAACAUGGAGAUGUUAAACUAAUAAUGUGGGCGCAUGUAUGACAUGAGGCUGGACCGACCCAACGUGAGAUAUUGUAAUAUAGUUCUCUUCUUGCAACAUGAAUACUGUAUCCUUAGACCUGAGAUUGUCGCAUGUUCUCAAGAUGUGAAUUGACUUACUUAGGGACUAUCAAACGCUAUCCCGUAACUGGGUAGUUAUAAAGGUAGUUUUGGGUUUGUCAGGAAGCAUGCUAUGAGGCAUGGUCAGUCAAGAUGGAAUUUGUCCCUCUCUUUGUGAGAGAGAUAUCUCUGGGCCCCUCGAGUGAUUGGAUCAAGAAAUGCAUGGCCGUGCUAGGGUUAAGAGUUAACCAUUGAAAGGAUUCCAAUUCACAGUAUCGAGAAAGAGAGGUCAGCUUAGAGCCAGACCAAAUAUCGUGAGACAAAGGGAACAGCAUGUACGUAAUGUCGCAAUGGUUCGUCUGAUAUGAUCUUUACGUACACAUAGGAGUUGACAUGUCUUGCUAGAGGCCGCUGUCAAUUAUUGGGCCAAGUAAGAGUACUCGGCCUAUGUCUAUUUGUACGUGAACCUAUAGGGUCACACACUUAAGGGGAAGGAAGCCUAAUUCGGAUUAGAUCCGAAAUUAGACUGGGCUUUAGGGUUAAUGAUGGGCCUCGGCGUCAGAAGCCCACCAUAACGCCUAUAUAAUGAGGGGCGGGGGCGCGGUUAAGAUAUAACCUAAUUCGCCACCAGCGAACUAACAGCCGCCGCCCACCUCUCGCCCUCGCCAAGCCGCCGUCGCGAACCUAGCAGUUCGGUACGCGGCGCUUCCUCCCUGUACGUGUGGAUACCUCGGAGGUGCUACAUCUGGAGCACUUGGACGAACCGUGCGAGGACGUGAAGGACGCCGGCGACUGCACGGCACUGCUCGACGCGUUCGUCUACAUCGAGACGUCUUCCGCUGCUCUGCGCGUCUAGUGGUAAUUCCAUGACCUAUAACCGCAGUAGUUCUUGGUAUUAUGGGGAUGAAAAUUUUUGUUUUGCGCUAGCGUAGCCUCCCCGUAAUCCUACAUUUUUCACACAUAUAUUACAUGGCUCCGCCUCGUUAAAAACCUCACCCCCCGGGAGGAAAAGAGUGCGGACCAGAAUAAGAUUGUUUUUGCGAAUUACAAGGGCGAAUCAGCCCUGAUGAGUCAAACAAAAAAUUUGCGGAGGUUGUCGAUGUUCCAGGAGUGCUCCAGGUCUUCGCCGUUUGGCGUUGUGAGCCUGUAAGCGCUGGGGGAAGCUUUCGUCUUGACUAUAAAGGGGCCCUCCCACUUGGGCUCUAGCUUGCCCCUAGACUCUGUCCGAGCUGUUCGGACGAGUACGAGGUCCCCUUCGCUGAAUUCCCUCGGGAUGACUGCAUGGUCGCGCCAUGCUUUUGUCUGGGCUUGGUAUUUGUUUAGGGCCUGUAGAGCGAAGACUCGGUCUCCGUCAAUGAGAUCCUUUGAAGUUGGCUCGUCCACGUUGGGGACGGCUGACGGAACUGUUCGCGGGGACCCAUGUUUUAUUUCUUGUGGGUCAUGGCCUCCGAUCCGUAUAGAAGGCGGAAAGGAGUAAACCCGGUCGCCCUGCACUCAGUCGUGUUUAGUGCCCAGACCGCCUCGGGUAACAAAUCGGUCCAUCUGCCCUUUUUUCAUCGAGGAGCAUCUUUUUGACAGCUGUGAAGAUUUUUCCAUUGGCGCGUUCCACAACUCCGUUGGACUGCGGAUGAUAGACUGAGGCGAAGGCAAGCUUGGUGCCAAUGGAGAAGCAAAAAUCCUUGAAGUCUUGGUUGUCAAACUGCUUGCCGUUGUCAACUGAUAGUUCGGACGGUACUCCGAAGUGGCAAACAAUGUUUUGCCAAAAGAAUCUUUGGGCGGUUUUUGAUGUUAUUGUGGAAACAGCCCUUGCCUCGAUCCAUUUGGUGAAGUACUCGACAGCGACGAAGGCAAACUUAAGGUUCCCCUGAGCGGUGGGCAGGGGCCUGACAAUGUCCAGGCCCCAGCGCUGGAGAGGCCAUGUGUGGGCGAUCAGCUUUGUAUACUGCGAGGGGCUGCCUGACCGAGGAGAGAACUUCUGGCAGGCUUCGCAGGACCUUGUGACCCGAUUUGCGGCGCAGAUCAUUGCGGGCCAGUAAAAGCCUUGGCGGAUCACCUUAGCAGCUAGGGCCCUUGGCCCUGCGUGUGAGCCGCACGUGCCACUGUGGACUUCGUGUAGGAUCUGGAUGCCUUCGGUUUCGGUGACGCACUUAAGCAUUGGCUGACUGACCCCUUUCUUGUAGAGUUGGCCUUCAAUCAGUGCGAAGUCUCGGCUUCGAUGUCUGAGGCGCUUGGCCUCACUGAUGUCGGUUGGAUGAUAGUACCCCUGUAGGAACAGGGUUAUUGGUGCCCGCCAGUCUUCGGUCAUGAUAAGGUUGACUAUGCGGUGGCCCUCGCUGUCAUUAGUUAUUUGGAGCCCUUCGGGGCUCCGGACGGCUGGCGUGCCGAUGACAUGAAAGAACACGUCGGAGGGCAAGGACUCGCCCCUGGCGGCGGCCUUGGCCAAUGCGUUGGCCUCUUCAUUCUUGGCCCGAUCCACAUGCUGCAAGGUGAAUCCCUUGAAUUGUCUCUCGAGGCUUCGGAUGGCCGCGAGGUAUUGCAUAAGCGCGGGGUCCUUUGCUGCAUAGUCUUUCUCGACUUGGCCGGCAACUACCUUGGAGUCUGUUUUGAUGAUGCAGGUGGUGACUCCGAGGGCCCUUAGCUUGCGGAGGCCGAGGAUGACUGCUUCGUAUUCUGCUAUAUUAUUUGUGCAUCUGUCGGAUUCUAGAGCGAAGCUGAGGCGUGCUGCAUAUCUGUGCUUGACCCCGACUGGUGAGGUGAUGACUGCAGCGGCGCCCGCCCCCGCAUGGCACCAUGCGUCGUCGCAAUGGAUCGUCCAAACCUUCUCUGCGGACGGGUCUGGCUGUGUUGUUGGCCCAGUCCAGUCGACGACGAAGUCUGCCAGGACUUGUGACUUGAUGGCUGUCCUGGGCUCGAAGCUGAUGUGGUAGCCGGAGAGUUCGGCCGCCCACUUGGCAAUCCUCACCGAUGCCUCCGGGUUUCUGAACAGUUCGCCGAGUCCCCUGUCUGAGGUGACUCGGACCUUGAAUGCUUCGAAGUAAUGGCGCAAUUUGCGCGAAGACAUGACGACUGCAUAGGCAAUCUUCUCCAGCUCUGUCAUGUUGCACUUGGACGGUGUCAGUACUUCGGAGACAUAGUAAACGGGGCACUGCCUGACCACGCCCUCAACUGUCUGCUCCUGCACUAGUGCCGCACUGACCGCAUGCGGCGAAGCCGCGACGUAGAGCAACAGGGGGAGCGAGGAGUCGGGGCUUGUAAGGACGGCCAACUCUGUCAGGUACUGUUUUAAUGAGGCGAAGGCCGCCGCCUGCUCUGGUCCCCAGGCGAAGUCUUUUGCACCACGGAGUGUUUUGAGGAAGGGGAGACUUCGCUCGGCGGACCUGGAGAUGAAUCUGUUGAGAGCGGCCAAUCUGCCUGUCAGGCGCUGGACGUCUCUGCCGCACUGCGGAGGCGUCAUGUUUAUGAUGGCCUGAAUCUUGGUUGGGUUGGCCUCGAUGCCGUGGUGUGAUACCAGGUAGCCCAAUAUUUUGUCUUGGCGAACGCCAAAGACGCACUUUUUCGGGUUUAGGCGGAGUCGUGCGUCUCGCAUGUUCGUGAAUGUCUCGGCGAGGUCGGCGAGAAGGUCCUCCUUGCUCUUGUUGGCGACGACAAUGUCGUCCACAUAUGUGAAUAUAUUUCUGCCAACUUGCCCUUCGAGCACUGUUUUGGUAAGCCUGGAGAAGGUGGACCCGGCGUUCUUGAGUCCCUCCGGCAUUCUGAUGAAGCACUAUGUGCCGAAGGGUGUUAUAAAGCUGGUGCUAGCCUUGUCUUCCUCUUUCAUGUAUAUCUGGUGGUAGCCGGAGAAGCAGUCAAGGAGAGACAUGACCUCGCAUCCGGCCGCGCUAUCGACUAUUUUGUCGAUCCGCGGCAACGGGAAAUUGUCCUUUGGGCAUGCCUUGUUGAGACUGGUGAAGUCGAUGCACAUUCGCCACUUCCCGCUUUUUUUCUGUACCAUUACAACAUUGGAGAGCCACGUGGGAUAAGCCACCGGCUCGAUGAAUUUGGCUUCCAGGAGGCGGUGCACCUCCGCCUUGGCGGCCUCUGUCUUCUCGUCGGACAUUUUGCGAAGCCUCUGCUUUUUUGGUCGCACCGAAGGGUCAAUUCCCAAGCUGUGCUCAAUUAUGGAUCGGCUGACUCCGACCAGAUCGAGGGCAGACCAGGCGAAGACAUCUUUAUUCUUGGACAGGCAGCAGAGGAGUUUCUCCUCUUCAUGCGAAGUGAGGUCUUCGCAGAUAGUGACUGUCUGCUUGGGCGUGGCCUGAUCGAGAGGGACAGUCUUGGUCCCGUCGUUGCUCUGCAGCUGUGCCUUGUCGUGCUGCUUAUUGGUUGGGCUGGCGGGCGCGGGGACCUCGCGCUGGGCCGUGAGGCAGUGCACGUUUCUCUGACCGGGCACGAAGUCCCGCUCUAUGUUGCGCGCAGUCUGUUGAUUGCCGUAGACCGUAAUGACGCCUAACGGACCUGGUAUCUUCAUACAUAGGUACAGUCCGUGAAUGGCUGCUUCAAACUUAUUGAUGGAGCCCCGACCCAUGAUGGCAUUGUAUGGAUAUACCAUAUCCACGAUAUCAAAGGUUAUUUGCUCACUUCUGGCAUUGGGUGCUACACCGAAGGAGAGAGGCAGCUCUAUUUUGCCGACAGGAAAGGUGCCCUUGCCGCCGAAGCCAUACAACGGGUUGUCCGAAGGCUUGAGCAGGCUGUGGCUUAUGCCCAUGCGAUCGAAGGCGUGGAGGAAGAUGAUGUCCGCCUGACUGCCAUUGUCAACUAGGACUUUGUGCAGGUCCCAGCCUGCCACGCUGCAAUUGAUAACCAUGGCGUCGCAAUGGGGGGCGCUGCGUAGGUCGACGUCUCGUGCGUCGAAGGUUAACGGUAUGUGGGACCACUUUGUCUGCACGACUGGGCCGGUGACAGCGACGUGGUUGAUGCUACGGUAGUGGUCCCGCUUCUGCCACUUUGUGUCGAAGUCAGUGUUGGACCCCCCAGUUAUCAUGUGAAUGACUCCGCGAUAUGGCUGAUCGGCGAAGUCUUCCUGCUUUGGAGCAUGGGGGAUGUUUUGAUGUUGCUGGUGUGGUGGUGGGGGUGGGGGAGGUACAAUUUGUACUUCCUGAUGGUGUUGGUAAGCGUGGUGCGGUGGAUGCGGGCGGGGGCGUGGAUAUAUGGUGGAGGGGGUUGCUGGUAAGUGUGUGCGACAACUCUGGGGUUGUCGGCUGGUUGCGCCCGUGCCAUCCUGUCUCUGGUGGCCUUCGUUUCUGGGCAGUCUUUGGUUUGGUGGGCGCAGUCUUCGCCAUGGAAGAGGCAGUAGAAUCGGCGCGGCGGCUGCGCACGCCCCCGACCCCUACCGCGAGUUCCAUUUCCGCGGCCCUGGGGGGGAUACUCCUAGCGACGAGGGGCGUCAGCAGCGGGGUGCUGGUUGGCGAUGUUAUGCACUUGCUGUUGAUUGCGGCCGUCUUGACCGGAGUCCGGCUGCGGAGUCCUCGUCCACGUGCGGCUGGACUGUGGAGCAUCUUUUGGCUUCCUUUGGGACUCAACCUUGCGCUGGUGGAGCUCUUCGGAUUUGGCGUACUUUUCAAACAACUGAUAUAAUUCCUGGAGGUUCUUGGGCGGAUCUCUGAUGCAGUGGCUGUAAAGGACGCCGGCGCGAAGGCCACUGAUAGCGUAGUGGAUAGCGAUCUGGUCAUCGACUGAGGGCAGCUAUGACUUGAGUGUUAAAAAUUUGCGGUAAUACUCCCACAGAGUCUCCUUUUCCAGCUGCUUGCAGAGCGAGAGUUCGGCCAAGGCGUCGGUGUCUGGGCGGUACCCUUGGAAGUUGAGCAGGAACUUGUCCCGGAGGCUUCUCCAGGAAUCAAUGGACAGCGGAGGCAACCUGGUGAACCAGGUGAGAGCUGGGCCCUCUAGGGCGAUGAUGAAAGACUUCGCCAUUGUGGCGUCGUCCCCUCCGGAAGAUGCAACGGCGACUUGAUAACUCAUUAUGUAUUGCACCGGGUCGGUGCUGCCGUUGUACUUGGGAUAGGUCCCUGCCCGGAAGUUAGCUGGCCAAGGCGUCACUUGCAGGUGUGGCGCCAGGGGACUUCGCUCGUCGAGAUAGUUGACCCCUUGGAAUGGCGCAGCGUGCGGGAAGGUGUUGUCGCGGUGGGGGAAACGCGGGUCUUCCGGUUGUGCGCGGUGUUGCAGGGGUGGCCCAUGCUGCAGGCCGAGGUGGCCUUCGCGCGUGUCUUCCAGUUGUGCGCGCUGCUGGAGGGGUGGCCCGUGCUGCAGGCCAAGGUGGCCUUCGCGCUGCAUCAGCGCGAUCUCCCGCUCGAGGUCCUGGGCCUUCUGCUCUUUGUCGCGUAUCAUUUGCCGCACUUUGGCUAGUGCGGACACGCGCUGGCGCUUGGCCUCCAGUAUCUCCUUUUGCCUCUGGAGAUUGCGGUUCUUGAGGCGCAGGGCGCACAGCUGUAGCUGUUCUUCCGCUGAGACGCCGAGGACUUCACCAUCCUCGGUGAGGUCCGCGCCCUCCAGUGGGGCGAAGCCUGGGGGUGGCUGCGAUUGUCCUUCAGGGCCGCAGGUGCGGAGAGUGUCGUCUUCGCAGGUGCGGGGAACGUUGUCUUCAGUGGCCUCCUGGUGGGUGGAUUGGGUGAGGGCGAGGGCCUUGCCCUUUCUUGCGGCGAGCAGUGCUGCCUUCGCAGCCUCGUCAGCCUUCGGGUUAGCUCUCUUGGGUGCCAUCGCGGGUGGUUUUCUCGUAGCACGAACGGUGGGCGCCAAAUGUUGGAACUUGCUCUCAGUUGCAAGGGGAUCCAACAAGGGUGAACAAUGACGUUAACAGGGUUCUCGCGCGUGUUGGCAAUAGCUCUGUUAAUCUGGCCUCUCACGGGCAUUGUGCGGGGGUAUUUAUAGGUAUCUGAGCGCCCAGCGCCUUGUGUUAAGGACGCAUGUGCCCUCAGCCACCUAGGUUAUCCCCAGAAUAUUCCCAUGAAGCAGGGUUACAGACUGUAAUUACAGGAAUGCCUUUACAAAUUAGGCCCGUAACACUAGGCGGCCACGCAGGGCCCGUUACAAUGGGCCGGAUCACACGUGGGCCUCUGAGCUGGACGAGGCCGCACGGUGGGAUGACGACGUCGCGGGCCUUCGUCUGGUGCCGAAUAAAGCGAAGGGUGUCCCUGCCCGUUUUGUCUCCGUCGAACCAGCGACUGCAGCGAAGGCCUCGAGCGAAGGGUGGCGUCUUUGCCUUCGCCCCAACAGUAACUUGAUACGACGGAGAGGUGUAAUACUCUGCAUGAGCGGUUGACUUUGAUUCCAUCUGAUGUCAUGUUAUGCGAAGCAGUGCUAGUUGCCUGACUCAUUUCUAGGCGGUUUGAAUCGCUAUUGAAUUCUUGUGACUGUUCAAUGAGCGGUUAGGAAAUGAACGGUCGCCUCCCAGCCUCUUUAAAUAGCCCGCUCGCCCUGGCUGCUCUCCCCACUUGUUCUCAUUCAUUCGCCUUCUUUUUCUUCCCUGCUUCCCUCCUUCCGAGCAAGCCAUGGCUGGAGGGAAGUAAGGAAAGAAAGGGCACUGCCCCGCCAAUGGGAAGCACAAACGCCCCCCAAGUCCUCCCUCAGAGGACUUUGGGGACUCAGAGUAUUCGGAGGAAUUCUCCUCCGAGUAUGAUCGUUCUCCCGUUCCUGCAUCUCCCGUAGCUUCGUUCGAUGAUUCGGACGACUUCAUGGGGCUGUCCGUCGCGGAGAGGGCGUAUGCCCAGUCCAUCGAGCAUGUGGGGCUCGGUGUGUCGGAUGACUCGGAGGAGGCCUCCUCGGAGGAGGUUGAGGACUCCUCGGGCUCCGAGGAGAGCAGCGACAGCGAUGGUGGCGGCAAUGACGACGAGGGCGAUGGUGGUAGCAGCGAUGGCGGCGACGACAGCAGCAGGGGUGGCAAGGGCAGCGGCGAUGGUAGCGGCGACAUUGACGACGGCGAAGGCAACAGCAAGUGCGGUGACGGCACGGGUGAUGGCGGUAACGGCAACGCCGGUGGCCGAGUGCCACGGGCUUAAAUAUUAGUAUAGUAUAAUAUAGUAGUAGUAGUUUAGUGGUAGUAUAGUGUAGUUUAACUAGUAGUGUAAUGUAGUUUUAAUUAGUAAUGUAAUGUAGUGUUGGAUCGAGGGGCAGUAGGCCGACUCAUAAUAAGUCGGUCUUCCUUUUGUAAUGUUCCCCAACUGAUGGAAUGAUGAAUGAAGCUUGUUCUCACGCCACUCUGUUGUUGUGUAUUCUAUUCUUUUGUCUGACGGUUCGUUAUCUUUUAGAGGUAAUGACCGAGUGGCAUUACUUUGCUGCGACCAAAACUCUCCCGAGCCAUCGGCCUGUCCUUCUGCGCCUGACUCUGUGCACCAACCUGUACUUUUGUGGACGUCCUCUUGGCCCCUGAACCCUAGUUCCUAUUUUUUCCUCCAUCGCUUUCCAUCUUUCUAAGUUCCCACAUCUUUUCGCGUUUUGUCCCUAAACCACACUGUUUGAAAAAUCAUGAUGGCGCCUAGGAAGAGAAAAUAGAGUGCUGCUACGCCAGACAUCCCUCUGAUCGAUCCUAACAGCCAACUCCCUUAUGCUGGUAACCAUGUUUCUUUCAUUUCUGAAGCUGACCUUCUGCAUCUUGUUGAAAUUUGUGUUCUACCGCCUAAGGAACUAUGUUCCUGGCAGAUCUGGCGGGGAGUUACUGUCCCGACGGAGGAUACCCACGAGGUGGUUAUCUUCGUGCCUUUUCUCACCUGGGGACUGGCCUUGCCAGUUUCUCCCUUUUUCGUGGUCUUCUCGAUUUUUACUCUCUAAUCCUUACGCAUCUAAAUCCCAAUUCUAUGCUUCAAGUUGUUGUGUUUGUUCACCUUUGCGAAGCUUUCCUUGGAAUUCUUCCACACUUUGGGCUUUGGAAGUACCUUUACCAUUGCCGGCCCGGGAUGACUGGAGGGCAACGUCAGCUUGUUGGAGGCGCUAGCUUGGAACUUCGCCGAGGCAGAAAGACUGAGUAUCUCGACAUUCCUUUGAAAGAUAGCAUUAAUGGAUGGCGCUUCGAGUGGUUCACUAUGGAGAAUCAUAACAAAUUGCUUCCUGCUCGAUCAGGGAGAUAGCUCGACAUCCGAACGCCUAGCUGGACAGUGGUCCCCAUAGAUUCAAAGCUUGCUGAGUCCAGGGUGUUGCUUGCCGAGAUAUGUGCGUUGAGGAACAGAGGCUUGACUACUGAAGCUGUUGUUGUUGACUUUGUUUUCAAGAAUAUUCAGCCUUUGAAGGAUAGAGUCUACCUUGCUUACCUAUACACUGGUGUUAAUGACCCCACUCGAAUAACCAACAAGCGAAUAUCUGAGGAGGAUGUGCUGAGUCGAGUUGACUCGAUGCUGAGAGGCAAAGCUUCAAAUGCUAGUGCUCCCCCUUCGUAUUCUGCCUGGAAUCUUCCCCUGUGGUAAGCAUUGUUGCCUAUGAGUUCCUGUAUUUGUCAUGUCUAGUGUCCUUACGGUGUUGUUUUGUUGCCGCAGAGGCCCUUUUCAGAGUUCAUAUCCAACCCGCCUGUCCAAGAUGGCAGUCUAGACCAUAGAGUGCGACCUUCUUCAGAAGAUAUUGAGGCCCUCAUUGUUGUAUACCGGGGUCUCCCAGGAGAGGAAAAACAGACUCAUCUCCAAAUGCAAGCGACUGCUAAUGAGGCUGAAGUGAACGCUGUUCUUAGUAUGCUAGCUGGCGAGUUGUCCAAAUCUACCCAUACUGAGUCGGCGAGUGCUGCAGCUGGGUGUGCCAUCGGUGGGGAUGAAAAAGCUUGCAGUCCUAUAGGUGCACAUUGCAAACGAUCAUGUCGAAUGAGUUAUCUAGCCGUGUCUGUUGAGGGAAAGAAAAGAAAAAGAAAACUUCGGCGUUCAUCCGGAUUGGAGCUAGGGGUUGACUCUACUACCCUAGACCUCGGUGGUGACCCAAUAAGUGCCAAUCUCGAAGAUGAUAUUGAGAGCUGUGGUGCCACUAGAGUCGAUGGACGUGUGUCUGACAAGGAGGAAUAGGAUGAAUAAGAAGUUCCCCCUUUGGUUUGCAAGAAUCGCCGUAGCAAAACCAGCAAUGAUGUCUCAAUUCAGGCUCUGUCAGGGCUGGUUAAUUUUCAGAAGAUGAUGAUGUCGACCAUUGAUCAUGCGCUGGAGGAGAUUAUCCUAGAAGGUCUUUUAUUGGAACUUCCUGAAAUUGGGAGUGCUGGCAUCCGUGCAUAGGUCCCGGAUGACAUUCCAUCAGCUAGUAAUCUUAUCGGGCAAGAAAUAACCCGGACAAUUUCCCAUGCUUCUUCGACCUUUGAGGGUGGCCUGAUCCACGGGGACACCUCGGAUCCUGAUGUUACAUGCAAGGGUUACCUAGCUUCUGGGGGUAUGAUUAAGGAUACUUCAGCCCCCGAGGGUGCUACUGAGGGUGAGCCAGCCCCCGAGGGUCCCGAGCUUAGCUCCUGUUCGGCUACUUCUAUGGAUGUUCAUGUUGGAUCACCACCAGUUUAGUCUGAGGAGCGAGCAUUGACAAGCCUUGAUCUUCCAACUGCUCUUGUUGGCCCGGUCACUUUAGAGGUCAGUGACCCGGGCGUUGAGGAUCUGCUGCACGCUGUUGGAGCUGAGGUCUCACUAGGUGUUGCCUUGGGCAUGAGCUCUAAUCCUCCUCUAGGACUCAAGUCUGCUCUCGAUACUGCCUCUGCUAGUACCCACCAUUCGAUGGCACCUCGGCACCUCCGGCUUUGGGGUUUCCUUUGUUCCUUUCUAACCUUCAGGUGAGCUGAUCCUUGCUCUGCUUUACUUUUGUCGACAAAAGACUCCUUUGCUAAUUCUUGUAAUUGCAGAAUGCCCUAAGCUCUGUGUCGGCUCAGUUGAAGUCUUGCGGUGCCCCUGUCCCCGAUCAGCUUCUAUCCUUGCAGCAGUGGAAUCCUCACCUGCUUCAGAAACAGAAAGAUGACCUGAAAGCAUCGAACAUCAGUUAGUGAGUUGAUAGCUUCCUUUGGUGUUCAUUGCUCCCUCGUUUUACCCCCUAUACCUUUUCCUCUUGCCCUCCCAGCUCUGACUCGAUGAUGUUCCGACGCUGAGGAGAGGUGUGCUCAGAGUCAAGCUGAUCUGAAUCAGGUUUCUGCAUUCUUGGAUGGUGCCCGAACCAUGAACUCUUCCUUGAAUGCUCAGCUUGAUUCAGAGAAGAGAGCCCAUGAGGUAGAUUUUUUUGAUUGUUCACAAUACCUUUGUUUUGCGCUUUUGCUUGGAUGUUUAAUACCCUUCUUGUCUGCUGGAGGAGAUGCGAAGACUUAUUGAUUCCCGUGACAGUCUGGACAAAUUGUAUCGUGAUGCUAGCUCCUCCCUUACUACUUUGGAGAGGAGUCAUCGCUUUACUAUGUCGGAGCUUGACCGCCAUAGGGACAAGUUGAAGGUUUCUCAGAACGAAGUGUCACAACUUAAUAGGUUACUGUCUUCAAGAGAUUCUGUCAUCAGAGACUUGCGUGCUUCGAAGAAACUUGUUUCACAGGAGUUGGAAAUUGCUCGUCAUGACAUCAAGGUCUUAGAGGAUGACCAUGAUAUUAUGAAAGCAAUGUGCGACAAAGCGAUGGACAAAGUUGUUCGCGCUAGUCGAAUCCUGAUGAAGAGACCUGGCGUCGUGGUGCUUGAAGACAUUGUUGUUGACGUGCUCGCUGCGUCCGUUGGUACGAGUAAACCUUCUCCUUCUGGUGAUCCUACUGGCGAGGUCCCUUGUGAGAACACUCCUUCACAGUAAUUGUGCAGUGAAGACAAAUUUUGAUUCGUUUGAACAGAAAAAACUUUUCAUUGAGUUGGUAUUUUUUGUCGAGAUGGCGCACGAUAGAGUCAUGUAUGUGUGAGCAUUCUGUAGCGACUUAAGGUUAUACCGACUUAAGCUGAUUAUGUCGUUAGCAGGGUAUAGUAAUCAACCUAAGUUAUGUAAGCGUGAGCAUGUCGCACCGACUUAAGACAUUUCCAACUUAAACCGAUUACUCCGUUAGUAGGGUAUAGUAAUCACCCUAAGUUAUGUAAGCGUAAGCAUGUCGCACUGACUUAAGACGUUUCUGACUUAAACCGAUUGCUCUAUUAGUAGGGUAUAGUAAUCACCCUAAGUUAUGUAAGCGUGAGCAUAUCGCACUAACUUAAGAUGUUUCUGACUUAAACCGAGUGCUCUGUUAGCAGGGUAUAGUAAUCACCCUAAGUUAUGCAAGCGUGAGCAUGUCACAUCGACUUAAGACCUUUUCGACUUAAGCCGAUUGCUCUGUUAGUAGGGUAUAUUAAUCACCCUAAGUUAUGUAAGGGUGAGCAUGUCACACCGACUUAAGACGUUUCAGACUUAUGUCGAUUGCUCCGUUAGUAGGGUAUAGUAAUGACCCUAAGUCAGUUGUGUUGAUUUAAGUCGUUUCUGACUUAAACUGCUUGCUAAUUGGGAGUUUGUAUGCGGUCAAACACAGAAGCUUUAUUGAUAAUGAAACCUUUUGUUUACAAAGUGUGGCUUGCUGACUGGAGUUUUGAUGUAGUGCUACGGGUAGAAUUUCCUGAGGUGCUCAAUAUUCCACGAGUUUCCCACUUUGGUUCCGUCCAUCUGGGUAAGUUGGUUGGAUCUUGGCCGAGUGACCUCUGCAAUGAUGAAUGGUCCUUCCCAUGGAGGUGACAAUUUGUGUUGCCCUUCUCCCAUCAGCACCUAGCAGAGCACUAUGUCCCCUAUUGCAAAGGAUCGGUGCCGCACUGCCUUAUCGUGGUAGCGCCUCAGAGUUUGCUAGUACCUAGCCGAUUGAAUGACAACGUUCAUACGUUCUUCUUCUAAUAUAUCAACAUCCUCCAGUCUAGUUGCUUCUGCUUCAGCUAUACUUUCAAAUGUUAGCCUGGGUGCUCCAAAGAUCAAAUCCGCUGACAACACUGCUUCUGAUCCAUACCAUCAAGAACAGAGUGUUUCCAUGCAAGGCCCGGCUUGGUUGGGUUUGCAGGCUCCAAACUACAUAUGGUAGUUCUUUGAUCCAUUUCCCCACAAACUUUUCGCUCUUAUCGAACACCUUUUUCCUGAGUGCAUCAAGUAUGAUCCUGUUGGUUCUUUCUACCUGCCCAUUAGCUCUUGGGUGUGUCACUGACGCAUACUUGAUCUGGAUGCUCCUCUGCUCGCAGAAAUCAAACAAAUCUGAGCUAGUGAAGUUAGAUUCAUGGUCUAAGAUGAUGUUGUUAGGUAUCCCGAAUCUAAACAAUUUUUCUUGAAUGAAUUCCACUGCUUUUGCUAAAGUCAAAUAGGCGAUAGGUUUAUACUCUAUCCAUUUUGUGAACUUGUCAAUAGCGAUGAGUAUGUGAGUAUACCCUCCUUGAGCUUUUUUGAAUGGUCCAAUCAUAUCCAGCCCCCAGCACGCAAAGGGUCAGGUUACAGGAAUAGUUUGCAAAUGCUGGGUAGGCAAGUGUUGUUGCUUCGACAGGAACUGGCAUGCUUCACAUUUCUAAACCAACUCUGCCGCAUCAUUCUUUGCUGUUGGCCAAUAGAACCCGGACCUGAAGGCUUUCCCUACCAAUGUUUUUGAUGCUGCAUGUAUGCCACAUUGCCCUCCGUGGAUUUCAUCUAGUAGCUACUGUUGGGGGCCUUCGUCUUCCGAAGGUCCUCAAAAACAUGACUAACAUGCUUUCCAAGUAUUAUAUACUGUCACAGGAACCUUCGGCUUGGAGAUGAAGGUAUGAAUGGCAUGAAAGGCACGGUCUGGGAGAAGGAUAAACCAAUUCCAAAGCUACAGAUGAAGAAGCUUCGGCUUAGCGCAAGGGCGGUGAUGGAAGAUGGAACCGACUUAAAGGGAAAUAUACUACUUAGUCCUCGACUGAUUACUCCUUAGUUAGUAGUAAGUGUCAAGGGAAUGGAUGUAAUUGUACCCAGGCUGUGUCCUAUGCCUAUAAAUAGAUGAACAGUAACACCGUACUGUUCAUGCUGAAUUGUAAUCACUCUAGCGUCACUCCUGCUUUUUCACCUUCCACCAAGCCGAAGGUAUAAAAUGUAAUUCAAUAUUAUUAAUGUUUGUUCGUGGUUAAAUAAUGAGAAUAUGAAAAGGCUAAUGAGUUAAUAUCGUUAUUAUUCAUGUUCUUUUCCAUGUUUCAUAUGUCUCUUCCCUUUUUAUUACAUGUUGUAAUUGCGAAGGUAUGCCCUUCAUAAUCUUCGUCUGAAGAUCAUUAUAUCCUAAAAGAGAUAAUGCUUCAGAGGACGAAGGUCAUUAAUCAUUAACAUUCGUGUUGCCUUGUUCUUAACACAUAACAUUUGAGAACAAGUGACCAACAUUGGCGCCCACCUCCGGUGAACUCACUUGACCACCUUUGGGAAGAUGUGACCUUCGUCAUGCCACCGAAGAAAUCUUCAGCGCUGGGGGCUGCACUGCAGCCACUGGACGUCAACCAAGAAACACUACGUGAAGCUAGAAGCCAAAAAAGGAAGGCUGCAAGUCCAACACCUCAGGAGGAGGAGUUGGACCAAGAAAUCAGGGACCUCGAAGCCAUUCAUCAACAGGUCCAGAGGAAGAAAGAGAAGAUGCUUCGUCUUGCCGAUCUUCAGAGGAAGAUUGAUGAGGCCGCUGAGGAAAUGCGUCAUCUCACCCAAGAUGACUAGGACCAAAGACCUCAGCAUAGAGAGCUUCGUCAAGACAAUUCCUACAAUGAUGAUGAAUGGUAUGAUGAUUUCCAUCAUGGAAAUUUUGCUUUUGAUGAUGCUUAUCCUCUAUCAGCAGAACUGCAGGCUACCCCAUGGACCUCAUCAUACAAGCCACCCUAGCUCCCUAUGUAUGAUGGGCACUCAGACCCGAAGUAGUUUCUAAUGAGCUACGAAGCAACCAUAUCUUCAUAUGGGGGCAACACAGCAGUCAUGGCGAAAUCCUUCGUCAUGGCAGUCAAAAAUGUCGCACAAACUUGGUACACUUCUCUCCAGCUAGGAACAAUCGCAUCAUGGCAGAAGCAGAAGGACAUGUUGAUCACUAGUUUCCAAGGGUUUCAGACGAAGCCGGUCACUGCUCAGGCUUUGUUCCAGUGCACGCAAGACCACGAAGAAUACCUCCAGGCGUAUGUCCGAAGGUUCUUACGUCUAAGAGCACAAGCGCCCAUAGUGCCAAUGAAAUUGUCAUUGAGGCCAUGAUCAAAGGGCUUCAACCAGGACCUACGACUCAGUACUUUGCUAGGAAACCCCCUCAGUCCCUGGAGAAGCUUCUUCAGAAGAUGGAUGAAUACAUCCGGGCUGAUAAUGAUUUCUGUCAGAGAAGGGAAGAAGUCUAUAGGUUUUCUGAAAUGACUAGGGGCUUUGGAGGAAGAAUCCACCCUAGGCAUGUCAGAUCAAUCUAUAACUCCAACCAGAGUGAUGACAGAGGAAGCCAGCUUUAAAGGCCACAACAUACCUCUCAAUCCUCAGGGCAACAACAAAGCUUUUUCAGGCCACUAGCCCCAAGGGGCAGAGGCGACAGGGGCUUCGGAGGAAGGUAUGGGGAUCAGCUUAGAAAGCUCUAUUGCUUAUUCUGUGGUGAAGACAAGGGCCACACUACAAGAACAUGCUAGGUCACUAUUUAGAAGCAAAAGGAGAUUGCCGAAGCAGAGGCGUGUCAGAAUCAACCGAAGCAGGUCUUACAUACUGCUUCAUGCUACUCCCCCUAUGUACCAAAAUACGUAGGUAAUCAACCUGCGGCUUCUGUUGCUUCGACAAGUCAUUCACAAGCUUCCUGGAACCAGCUCCCAUUACCACCACCAUUGCCACCUACUCACACCUGAAGCCAGCAGCCAGAAGGGCACCAGCAUGCCCAACAUCAGCGCGACUUCUAGGAAGAGUCCGAAGCUCGUACAGUCAACAACAUUGUGCCAGAAUCGAAGCAUAUAUACUGAGGAAUAUCCUACUUUUAAUGUACCUUUAUCUUUUAUACCAUUUUAUUUUUUGUACGACAAACGAAUAACGAAGGACUUAAUUUCAAUUUCUUGUAAUAAUUGUGCCUAUAUCAAUGAGUAAAACAUACCUUCCUCACAGACUUCCAAAGCUCGAAAGACAUUUCUAAAGAAGCGGAGUAAACUCCGAAGCUCAAAAGUCGUUCCUAAGGGAAUGCAGAGACAAAAAUUAAGUUCCGAAGCUGCAAAAAGUCGUUACUAAGGGAGCGCAGCGUAAGUUUUUUGCUCAAAAGUCGUUCUUAAGGGAAUGCAGAGCCAAAAACUAAGUUCCAAAGCUGCAAAAAGUCGUUCCUAAGGGAGCACAGCGUAAGUUUUCUGCUCAAAAGUCGUUACAAAGGGAAUGCAGAGCCAAAUACCACCAAAAUAGAAGGUGAAGAAGCACAAAAGUCAUUCCUAAGGGGAUGCAGAGCUUAAAGCCACCGAAAUAGAAGGUGAAGAAGCUCAAAUGUCGUUCCUAAGGGAAUGCAGAGCUUAAAGACUCAAAAGUCAUUCCUAAGGGGAUGCAGAGUCUUGUGUUCCAGUGUGGGCGUGUGUGUGUAUGGUCGACAUCAUCAUUUUGCAUCAUGUCAUCAUAUCAUUCCGCAUAACAUUACAUCAUACAUCAUAUCGCAUCAACAGCAAAAAAGAUUGAAUACGAAGCAAAUCUUCAGCAAUACUUUGGUAAAAGAAAAUGUGCUGACGCAUGAAUCGAACUUCAGGAAAUACGUCUUAAUCGGACUCGCCAAAGACAGGGUUUGUUUCUUUACGAAGCAUGAAAAGAAGGGAAGGUGUUUUUUUCGCCGAAGGCUCAAAAACGGUAUGUACAUAAGUUUCAUGCAUCGCAAAGAAAUAUAUUACAGCAAUUUACAUGACUCAUCAAUUGUUCAAAACACCAAAUGUUACAAAGUGUUUUUACAAUAAGGUCUAAUCUUCCCUAAGAAUUUUUUCCGCAGCUUCGUUCAAUAACUUGUCGACGACUUCAUCAAUAAUAGAGUUAGCAACGCUCAUUACAUCUAAUGCUUCCUUCAUAACCGGAUCAGCUAGGGGGUUGUAUGGCUCCGGCAGCGGUGAUAGUUCAGCUGUAGUAGGCAAACUAUUAGUUCGAAGCCACAAAUUAAGUGCCGAAGCUAAAAACUCAAAAACAAUACCUAUGCGCCUUUCGUGUUCAGCAGCUUCUUUAGCUCGCCUAGCUUCUUCUUGGACUUCAUGGGUUUCUUUUUCAUUUUUCUUUAUUAUUAUUUCAUUGGCCAAUUCUCGGCCACCGUUCACCCAGAUAUCAGAAUAAAAUAUUCCACCCACCGAAGUAGCUUCGACCGAGGGGUCUUUUAUGUCGUCUAUGGAGAAGGCCACUUCAGCUUCGGCCGCAGCUUUAACAUGAUUGCAUCUAGCCUUCUCCAGAAUAGACGCAAUUCCCCGUGCGCCGGAGAAAGCACAGAUAUCCCCACAAUUGCUUAGGAUCUCCUCGAAAGCUUCGGCUUCCCCGCUUAUCCAUUCAAUAAGGCCCUCGGGGUCGCCUCGAAUAAAAUUCUCCUCAGAAGAAUAGGCGCCCACUUUGGAAAAGCUAGUUUUCAAUUUAUUUACCCAAUCCAAGGAUUUUUCAAAACAUAUUUCCUUGGAUUCGCGAAGCUCCUCAACAUUUUUCUCUAGCUUAGUCUUCCAAUAUUCACUAAUUUCUUGGCUAGCCUUUGCGAGCGCAUAAUUUUCAUUGGCUUCGGCAAGUUUUUUAUGAAGAUCUUCAACGACUUUAUAAGCUUCAGUUUGAGCAUUAAAUUUUGCUUCAUCUUCUUUUGCUUUAUCCACCAAUGAAAGUCGAAUUUUAUCUUUCUUCAUGGCUUUGUUUCUCAGCUUGAUGACCUCUGAUCGAAGGUUGCUGAGAGCUACAGAGCAGCUCUCGUCUUUGGCGUUCUUUUGCGCCCUUAGGGCGUUGCUAAGGAUUAAGCCCUACAAGAAAGAAUAAAGGAUUAGCCUGAGAAUAAAAGACUUCAUUCCCAAGUCCAUAAACUUCAAAGUUCACUUCUGUACCUUUAGACUGUUGUAUGCGAGGCUAUCCGCGAGGUCAGCCUUUGUCAUGGCGCAGAGGCCAGCUUCGAGCUUCGGAAAUCCCACACUUUUGGCCAUCUCCCGGCAGAUGGAUAACUCUUUGUUGUCAGGGAGGCAGUACAGGAAAUCAUCUUUGUCCGUCCUGUUAAACACUAAGGCCCCCUUUGGAUACUUAAGCUCCCGGGCAUAGUGUUUGGCUUCAAAAACUUCUUCUUUGGAUAAUAUUUUCCCUGAAGCAUGUCGAGUAAUAUUGUCAAGAUCUUCGGAGGGGGCUUCAGGAGCAGAGGAUUUGGCUUCUUUGGCCACAUUUUUCUCUAGAGCUACGCUAGUAUCUAGAGAUUUUUCUUCGGCCUUCUGCUCAGUUGUGGCAAGCUUCGUUUUAGCAGGCACUGAGGGCCCAGCUUCGGUCUUCGUAUGAGCUGUAACGGCUUCGACAACCUUCUUCAUAGGAGCAGGAGUCAAUGCUCUUGUUGUCUCCGCAACGGCGUCUAGCACGCUGGCCAUUCUUCUCCUUUUGGGAGUGGUGGUAGGAGCCUUUGUAACCUUCGGCAGUUCCGCUUCUGCUGAUGGGCUCAGAAUUUCCAACAGCUUUGUUGCCUUUUCCAAUUCUGGCUUUUUGGCUGCCUCAUCUUCGGCUUCGACUGGCUCAACUAUAGACAACUUCAGCGCUAUAGUUGAUUCCUCAGCACUCCGAGUGGCGGGAGCAUCCUGUUCCGCUUCAGCAGUGGAAGAUGUCUCCUCACCAAAUUUUGGCACUAUGGACGUUUCAAUAUAUCUGGGCCUGUGGGUUAAAACUUUGAUUUUCUUGCCCUUUGGCGCAGCUGGAAUGGCCGAAGCGGCAGCUUUCCUCUUUUUACCCUGCUUUCACAGGGGAUAGCAAUAAUCAGGAUACAUAAAACCAAUCACAUCGAAAACUCUGUUCAAUCUUUUCUUGGUCCGACCCCUGAAGGCUGAGGACAAAGAGUCAUCUUCAGCCCUGGUGUAUGCCCCAAGAAAUUCAUCGGUAGUAGCCUCAAUGCAUUUCAACCAGUCGUCAUUUGGUUCGUCGAACCUUUCUCUGUAUCUGAAGGUAUAUUUCAAUCGAACUAAUCCACCUUCGCUGGACCCAGCAGCAGUCUCCUUUAGCAUCUCCCAACUAUCCACAAGUGGCCACACCCUAUAGGCUAUGUGCUCUUGGAUUAUGUCUCUUGUGCCAAUGAAAGCACAGACAUUGCUAAAAGCCUUUUGACAUGCUUCGGUAUCACUUUCAAUUGCUACCUUCGGCCUUCGAAGGCCGAAGCGAGACCAGAUGGGACAUUGGAUAAUCUCCUUAAUGUCCUCCCUCUUAAUCAGAUCAUUCUUGACAUAAAACCAUUCCUCCAUCUAGGCCCUAGGCCAUCUUUUCUGAAAUGUUGGAACCGGGUAGCUUGUUGAAGUGCCCCAAUCCUUUGGGACUCAAAUGUGAUACAAUUACUAGUCCCAGGAGGCUAGUAAACACAUUUAUAUAUCAGAUGAUUCUAGAUCUGCUUAAACGAGACAAACCUAUAAAGAUGGCGAUCAACUUUAAGAGUUGGUCCACAACUCGGGACAUAUCGUCAGAGUGGGGCUGAAGCAGCCCGAUAUACGCAGCAAAGCAAUUCAGCGGCCCAACAGCCACAUGCAAGGUUGGGAACAGGCGUAACUCUUACCCGAUCUCUUUUUCUGAAAAAACAACAAGUAAGCAAGGGUGAGUACAAAUGUACUCAGCAGCCCACCUUCACCCGCGUAAUGGGGAAAUCAGAUAUAAUGCAUGGAAUAUGUGGAGCUCAGGAUAUUUUGCAGAAACAGCAAUAUUUUAUGCAGGGUUGUUUUGUAAAAUAUUUUGUAUUUUUUCAAAGCGCAUCCUCUCCCAAAGGAGCAGAAAGUUUUUCAAUAUAGAAUAAAAUCCCCUGGACUAAACCAUCCAGGUAUCUCAGCAGUUUCCCACUGGUUUUCAUUUUCAAAAACAGCUACUAGACUUCCCGUCCACCAUAGCUCACGGCUCAACCGCUGGACCUUUUAAAAACCACUUUUCUCAAACACACCCUUUUUUUUGAAAACAAAACACUAAUUUUCAUACCACACCAGACUCGUCCAUUCCUAUAGACACAGACUAUUCGAAUAGGUUUGAACUCUGUGCAGAGGGGUACACUUUACCCACUAGUCCGGUUUCUGUGAUCUCACCGUCGUGAGACCCGAAUGCCGAAUCUCUUUCUUUCCUCGCCGUCCUUACCUUAACGGUUAUACCGGAAGGAGUCAGGCCACCGCCAUGUCCAAACCGGACAAAACAUUCCCCCUCCUUAUCCUCCCGGUGCUCCCCAGCCUUCAUAACCCUAGGGUUUGGACCGUACGAGUUCAGAUUGAGUGACUGCCCAUACAGUCUCUAGUGGUUGUACUUAUCAUGAGUAUAGGUAGUGAAGGAUGACAAACCGGUCCUUAUGUGAGGGGACAAUCCUUCUGCUCACACCUAAACCUGCUGAGCCAUCACCUUAGGCCCUCCCCUAAACCAGGGAGUCCCUGAUCAUCCCUACUCAAAGGUGAUAAGGGUGAAAACCCUUCAUCAUACACAUUUUGAAAAGCAUUUUCUUUUGAAAACUCACACCUUUUCUCAAAUCAUUUGUAACAAAUAUGUCAAGGAUUGAUUGCGGCAAGCGACAAGGUGGCCAUAAUAACUUGUCUCAAAAUCAUAUCAUGCAUAAAAUAACAGGCUGAGGGUUGUGGUUUAAAAACAUAGGUAAUUUAUGCAUCAAAGGGAUCUAGUGAGCUUGUCGUGCUUAUCCGGCGAAGGGGGAAGGGGAGCUCGCGGAACUGGCUUCUGGCUCCACCGCCUGGCGUAGACUUGCAGAUCUGGCCUCCACGAGACGGCACGAACGCUACGAUAACUAUGCAACAUGAACAAGCAAACAUACAAACCAACAAGUAUACCAACAAAUAUUUAGUAUAGUGGUCAGAAUAGCAAUAUAUGGAUGGGUAGAGUCUUGAGUAGAAUAUAUGUCAUGUGGUGUUGAGAUACUACUAGUGGUAGAGCGGAGGUGCUUACCACGAGGGUGGACUGGAGGCGAAGUGACACUAUGCGUGUAGCCAGCAGAGCGGAGUAACUGAGUGGGUGGGGUGUUUGCCUUGGCUGAGGGUGUUGAGUGUGUGUGGAGAGGGAGAGGGUAGCUGAGUGUAUUUAUGGCUAGGUGUAUGUGGUGUAGCACAGUGAAGUUCACUGUUAGUGAGAAUAGUGACGAAUGAAUCGUCUAACUUAGUACGAACAUGAGAGUUAUAGGCAGAAUAUGGGACAAGAGUAUUUUAGGAGUUUUCUGGAAUAUGGACCAUGCUUAAGGGAUGACAUGGUUGGAUAUGGAAUAGUUCGAUAAGAAUUUAGAAACAAGAAUUAUUGGAAUCGAAGUUUGGAAGCCUGGUUCGAAGGAAUCUCAAAGUUAAGCGUGCUCAACUUGGAGAAACCUGGGAUGGGUGUCCAGAUGGGAAGUUCCCUACUGGAAGGAAAAUCACAGUCACCGGAGUUCGUAUGACUAGAAUAUGGGUCUGGCUGGUCUUAGGUGGACUGGACAACAUGAUGGAUGAGUAGUUGAAAUUUGGGGGUGAUCGGAUGAUCGAUGAAUAGUAACGAUGAAUAGUGACGACGAAAAAGUUACCAUAGGUAUCAUCGAUGAAUAGUGACGACGAAAAAGUUACCAUAGGUAUCAUCGAUGAAUAGCAACGAUGAAUAGAACGAUGAUGAAUAGUGUCGGUGUAUACUAACGAUGGUGAAUAGUAGCGAUGAUGAAUAGUAACGGUGAAUAGUAACGAUGAAUAGUAAUGGUGAAUAGUGAUGGUGAAUAGUCCGUAUGAACGAACGAUAAAUGAUGAAUAGUGACGAUGAACGAACGAUAGGAACUAUGAACGAACGGACGAACGAUCGAAUGAUUGGACAAACGAACGAUCGGAAUUUCGGCAGCAUAACGACAUGAUAAAGAUUAUCUGGAAGAAUGAUGAAUAGGGACGAUAAACGAUGAACAGGAACUAUGAACGAAUGAUGAACGAUGAAUAGGAACUAUGAAUGAACGAUGAACGAUCGAAUGAUCGAACGAACGAACGAUCGGAAUUUCGGCAGCAAAACGGCAGGACAAAGAUUAUCUAGAAGAACGAUGAAUAGGGACUAUGAACGAACAAUGAACGAUGAAUAGGAACUAUGAACGAACGAUGAACGAUUGAAUGAUCAGACGAACGAACGAUCAGAAUUUUGGCAGCAUAACGGCAGGAAAAAGAUUAUUUGGAUGAACGAACGGACGAACGAUCGAACGAUCGGACGAACGAACCAUGAACGAUCGGACGAACGAUCAAACGAUCGGACGAACGAACGAGCAAACUAAGAACAGGGGGGACGAACGAUCGAAGAACGACCGAAUGAUCCUUGUGCUAGUGUGUGCUUGUGUGGGAGAUGGAGUGGGCGUGUGUGUGGGGGGGGGAGAGAGUUGCCAUGAAAUGGCUUGGGGUGGGAUGAGAGGAGGCCCUUGCCCCUCUAUUUAUAGCCAUGGUGGGGGAUUAGGGGGAGGGAUGAGAGGAUUAGUGGGAGGAUGAGAGGAUUAGUGGGAGAUUAGCAUGCAUUUGUCUUAUAUGAGUGUAAUUAGCUUGUAGAGCUCACCGUAUGACACCGGAGGCAUACGUAUACGUAUGAGCAUGAGGAAAGUUAUGAAGAAAAUAUUUGUAGGGACUUCAAAAUUGAUUCUGAAGGUAUUUCUGAGGAGGAAAAUACUUGGAGAUAUAUCGGUGGAAUAUUUGGACAGUAUUUCUGGAAAGAAAUUGACGGGGGUUACUGGGGAAAUAUCUGGGCAGUAUUUCUGGAAAGAAUUUGAGGGGGAUCACUGGGGAAAUAUUUGUAGGAUAUUUUCAGGAGGAUUUUGGAGAGAAUAUAGACCACUAUAUUUUAUUAGCUGAUAUCAACUCGCAAACAAACAUUUUGAAACAAAAUUUAAAAUUCAUUUUGAAUUUAGAGCGAGUUUGAGAAAAUUUCAAGAUUUGAAUUUUUGGGAUGCUACACUUGUGUUGGGACGAGCAAUAAAUCCAUAACAACCGAAGUUGUGGUGAUAUUGUUCUUUGCCAGUAGCCUUUGUCUCGUACAAUAGUUCGUGCAUAUUGCAGAAACAUUUUGCGCUCAGUUCCAGCCCUUGGCUUUUUACAGCCCAAACAAACAUCCCCAUCCUAAUUAUAACUUCGGGAGUAAUUUGGUGAAGAAAGAUCUGGAAUAUCUUCAACACUUCAACCACAAAUUUGCUCAAUGGGAACCGAAGGCCUGCCUUCAUAAAGCUUCCGUAAACAACAACUUCAUUUUCUUCAGGAACAGGGGCGCUGCUGUCUCCUCCAACCCUCACAAUAGACAUAUCACGAAAGUACCUUCCCCUCAUGGCGUCAACCUGACUCUGUUUAAUGGUCGACUUUCCGAAGAUAGUAUGGCUUGGUCGCCAAGGCCGAUCUUCGGAAUCUUCAUCUCCACUUUCCACCUCAAAGUCAUCACUGUCAUUAGAAUCUUCAGAUAGAUCCGCCAUUAUCUCCUCUGUAAUCUUUUCUGUAUUUGUUUUUGCCAUAGAUUCAUAAAACCCAGCAAUAAAAGGGUCCACAACCUUCUUCUCCUCGGCCACCUUCGUCAUCUCAGACACCUUCUUCUCCUUAGACAUUUUUUUUUUCCAAAACUUCAGUAUUUUGCAAAGAUCGAAAAUCAAGCAAGAGCUGACAACAAGAGAAUUUAAAUUUGAGAAAAUAGUGCAAGCAACAGAAAUGGCGUAACAAAUGUCGCUGCUGCGGGUUUCUAUUUAUACGCCCAGUGCAUUGCAACUUGGCGGGUCCCAUUUGUCAUUGACUUUCACUAUUCUAGCGAAGGGAAGGUGUUUUUUCGGACCUUCAGCUUAAGGCCUUCGUUCACGUCGCAGUUUGAAUUUAUUAUUACAAGAACAAAUUAAUACUGCGAGGGGCUACUAUUGGGGGCCUUCGUCUUCCGAAGGUCCUCAAAAACACGACUAACAUGCUUUCCAAGUAUUAUAUACUAUCACAGGAACCUUCGGCUUGGAGAUGAAGGUAUGAACGACAUGAAAGGCGCGGUCUGGGAGAAGGAUAAACCAAUUUCGAAGCUAUGGAUGAAGAAGCUUCGGCUUAGCGCAAGGGCGGUGAUGGAAGAUGGAACUGACUUAAUGGGAAAUAUACUACUUAGUCCUCGACUGAUUACUCCUUAGUCAGUAGUAAGUGUCAAGGACAUGGAUGUAAUUUUACCCAGGCUGUGUCCUGUGCCUAUAAAUAUAUGAACAGUAACAUCGUACUGUUCACGCUAAAUUGUAAUCACUCUAGCGUCACUCCCGCUUUUUCACCUUCCACCAAGCCGAAGGUAUAAAAUGUAAUUCAAUAUUAUUAAUGUUUGUUCAUGGUUAAAUAAUGAGAAUAUGAAAAGGCUAAUGAGUUAAUAUCGUUAUUAUUCGUGUUCUUUUCCAUGUUUCAUAUGUGUCUUCCCUUUUUAUUACAUGUUGUAAUUGCGAAGGUACGCCCUUCAUAACCUUCGUUUGAAGAUCAUUAUAUCCUAAAGGAGAUAAUGCUUCGGAGGACGAAGGUCAUUAAUCAUUAACAUUUGUGUUGCCUUGUUCUUAACUCAUAGCAUUUGAGAACAAGUGACCAACAACUGCCUUCCUGUAGCCGAAUGAAUACAUUUCAUAAGGACUCCUCCUGCACCUCUUCUAUAUAGCAGACCCUCUAUGAUGGUAUAUUGGGCCGACUGUCUUACGAUGCGCUCUGUCGUGGCCUUGUCAUCCGGUUCUUCCUUGUUUUUAUAUACCUGGUAAUUGGCUCCCUCUAGUCAUUGGGAUCUGUUUCUGCUUGGUCUAAGGUGUUGCAUUCUUCAGCAUGCUCUGCGGUGAUGCUUGGUUGCUGUACCUCUUGGAUGAAAAUACCAGGUGGAACCUGGGCCCGCCUGGACCCCAUUUUUGACAAUGCAUCUGCUGCUGCAUUGCGAUCCCUUUCCACGUGACCCCAUUUUUUUGGACCCCUUGAAUUCUAAACCCUCGAAUUUGUCUUCCAGCUUCUGCACCACAGCGCAAUAUUUUUUCAUUGAGUCGGUUGAGCAGUCCUAGUCCUUGUUUACCCGGCGGAUGACUACUAGCGAGUCGUCGUAUACCAUUAUCCUUUUGAUGCCUAGUGAAAUGGAGAUGCUUAGCCCGUGAACUAAGGCUUCAUACUUUGUGGCAUUGUUGGAUGCUAGAAACAGGAGCUGAAGCACAUACUUGAUUUGGUCACCUCCAGGGGCAAUGAAAAGGAUCCCCGCUCCUAACUCCUGCAAUCUUAACGAGUCAUCAAAGUACAUUUUCUAGACUUCAACAGCUUCUGGGUUUUCUGGGACCUGGUGCUCGGUCUAUUCUGAUAUAAAAUCGACCAGUGCUUGAGUCUUUAUUGCAAUACAAGGUCAGAAUUCUAUGUCAUGAGCUUCGAGUUCACAUGCCCAUUUGGCUGUUCUUCCAACAACUUCCUUAUUGUGGAGUAUAUCUCCUAUUGGGAAUCCUGUGACUACAAUGACUUUGCGGUCAUCAAAAUAGUGCCGAAGUUUACGAGCAGUCAGAAGUACUGCAUAUAAUAGCUUCUGAACUUGAAGGUACCUUAUCUUCGAGGGACUGAGGACAUCGCUGAUAAAGUAAAGAUGAUGCUUUACUAGAUAUGCACGCCCUUCUUCUGCCCGCUCGACUACCAACAUAGUGCUUACCAUGUGAGUCGUGCAGGAGAUAUAUAGCAGUAGGUCCUCGGCUAGCUGAUCGGAUGUAGCUCGGCGCGGUGGCUUGAGUACUGGUGGUGUAGUCAAAAACUUCUUUAGUGUUUCUAGGGCUUCUUGAGCUUCUGUGGUCCACUGGAAUUUAUCCACCUUCUUGAGCAAUUUAUAGAAUGACAUUCCUCUUUUGCCAAGCCUUGAAAUGAAUCAACUCAGCGCUGCCAUGCACCCAGUGAGCCUCUAUACUUUCUUCUAUGAUCAUGGUGGCUCCAUUCUCAUUAUGGCUUCAAUUUUUUCUGGAUUUGCCUCUAUUCCUCGAUGGUUGACGAUAAACUCAAGUAGCUUUCCAGCCAGCACUCUGAACACGCAUUUCUCUAGAUUCAGCUUCCAUCGGUAGCACCUCAAGCUGUUGAAGACCUGCUACAAAUCCUCGAUGAAGUUAUCCAAGUUUUCAGUUUUGAUUACUACGUCAUCAAUAUAGGCUUCCACUCACUUGCCCCAGUGGUUAGCUAAGCAUGUUUGGAUAGCCCUUUGCUCCAGUGUUUUUGAAGCCGAACGACAUGGAGGUAUAGCAGAAAGCCCCAAAAGGUGUGAUGAAUACAAUCAUUUCUUCGUCUUCUUUUGUUAGACUGAUUUGGUGAUAUCCGGAGUAGCAAUCUAGGAAAGAGAGCAUAGAACAGCCAACGGUGGAAUCGACUACCUGAUCUAUCCUAGGGAGUCCGAAAGGAUCUUUCAGGCAAUUUUUGUUGAGAUCGGUAUAGUCGACGCACAUGCGCCAAUCAACUUUAUUCUUUUUGAGUACAAGAACAGGAUUUGCUAGCCAUUUAGGAUGUAGUACUUCUCUAAUGAAACCUAUCGUUACCAGGCGAGCUAAUUCCGCUCGAAUGGCCUCUCUUUUGUCAGCCAUGAAAUGGUGUAGCUUCGUCCGGAUUGGCCUUGCCUUAGGGUACACUUUGAGUUUGUGCUCGACCAGCUCUCUCAGGACUCUCGGCAUGUCCGUAGGUUUCCAUGCGAACACGUCCUGAUUGUCUUGCAGGAACUGGAUGAGCGCGCUUUACUAUUUUUCGUCGAGGCUGGAACUGAUGAUAGCGGUCUUGCAUUCAUCAAAGAAUCCGAGGUUGAUUCUUUUAGUUUCUUCGGUCGACCGCAUAGAGGUCGUGGCCAGGGCUUCAUUCGAAGGGAUCGUGAAGUCUUCUUCCACCGACUUGCUAUCGACUUGCGCGGGAAGGACUACCGAGGGCUCGGUACUGAGAGCCAUCUGAAUGGCACCCCAGAAGCAUUCUGUGCCUUAGAACUCAGCACGCACGGUGAUGAUCCCUUGAGGUCCUGGCAUUUUGAGUAUCAUAUAUGGGUAGUGCGUGAUGACCAUGAAUUUCGCCAACCCCGGUCUUCCAAUAAUGGCGUUGUACCCACAAUCGAAACACGCCACCUCAAACCUCAGGAACUCAGUUUGGCAGUUCUUUGGGGUUCCAAAGGUGAUGAACAUGUAGAUGUGUCCCGGUGGGUAUUCUUGUUCGGUCGGCAUGAUGCCAAAGAAAGGGGUAUCCGACUCAGUGAGAUCGUCGAUGGCGACCCAGAGCCUGAAGCAUUUCGGGAAAGGUGACACUGAUGUUGCUGCCACCAUCCACCAGUACCUUCUUAACCUAGCUUUCCUAGAUUACAGGGUCGAGGAGUAGUGGGUAUUUGCCGGGGUGGUCGAAGUUAAGCCACUGAUCAGCUCGGCUGAAGGAUAUUGUGUUCUUAGACCAUCGGUAAGGAGCCGAAGCACUGUUUGUGGCCACUAGAACUUGUCGAUCAUUAAGUUUUUGUUGCCUUCUACUUUCUUGUGCCUCGUGGCCUCCGAAUAUGACAUUGACCUACCUAUCAAUGCACAGGAAAGCUCCACCUCUCCACCCUUCCUGUUGCUAAGGCUGCCUAGGCUCAUUAGGCUCUCCUCGAGGCGGGGGAGGUGGCAGUGGUUGGAAUGGUCGGCCAUGCCCAAUGGAGUUUUUGAAAUCCCUGCAGUUCUAAAGGGUGUACCACGUGUCCUUGUGGUAUGGGCAUUGGGAGUCGAGAAUCUCAUCCAGUGUCCUUAUCCCUCCAUGGGGUGCACCAUGGUCUCGAGCGGCAGGUGGCUCGAUAGUGUGCACCUCCUCGCGGGGUCUCUUCUCCCAGCGUUUGUCUGGUUGCUGGUUCGUGUCCCUUUGCAGUGCGAGUGGUACGGGCUUUGUGCCUCCAAUGAGGUCUUGAGCCCGCUGAUCCAUGGUAAUGUAAACGUCCGCCUCCCUGAACAGUUGUUCAGAGGUGACUAGUGCUUUUUGAAGUAUGGCUUGAACAAAAGCCAGAUCGUUGGAUCCCAAUAGAAGUAUUCAAUCACAACCGCCUCAGCGACCUCGGGGAUAUGGUUCCUCAUUGUUUGAAACCUUUUGAGGAACGAAUGAAGAGUUUCAUCAUUCUGUUGCCUAAUGGAUUUGAGAUCCCAUGGCUAAGCCGGUUUAUCGAAGAGGGACAGGAAGUUUGUGAUAAGCCAACGACUAAAAUCUCCCAAAUCGUUGAUGCAGUGUCGAGGCAGAUGCCAAAGCCAUUGCAAUGCAUCCUGCCCCAGAACGAUGGGCAAGUACGCUAUCAUGACGUCCUCUGUUGCCCUAGCAGCCUAGGCAGCAGUUGUGUAGACGGCCAACCAACCCCCUGGGUCCUGCUUGGGCUCAUAUUUAUCGACGUUGGAGACUUUGAAAUUGGGAGGCCAUUGGAUGGCCUGGAGGCUAGGGGUGAGCGUGGAGACCUCGCACGUAUCCACUUGUCGAUGAUCAUGCCAUUGAUCCCGGGGAGGAGAGUGAGUAUUAGGUCGCCUCGACCAUCCUGGGCCGGACUAUUGGUUGAGGCUGCUGCUGACUCGAUUUGGGUUGCGCGGCUAUGUGCCGGUACACCAUGAUCUCGGUCGUAUUCCUCCCGGUGCCUUAUUUCAUUCUCGUGCUGAUGGUCGCGUGAAGCACUGAUGUUGCUCCGUGCAUCUCAUCGGCUGUUGAUGGCGUGACAUAGGUCAUUCAGUGGGUGGGUGAGAGGUAGAAGAUGAUUGGCUGCCUGAGUAAGCACCCGCUGAUAGCCCUCCACGUCUGGGGUUCGUGGGAGGCUAUCGGCUAUCUGCGCCAGGACUCCUCCAACUUCGCUCGAUGUGUUCAAUGCUCGAGCAAAGUCGGGGUACAAGUUUCGGGCAAGGAGCGAAUUCUCCCGUCGGAGCCUAGCAUCUUGUUCGGCUAGUUCCCGCUCACGUUCCUGAGCUUGACGGUGGUUGUGGCGGUAGGAGUUGCGUCGUUCUCAAUGUGCUCUUUCGUCGGGGGCCUCCCCCAUCUUUGAGGCUUCGUCCCAAGAGUCGGGUUGUGUCGGGUCCCGUUCUCUAACUUCGUGAUGUCGCCACACUUCACGACGCCUGUUUCUCCAUCGCCGAGCAUCGCGCUUGGGAUGUUCUUCCCCCAGUAUGGUGGGUUCAUCAUCAGAGAUGGGCGAUGACUCUAGUCUCCCCUAAAUGAAAAGGAUGUCAGGGAAGAAAUGAACUGGUGUAGUGGCGUGCCUCUUCUCAUCAUCCUUUGAGGGUGGUGGUGUCGAGAUGAUUGCCCAUUGUGCUUUCCUUCCUUGGUAUGGAAUAUCCACUUCCCUUUGCUGGGUGAUCCGUGUCCACUCCUUAGUAGGCGAGGUGGACAAUAGAGUUCGCCAGGUUGGGGAGGCCAUGGUUGACUGGCCUUGUACCCUCUGGGGACUCCUGAGCCCAGGCUUGCGCGGGACCAUGCCCGUCGCGCUAUUAGCGGGGGCACGGCUCGCGGUUUCACUCCAACUUCCUGUGGAAUUCCGAAGGAGGAUUUCUUCUUGGGUGGAGUCGCUAUGCGAUGCAGAGUUCCCUGUGCAUUCGCUACACAUGAGAUGGUCCCGAAGCAAAAAAUAGCUCCUGGGCUGAAGGUGAUCUUGCUCUUGAAGAUGAUGGCCAUGGAGUUAGCAUUGAUCGACGACACACCCCCUACCUAGCGCGCCAACUGUCGGUGUUUUGUGUCCGACCGCACACCCAGGGUACCCUCGUGGUGCUUUUGGGUAGGACAGUGUCGUGGAUCUUAACUCGAUGGUUCGCGCUUGGGCACAAGAGAGAGAGAGGCAAGAGGAUUUCAGUAGGUUUGGGCCGCUUUGAGGAGCGUAAUACCCUACUUCCUGCGAUGGCUUUGUAUGUGAGUGGUGUUACAGGUGGUGUCUACCGAGUUGUGAUAUAUUAAUGAGAUGAAAAUGGAGGGGAUCCCCCUUGUCCUUAUAUACACGACCGUAGGGUGCUUCCCGCGUACAAGUUGAUCAUACUUUUCCUGCUUAUCUCCUAGUUAAUAGCAAACAACCUUCACUGUCUCGAGGAAAACCUGGCGCCUCUGCUCCGAGCUAUCUUCGGUGUUUGAGGAUGUCAGGCGCAGGAAAAUCAAAUGACCUCAACAUGAUCACGCCCAAACUACGACUAGUCCGGGCAUGGGCCCAUCACGCUCCUGGGUCGGCCUGCUUCCACUGUUUCCCUUUGCCCAGGCAACGGCGGGAUGUCACAGAGGGGCAACUGUCAUGUGGCCCCGGGCAAAGUUUUCGCCCCCGAGUGGACCCGGGGGAUAUCUGUCCCCCACAAUAUCCCACUCGAGCGUCCAUCUAGGUGGUAGGGUGGAUGGCUAAGUAACACAAACAACCAUCUCUUGGAGGGUACCUGAAAAAUUGGUGCCACAAGCAAGGCUGAGUAUACUAAUACUCAACUAGACUUACCUGAUGUGAGGAGUCUACUCCUCUACCUCUAGACCAUGAAGUUGUUUGGUUGAGGGGUUUGGUUUGCCAAAAGCACUAGCAGAGUCUAAGUCAAGUUUUACAUUUCAAGUUCUAGAGUGUUCUUUAAACUAGGUUAGUGUUGUUCACUUGUUCUCAAAUGCUGUGAAUCAAGAACAAGGCAACACAAUUGUUAAUUAUUAGGGACCAUUGUCUUCUAAAGCAUUAUCUCCCCAUGGAUAUAAUGAUCAUCAGACAAAGGUCAUGAAGGACAUACCUUCAUCAUUCAAUAUGUAAACAAGAAUGCAAAGAGACGAAGAGACUAACUAUAUCUCGUUAAUUCAUUCAUAUUUGCAUUCUAUUAAACAUGUAUGAAUAUCAACAGAAUUCAUAUUACAUGGAUUCCUUCAGCUUGCUCGAAGGUGAAGACACGAGAGAGUGAUUACAAUUCAGUUUGAAUAGUACGGUGUUACUGUUCAUCUAUUCAUAGGCACAGGACGCAGCCUGGGUAAAAUUACAUUCAUGGCCCUCAACAUUUAUGUAUAGACAUAACUUAGGCUAUUAAGGUCUAUCUAGUCUUUUCCUCUUCUGCUUGAUCAGAACCGAAGCUGAUGGUAGCUUCGGCAUUUGUCAUCGUUGCUUCUACGCAGGGUCUUCAUAUUGAGAACCUUCGGUAGAGGAAGGGAAUACAUUUGUAUCACUUUGUCGAAUGUGUUUUUGUCUUAAGGACCUUCGGUGGGGAAUAAGACCCCCAAUAGUAGCCCUUCGCGGUGCUAGAUCGUUUUUUCAUAACAAGCUCGAUCCACGAAAAACACGAAGGCUUCGGAACACUGAAGGUCCAAAAAACACCUUCCCUGAGCUUGUUAUCAAAAAACGAUUAAAAUAUUCCGUGCGCUGGCUGGUCCACCGUUCAGCCAGUAUACACGCUUUGGCGGUUCACCUUCUUCUCUUAUAGGACUAUAUAAACAUACGAGUUGGUGAGAAGUUACCACAUCAUUCAUUGCUAUUGCACCGUUGUGCUGUUGAAAAUUUUAACUGAAGCCGAAGCUUUCUGCAUUGUUCUUUCAAACAAGCGCGUCGUCAUUUAAGAUCAGCUUCAUCUAAAAGAAACUGAACAUUGAAAUGGCCUGAGUAAGAUCCACUACUAGGGUGUCCCAUGAGGGAGAUGAGAUUGAAGUAACCAAGACAGCGCCCAUAUUAGAAGUGAUGAGGCGGUCAGGUUUGGUUGUUCAAGAGGGAGUUACUGUCGAAGGCACCUCCAACGCAUAAGUUGUACAAGCUGAGGUCGAAGUCGAAAGUGAUAAUGAAAGUGAAGAGGAUGAUAGCAUUCUGUGCCCAACCAAGCCUAGUCACGUUGAAUUUGGAAAAUCCACAGUAAAAGCAGAGGAUCUGGUUGUGAUGAAGAAACUAGGUUAUUUUGUAGAGAAUGAAGAUGGAUUGAUUCGCUUUGCUGGAGAGGAAGUAAUUCCAGAGCCGAAGGAUGAUGAGGUUGUUGUGUUCAAGAGCUUCUUCAGGGCGGGGCUUCAGUUCCCCCUUUACAAUAUGAUAGGGGAAGUUUUAAAGAAAUUUGAGAUAUACCUCCAUCAGCUGACCCCAAACGCUAUCGUCAGGCUUAGCAUUUACAUCUAGGCUCUCCAAAGCCAGGGGAAGAGUGCUAACGUCAAAGGGUUUUGUCGGGUUCAUGAACUUCAUUAUCAGACAAAGGCAAGGGCUGAUGGUCUACAUAAAAAUUUCGGAUGCUACAACUUUGCAUACCGAAAGGAUAUGAAGGCCCCUGUGAUCGGCUACCAGACCAAGUGGCCCACUGGCUAGACAAGUGAAUGGUUUUACAUGAAGGCUGAUGAGAAAAGAGGGAGAAGCUCAUGAGCAUGGUAAUGAGUCCCUUGAAGCUGAACUUCGGCAUGACUCGACCCUUAUGCAAUAUGCAGCUGGGGUCUCCUUGCCAACUGGCCGAAGUGGAAUUUAGGGUUGUGUCUGAGCACAUUAGCACUAGGGACUUAGUGCAAGAAUAUUUAGCAAACAGAACAUUCCCAACUUCUAGUGGCUGGGGAAUGCCAAAGAAGAAAGAAGAAGAGAAGAAAUAUGAACUUGUUCGUCAGUCGUACCGCUUCAAAUUUCAGAAAAGGUUUAAAGAACCAUGUACUGAAUGGUUAGAACUGAUAGAAACCAUGUGCAACGAAAUUCUUGGAAACUAUACAAGAAAAGAAGAUCAACUAAUGACUGCUAUCCGGUCUGUCAAGGAAGACCAAGAGACUUCAAAGAAGAGAAAAACUGCACCGGAGCCGAAAGUAUUAGCUCCUAAAAACAGAAGCUUGCCGAGAAAUCCUCUAAGAAGACAAAGAUACAAGAUGCGCUGAAGCAAGCUGCAAGCCCUUCGUCUUCUGCUGUGGAGGUCUCGAAAAUAUUGAAGGUAAUGACUGAGUCUUUCCCAUUUGCACCGCUAAGUCCUCUGGGAUUGGAACUGACUAGCCUCUUACAGAAAAAGGAAAUCUCUUUGGCUGUUGAUGGGAGAGAUGGGGGCCAGAAGAAACGACGCAGGAUGAAUAUACUAACAAACCCUGCCCCCAGCCUCGGCAGACAAAGCUGGUAAAUCGACUGAUGUCGAAGCUACCACUGCAGCUGAAGACGAAAAUCUCACAACCACUAUGUCCGAAAUUGAUAGACUUAUAUCAGACGUGGCUGCGGAGAAGGAGGUAGCCUCAGUAGUUUCAGACAAGGGGAACAAAAUUGAAGAAACCUCUUCGGAAGGAGUGAAUUUCGACCUAUGGCACUUGGGUGGCCAACAACUCUCCGAAGAGGACAUAUCAUAGUUAAAAAACUUGCAACCUCCUGUGGCUACCAGCCGGGGUCAAUGCUCUUUGGCGGGGUCAAUGAAGAAGUUGUGGGAUGCAUCCGCGACUGAGCCGGUGCUAAAAUUAUAAGCACCAUGUCUAAGAGUAUUGGAUUCCUGAAGCUCGAAAAGGACAUCAGCUGCUACAGACGCCAACACGUCAUAGGCAGCUUAUUUUAUUCUAACUUCAAAGUAAGAUAAUUUUUGCUAGUUAUCGCUGAUAUCUCCGUGUUGACUUUAGUAUUCUAACUUUGAGUUCACUUUUACAGAGUUUAUUACUAAGCAAAGCUUUAAAAAUGCAACAAGAUGAUGAAGACAGGAAAAACGAAGUUAUUAUCAAGGGUUUGGAAGAUAAGAUCAAGAAACUAGAAGAUUUUCUAAAGGAAAAAAGAUGAGUUGCUGUGUUCAGCUGAAGGAUUGCUUGCCGAAGCGCAAGCUCAAAAUAAGAAAUUGAGCAAAGAGCUGACAGAGGCUUAGACACUUUUGGAAGAAAACUCCAGCCGAUUCAACCGUGAAAUCGAAGCUUUGAACAUGACACUCAAGGUUGAGGCUGAGAAGAACAUGAAGCUCAAUGAAAUGUUGAGAACUCUUAAGGAGAGAUGUUUUAAUUUUGCAGGCCAAUGCACCACCCGAUUAAGAAGUAUAUUGAAUUUAGUUGGAGCUGCAUUCGAGGAAGCUAGCCUUUGUGCUAAAGAUGUCCCCAGAGCACUCGAAUGCAUCGAGGAGGUUGACGUCCUUGACGAAGUCAUAACUAGCCAUGGAGACUUCUGUGCGCUGGUGGCUUCUCGUGGUAUGACUGCUGCUUUCAUAAAAGCCGGGUGCAAUCAUGCAAGGGCGGUCAACAGGCCGAAUUUCAACCUUUCAUCAUCGGACCUGGUUGAUAUUCCAGCCAAAGCCCGAAGCAUAGACAACAGGUUCAUUACUCAAAUCUGGGCUAAGGGCGGCCGCGAGCUGGCUAGAAACGAAGCCUGAAACCUGCUUAACAAAGUAUAUCUCUUCACCUUUAUUCUUUACUUUAAAUUUUUCCUUACUAGAUUCCUCAUUACCCUUUUCUUUGACACUCUUCAGGGUGAUGGUGCCGAAGGUUAGUGAGCCAAAGUUAGGUCCGAAGCUUUGAAGAAGACUUUAGAGGGUUCCCCUUGAUAUCUGUAGAAAUACUUUGGAAAUUCUUUUGCGCAAGAAGUGUAUUAUUUGACGAAGAACUGUAAUUGAACCUGAACAAAAUUUUAAUUAUUUCUAAAUACUUUGUAAUGCUUUUUUACCUUUCAUUCGUGUGUCGACUGCUUUGUUGUGGACGAAACCAAUGCUCGUAGCUUUUGAGCCGAAGGCAAAAAACACCUUCCCUUCUUUUUGUUCAUAUCAAAGCACCUCUUUGAGUAAAAUCAAUGGCCGGGUCUCAUAAACAAUGAAAUUUCAUUUGAGACAAAGAAUCUUCGUAUAUACGAAGCAUUUUCUCAUUGAAGGCAGAAGUUCUCGCUUUUCCUGUUAAUGCUUUGUGCUUUAUGCCAUGGUGAUGAAUCUACAGAUGCCUAUUCUAUGUUUGUAUGAAUGCAAAAGAUGAUGUGAUGAAGUAUGCACAUGUAUGAUGAAGGUAAAAACACGUGGUCUGAAGUGUGUUCAUCGGAGGUGGGCGCCAAUUGUCACUGGAGGUAGCCGAAGGUGUCGUGGCUUGAGCUCCUCGUGAAGCCAUUGUCACUGUUGUGGUCAGAAGUAAGUUCACCAGAGGUGGGUGCCAAUGUUGUUCACUUGUUCUCAAAUGUUGUGAAUCAAGAACAAGACAACACAAUUAUUAAUUAUUAGGGACCUUCGUCUUCCGAAGCAUUAUCUCCCCAUGGAUAUAAUGAUCAUCGGAUGAAGGUCAUGAAGGAUAUACCUUCAUCAUUCAAUAUGUAAACAAGAAUGCAAAGAGACAAAGAGAGUAACUAUAUCUUGUCAAUUCAUUCACAUUUGCAUUCUAUAAAACAUGUAUGAAUAUCAACAAAAUUCAUAUUACAUGGAUACCUUCGGCUUGCUCGAAGGUGAAAACACGAGAGAGUGAUUACAAUUCAGCGUGAACAGUACAGUGUUACUGUUCAUCUAUUUAUAGGUACAGGACGUAGCCCGGGUAAAAUUAAAUUCAUGACCCUCAACAUUUAUGUAUAGACAUAACUUAGACUAUUAAGGUCUAUCUAGUCUUUUCCUCUUCUGCUUGAUCUGAACCAAAGCUGAUGGUAGCUUCGGCAUUUGGCAUCGUUGCUUCUACGUAGGGUCUUUGUCUUGAGAACCUUUGGUAGAGGAAGGGAAGACUUCUGUAUCACAUUGCCGAAGGUGUUUUUGUCUUGAGGACCUUCGGCGGGGAAGAAGACCCCCAACAGUUAGCAUCCUUCUACUCACAUAGGGUACCAAGCAUUUAUUUCAAACAAUACUUUAUAUCAUGAAACCUCAUUACACUUCUUACUUAAUGCAGUACAAUGGAUCAAGUAGUCUCAUUAGCCGCGAAAAGCACACGAUUCAAAUCGAGUUUUGACCUUGAAAGGUAAACCUACACGACAUGUAUGGGCACUAUGUCCCCACACAUAUCAACUGUCCCCCUCGAUCCCCCGUCAAUAAAACAGGGACCACCGCUUUGGGUACAAUGCUCCAUAGACCUCAGACCUAGUCGUGCAGUGACCACACUUGUACCCACCAUAUUCAGAAUGGGAGACCAAUUUCUCAUGUUGGGUGAGAGAAAUCUACGGGCAGGUUCAGUCGGGUACUAGGCUUACCGAUUACCAUGUUUCUCGGCAUGUGUUUAGUACUUUCAAAUGCUUGACACAUGUAUCAGCACAUUAAUCCUUAUUCAAUUUCCCUUCCAUAGACAUGGCAUAUUCAGGGAUCCGUGUCCACAGACAAUCAUUACCCCAUUAUAAAAAGAAUACAAUUGAUUCCUGACCUCACGCAAGUGCUAGAAAAAUCACUCGACUUCUACCGAAAUCCUUAAUUAGCAUAGUAGAUACUCGAUCUAGCAUACUAGUAUCCAUUUCAUAAAGGAAUCUGAGAUCAUGCAUAUAGAGUUUCAAACAACUCAUACACUUAAUGCACAAUACAAGUCUACAAAUGUGAUUGCAGUAAAAUAGCAUAUAAAAUGGCUAUGCAUAAAACUAGGGUUUGCCUUCAGGUGUUGGUGUUGCGGGGAGUUCCUUGGUGGCAGUUUCAGGAGCAGGCUCCUGGCUUUAUUCUUGAUCUGCUCCUUCCUCUGGGAUCAACACGUAUUCUCCGUCAGCGAGGUUGUAGUCUGACAAAUGCAAUGCACGAGAGAUGUAUUUUAUGAUACGCUAAAGGGCUUGUUGGGGAUGCAUGAUGUAGUAACACUAGGUUACUUAACAAAAUAUAGGGGUUUAUACUCAUUAGAAUAAGUCAUUAUAGGAGUGGACACUGAGGGGUCUAGUUUAAGGUUGACCAUUAGGGGUUUGAUCUAGACUCAAAUCAUUUACUUAUGGGUUUAAUUAAGGUUCAGACAGGUUGUGCUUAAGUUACUUACUUAAACCUUUGUUAUCCUUAACCUCCUUUCUUUUUUAUUAAGUUUUAAAAGGGAAAUUUGAAUGACAACUAUAAUUCAUAAAAUUCCAAAAAUUAUGCAAAAAUUACAGUAAAUUCCUAUUGGUUACGGGAGGUUGUUAUAGGAAUUUUGGGUCAAUAGCAAUUAGGGUCUGACUUGAGCAAAAAAUAUCAAGUUCUAGGGCAAAGGGGGCACAUUACACUACAUCAUCUAUAUAACAGUGGCUACUGCCUAAAUGGGUAUUUUUCCUAGAAUCUAGGUGAAGUACAAGAGACUUACACAAAUUUUCAUAGUGGAACACUUAUUGGUAUUUUAUGUGGGAUUUUUCAAAUUUUAAUACUAGAAAAGCACUUAUAGCUAACUUGCCCUCUGAAAAGUGUCAAACAACAAUUUUAGAAAUUUUUCUAGGUUUCUUUUAGCACAAGAGCAGUCAUUCCUAAGGGUUUGGGUUUAACUUAUUAGGAUUAUGUUCCUAUGAUUUUCUAAAGUUUUCCUUGGUUUACUUAUUUAAAUAUCCAUUCUAUAACUUUUACCAAACUAGGGUCACUUACAUUUUUCCUGGGGUCUACAUCCUCUAUAUAGUCUAGGAAAAAUAAGAAGCUCACUGGUUUCACAUAUUAAUUAUUUUUCUUGUUUUUAUUUAAAUAAGGGCCCAAAGGGUUUUAAGUGGGCAAACCUCUCUUAAAAAACUUAGACCAGAGGGUUUCAUAAUUUUGUAUAGCAACACAAUCUAUAAGGUUUCUGCUCAAAAAAAUUCAAGCCUAGUUAAAAGGUAUAACCAAUUUUCCUUUUAUUUUCUAGAAAUGAGUAGAUUAUCGCUUUAAUUUUAAAGUCCUAGAAAAAGGACAAAAACUACUUAGUUUCUUAUUUUUGCUAGAUAGGUUAAGUUACUAGAGUGCAAAAAAUUUGGUUUCACUAAUUUUGGGUUCAUAAUUAGUUUGUUAUGAAUUUCCAAAGUUCUCUACAGAUUAAUAAAUCAUUUUAAUGUAAAAGAAAAGGAAAACUAUCUUGCGCUUAGAACCCCCGCAACCCCUAGUUCAUCUGAACAGUUGAGAGCACCAAAAGGGGGUGGGUGAUAGGUGAUCCUGCAAAAAUCAACUCUAAUCAAGACAAACUUGGUUUAUGAUAACUGUUAGUGAAAACAAAAAACUAAGUUAUUAUGAGUAGAGGUGAAGAGGAGAAGAGAACUCUUCACUUGAUUAUUCCUUAGAUAUGUGCAUUAAACUUAGGAACAACAAUACAAGUGAAAUAUGAGAACUCAUGUAAGACAACAAUCGCAAUAAGAAAUACGGUGAUUUUAUCCCGUGGUUCGGCAAAUGCCUACUCCACGUUGUGGUGACCUACUUCGGUCAAGGGUUGCAAUCAACCCCUCUCAAGUGAUCCAAAGAACAAACUUGAGUACCACAUUGUUCUUCCUUAUAUUAAUUCCCUUUGUGAGGAAUCUCCACAAGUUGGAGUCUCUCACGCCUUACACGAAUGAUCUCAAUCAAAGCACAGGAGUAAGGAGGGAGUAGAAACACACACAAAAGUACAAGAGUAGCAACACCGCACACACAAGUAAAGGAGAGAACGCAAGAAUCAAAACGACAGAGUUUUCUCUCAACAACAUGCUCAAUUCUCUCUAGAAUGAGUUGAAAGCGUGGUUGCACUGAAUCGGAGUUUCGGUGUGCUCUUAGUAUGCUUGGGUAAGAACUCCAUGUGCCUAGAGGGAUCCUUUUAUAACCCCAAGGGCCAAAGAGUUAUUUCUUCUUUGUUUGGGAGGCCCUGGUGGCCUUCUGUCCAUGGGUUCACCGGAUUGUCCGGUGCACACUGGAUAGUGAACAAUGUGUGAUUUCAUUCCAUCCCUGCCACGCCGACCAUUGAGUUAGCCAUGGCAUCCUUCGGCUACCUGGCAUACUAGAUAGUCCGGUGGCACACCUGACAGUCCAGUGCUGCCACAUGUCCACCGUUGAUUCUGUGCCUACCGUUGGCUCUAGCGAGAGUCGUUGGCCGCCUCACUCACCGGACAGUCCGGUGUAUGUGGCGGAACUGCCCGAAUUAUUCCAACUUAAGUGCCUAAGUCCCGCCUUAGAGGCUAGACCACACUUAAAUGGGAAUAACCCGUCAAUCCCUCGGAUCUAGUCCAACGAGGCCACUGACAGGAUCAAGUACCACAAUCUCACUCGAUGUUAAACUUAUUACAUCAUCAUCGGGGUUUUAGCGAAAGUAGUCAUCAUUGUUCAGAGUGCAGCGGAAUAAAACUAACGAUAAUUAGACAGAGAGAUGGGGAAGCCUGUCCCAUCACUCCUCAUGCUCCUCCUCAGCCGAGGCUAGGGCUUGCCUUCAGGUGUUGGUGUUGCGGGGAGUUCCUUGGUGGCAGUUUCAGGAGCAGGCUCCUGGCUUUAUUCUUGAUCUGCUCCUUCCUCUAGGAUCAACACGUAUUCUCCGUCAGCGAGGUUGUAGUCUGACAAAUGCAAUGCACGAGAGAUGUAUUUUAUGAUACGCUAAAGGGCUUGUUGGGGAUGCAUGAUGUAGUAACACUAGGUUACUUAACAAAAUAUAGGGGUUUAUACUCAUUAGAAUAAGUCAUUAUAGGAGUGGACACUGAGGGGUCUAGUUUAAGGUUGACCAUUAGGGGUUUGAUCUAGACUCAAAUCAUUUACUUAUGGGUUUAAUUAAGGUUCAGACAGGUUGUGCUUAAGUUACUUACUUAAACCUUUGUUAUCCUUAACCUCCUUUCUUUUUUAUUAAGUUUUAAAAGGGAAAUUUGAAUGACAACUAUAAUUCAUAAAAUUCCAAAAAUUAUGCAAAAAUUACAGUAAAUUCCUAUUGGUUACGGGAGGUUGUUAUAGGAAUUUUGGGUCAAUAACAAUUAGGGUCUGACUUGAGCAAAAAAUAUCAAGUUCUAGGGCAAAGGGGGCACAUUACACUACAUCAUCUAUAUAACAGUGGCUACUGCCUAAAUGGGUAUUUUUCCUAGAAUCUAGGUGAAGUACAAGAGACUUACACAAAUUUUCAUAGUGGAACACUUAUUGGUAUUUUAUGUGGGAUUUUUCAAAUUUUAAUACUAGAAAAGCACUUAUAGCUAACUUGCCCUCUGAAAAGUGUCAAACAACAAUUUUAGAAAUUUUUCUAGGUUUCUUUUAGCAAAAGAGUAGUCAUUCCUAAGGGUUUGGGUUUAACUUAUUAGGAUUAUGUUCCUAUGAUUUUCUAAAGUUUUCCUUGGUUUACUUAUUUAAAUAUCCAUUCUAUAACUUUUACCAAACUAGGGUCACUUACAUUUUUCCUGGGGUCUACAUCCUCUAUAUAGUCUAGGAAAAAUAAGAAGCUCACUGGUUUCACAUAUUAAUUAUUUUUCUUGUUUUUAUUUAAAUAAGGGCUCAAAGGGUUUUAAGUGGGCAAACCUCUCUUAAAAAACUUAGACCAGAGGGUUUCAUAAUUUUGUAUAGCAACACAAUCUAUAAGGUUUCUGCUCAAAAAAAUUCAAGCCUAGUUAAAAGGUAUAACCAAUUUUCCUUUUAUUUUCUAGAAAUGAGUAGAUUAUCGCUUUAAUUUUAAAGUCCUAGAAAAAGGACAAAAACUACUUAGUUUCUUAUUUUUGCUAGAUAGGUUAAGUUACUAGAGUGCAAAAAAUUUGGUUUCACUAAUUUUGGGUUCAUAAUUAGUUUGUUAUGAAUUUCCAAAGAUCUCUACAGAUUAAUAAAUCAUUUUAAUGUAAAAGAAAAGGAAAACUAUCUUGCGCUUAGAACCCCCGCAACCCCUAGUUCAUCUGAACAGUUGAGAGCACCAAAAGGGGGUGGGUGAUAGGUGAUCCUGCAAAAAUCAACUCUAAUCAAGACAAACUUGGUUUAUGAUAACUGUUAGUGAAAACAAAAAACUAAGUUAUUAUGAGUAGAGGUGAAGAGGAGAAGAGAACUCUUCACUUGAUUAUUUCUUAGAUAUGUGCAUUAAACUUAGGAACAACAAUACAAGUGAAAUAUGAGAACUCAUGUAAGACAACAAUCGCAAUAAGAAAUACGGUGAUUUUAUCCCGUGGUUCGGCAAAUGCCUACUCCACGUUGUGGUGACCUACUUCGGUCAAGGGUUGCAAUCAACCCCUCUCAAGUGAUCCAAAGAACAAACUUGAGUACCACAUUGUUCUUCCUUAUAUUAAUUCCCUUUGUGAGGAAUCUCCACAAGUUGGAGUCUCUCACGCCUUACACGAAUGAUCUCAAUCAAAGCACAGGAGUAAGGAGGGAGUAGAAACACACACAAAAGUACAAGAGUAGCAACACCGCACACACAAGUAAAGGAGAGAACGCAAGAAUCAAAACGACAGAGUUUUCUCUCAACAACAUGCUCAAUUCUCUCUAGAAUGAGUUGAAAGCGUGGUUGCACUGAAUCGGAGUUUCGGUGUGCUCUUAGUAUGCUUGGGUAAGAACUCCAUGUGCCUAGAGGGAUCCUUUUAUAACCCCAAGGGCCAAAGAGUUAUUUCUUCUUUGUUUGGGAGGCCCUGGUGGCCUUCUGUCCAUGGGUUCACCGGAUUGUCCGGUGCACACUGGAUAGUGAACAAUGUGUGAUUUCAUUCCAUCCCUGCCACGCCGACCAUUGAGUUAGCCAUGGCAUCCUUCGGCUACCUGGCAUACUAGAUAGUCCGGUGGCACACCUGACAGUCCAGUGCUGCCACAUGUCCACCGUUGAUUCUGUGCCUACCGUUGGCUCUAGCGAGAGUCGUUGGCCGCCUCACUCACCGGACAGUCCGGUGUAUGUGGCGGAACUGCCCGAAUUAUUCCAACUUAAGUGCCUAAGUCCCGCCUUAGAGGCUAGACCACACUUAAAUGGGAAUAACCCGUCAAUCCCUCGGAUCUAGUCCAACGAGGCCACUGACAGGAUCAAGUACCACAAUCUCACUCGAUGUUAAACUUAUUACAUCAUCAUCGGGGUUUUAGCGAAAGUAGUCAUCAUUGUUCAGAGUGCAGCGGAAUAAAACUAACGAUAAUUAGACAGAGAGAUGGGGAAGCCUGUCCCAUCACUCCUCAUGCUCCUCCUCAGCCGAGGCUAGGGCUUGCCUUCAGGUGUUGGUGUUGCGGGGAGUUCCUUGGUGGCAGUUUCAGGAGCAGGCUCCUGGCUUUAUUCUUGAUCUGCUCCUUCCUCUGGGAUCAACACGUAUUCUCCGUCAGCGAGGUUGUAGUCUGACAAAUGCAAUGCACGAGAGAUGUAUUUUAUGAUACGCUAAAGGGCUUGUUGGGGAUGCAUGAUGUAGUAACACUAGGUUACUUAACAAAAUAUAGGGGUUUAUACUCAUUAGAAUAAGUCAUUAUAGGAGUGGACACUGAGGGGUCUAGUUUAAGGUUGACCAUUAGGGGUUUGAUCUAGACUCAAAUCAUUUACUUAUGGGUUUAAUUAAGGUUCAGACAGGUUGUGCUUAAGUUACUUACUUAAACCUUUGUUAUCCUUAACCUCCUUUCUUUUUUAUUAAGUUUUAAAAGGGAAAUUUGAAUGACAACUAUAAUUCAUAAAAUUCCAAAAAUUAUGCAAAAAUUACAGUAAAUUCCUAUUGGUUACGGGAGGUUGUUAUAGGAAUUUUGGGUCAAUAGCAAUUAGGGUCUGACUUGAGCAAAAAAUAUCAAGUUCUAGGGCAAAGGGGGCACAUUACACUACAUCAUCUAUAUAACAGUGGCUACUGCCUAAAUGGGUAUUUUUCCUAGAAUCUAGGUGAAGUACAAGAGACUUACACAAAUUUUCAUAGUGGAACACUUAUUGGUAUUUUAUGUGGGAUUUUUCAAAUUUUAAUACUAGAAAAGCACUUAUAGCUAACUUGCCCUCUGAAAAGUGUCAAACAACAAUUUUAGAAAUUUUUCUAGGUUUCUUUUAGCACAAGAGCAGUCAUUCCUAAGGGUUUGGGUUUAACUUAUUAGGAUUAUGUUCCUAUGAUUUUCUAAAGUUUUCCUUGGUUUACUUAUUUAAAUAUCCAUUCUAUAACUUUUACCAAACUAGGGUCACUUACAUUUUUCCUGGGGUCUACAUCCUCUAUAUAGUCUAGGAAAAAUAAGAAGCUCACUGGUUUCACAUAUUAAUUAUUUUUCUUGUUUUUAUUUAAAUAAGGGCCCAAAGGGUUUUAAGUGGGCAAACCUCUCUUAAAAAACUUAGACCAGAGGGUUUCAUAAUUUUGUAUAGCAACACAAUCUAUAAGGUUUCUGCUCAAAAAAAUUCAAGCCUAGUUAAAAGGUAUAACCAAUUUUCCUUUUAUUUUCUAGAAAUGAGUAGAUUAUCGCUUUAAUUUUAAAGUCCUAGAAAAAGGACAAAAACUACUUAGUUUCUUAUUUUUGCUAGAUAGGUUAAGUUACUAGAGUGCAAAAAAUUUGGUUUCACUAAUUUUGGGUUCAUAAUUAGUUUGUUAUGAAUUUCCAAAGUUCUCUACAGAUUAAUAAAUCAUUUUAAUGUAAAAGAAAAGGAAAACUAUCUUGCGCUUAGAACCCCCGCAACCCCUAGUUCAUCUGAACAGUUGAGAGCACCAAAAGGGGGUGGGUGAUAGGUGAUCCUGCAAAAAUCAACUCUAAUCAAGACAAACUUGGUUUAUGAUAACUGUUAGUGAAAACAAAAAACUAAGUUAUUAUGAGUAGAGGUGAAGAGGAGAAGAGAACUCUUCACUUGAUUAUUCCUUAGAUAUGUGCAUUAAACUUAGGAACAACAAUACAAGUGAAAUAUGAGAACUCAUGUAAGACAACAAUCGCAAUAAGAAAUACGGUGAUUUUAUCCCGUGGUUCGGCAAAUGCCUACUCCACGUUGUGGUGACCUACUUCGGUCAAGGGUUGCAAUCAACCCCUCUCAAGUGAUCCAAAGAACAAACUUGAGUACCACAUUGUUCUUCCUUAUAUUAAUUCCCUUUGUGAGGAAUCUCCACAAGUUGGAGUCUCUCACGCCUUACACGAAUGAUCUCAAUCAAAGCACAGGAGUAAGGAGGGAGUAGAAACACACACAAAAGUACAAGAGUAGCAACACCGCACACACAAGCAAAGGAGAGAACGCAAGAAUCAAAACGACAGAGUUUUCUCUCAACAACAUGCUCAAUUCUCUCUAGAAUGAGUUGAAAGCGUGGUUGCACUGAAUCGGAGUUUCGGUGUGCUCUUAGUAUGCUUGGGUAAGAACUCCAUGUGCCUAGAGGGAUCCUUUUAUAACCCCAAGGGCCAAAGAGUUAUUUCUUCUUUGUUUGGGAGGCCCUGGUGGCCUUCUGUCCAUGGGUUCACCGGAUUGUCCGGUGCACACUGGAUAGUGAACAAUGUGUGAUUUCUUUCCAUCCCUGCCACGCCGACCAUUGAGUUAGCCAUGGCAUCCUUCGGCUACCUGGCAUACUAGAUAGUCCGGUGGCACACCUGACAGUCCAGUGCUGCCACAUGUCCACCGUUGAUUCUGUGCCUACCGUUGGCUCUAGCGAGAGUCGUUGGCCGCCUGACUCACUGGACAGUCCGAUGUAUGUGGCGGAACUGCCCGAAUUAUUCCAACUUAAGUGCCUAAGUCCCGCCUUAGAGGCUAGACCACACUUAAAUGGGAAUAACCCGUCAAUCCCUCGGAUCUAGUCCGACGAGGCCACUGACAGGAUCAAGUACCACAAUCUCACUCGAUGUUAAACUUAUUACAUCAUCAUCGGGGUUUUAGCGAAAGUAGUCAUCAUUGUUCGGAGUGCAGCGGAAUAAAACUAACGAUAAUUAGACAGAGAGAUGGGGAAGCCUGUCCCAUCACUCCUCAUGCUCCUCCUCAGCCGAGGCGGGGUCCCACUCGACAGUCCAACCCGAUGGCAAGAUGGACGGCCAUGUCACUCCAGCAACCAUGUCCUCCAAAGAACCUAUAAAAUUAUGCCACAAGCAAGGCUGAGUAUACUAAUACUCAGCUAGACUUACCCGGUGUGAGGAGUCUACUCCUCUACCUCUAGACAUGCAGCUGUUUGGCUGUGGGGUUUGGUUGCCAAAAGCACCACCUGAGUCUAAAAAUCAAGUUUUAGCUUUGUCAAGUUUAAGUGUGACUCUCUUAAGACUAAAUGUGUACUAUCUACUCAAUCAUGGUAUCAAACACAUUUAGCAAUCAACAUCUUUUGCCACAUCAUCACAUUUCAACUUGUUACUCAAUGCAGUACAAUGGAUCAAGCAGUCUCAUUAGCUGCGAGAAGCAGACGAUUCGAAUCGAGUUUUUAUCCUUGCAAGGUAAACCUAAACACACGACGUGGCGAGGCACUCCGUCCCCACACACAUCAAUUGUCCCCAUCGAUUCCCCGUCAGUAGAUCAGGGCUCACCACCUUGGCGUACAAUGCCUCACUGACCCCGACUGCCGUCGUGCAGUGACCGCACUUGUACCCACCAUAACCGGAAUGGGAGACCACGUCUCAGGUCGCGUGAGGGGAUAUGUCCACUGCCAGGUUCACUCAGGUACUAGGCUUACCGAUUUAUCAUAUUUCUCGGCAUGUGAUUAGUACGUUCAAUCGCUUGACACAAGUAUCCGCACGUUAAUCCUUAUUCCAAUUUCAUCUCGUAGACCACGCAUCCCCAUGGAUCCGUGUCCACAGACCAACAUCAGUAUGAUAUGAAAGUGGGUACAAUCAAUGUCCUGACCUCGCGCUAGUGCUGGAAAAAUCACUCGACUUCUACCGAGAUCCCUAAUUAGUAAGCAGCUACUCGACCUAGCAUACUAGUAUCCAUCACAAAAGGAAUCCUGAGUUCAUGCAACUAUGGUUUCAGGCAACUCCUACACUUAAGUGCACAGUACAAACCUACAAACAAUAAGUGUAGUAUAAUAGUAUAUAUAAACAGUUAUGCAUAAAACCAAGGCUUGCCUUCCAAAGCUGGGGCAGGUAGAUCCUCUGGUGCAGGCUCUAGUGCUGGAUCCGGGGCUACCUCCUGAGCAGCUCCUUGCUCCGGCACGAGGACAUACUCUCCGUCAGCGAGAUUGCAAUCUAUCGAAUGCAAUGAAUAAGAAUAUGCAUGCCAUGAUUAUGCAGGAUUUGGUAAACAUUAUGCUAAGUAAAAGAAAACUAAGUUAGUUUAGUAACUUAGGGUUUCUUGGUCUUACUUGGCUCUUGGUGGUGUAUGCUUAUCAACUUAGGUUUGGAGUUUUGUUAGGGAUAAGCAUAGUGGAUUUGUAUUUCCCUUAUAUAUUUCAGUGGGCGAUUUAAAAAGGGUUUUGCUGGUUGGGUUAGGGUGACACUAAUUUCCACUAUUAAUUUCCCCUUUUUCAUUUUCUAUUUAUGAAUUCUAGUGUGGGUUUGAACUACAACAUUGGUUUAACUUUUUUCCAAAAAUUCUGUAAAAAUUACAGUGGGUUACCAUUGGUCACUAUAGUCUGUUCUAUGAGUUUGAGGUCCAGAAUAAAAAGAGUAUGCCUUGAACAAAAAUAACAAAAGUUGGGCAAAGGGGGGUCACUUUGCAUUACAACUCUAAACUAGGUGUGGGUUCUGUCCUAAGGGUCAUUUUUGUUGGUAUCUAACAGUAAUCACAUGCUUCUGUGCCAAAAAUCACAGAAGGUUAAUUGGUAGUUAUUUAGUUGUGAUUUUCUAAAGUUUAAUGUCAAAAAGGCACUUUCUACUAUCUUGUUAUUUGAAAAAUGUCAAACAGCAAGUUUCAUAUUUGUCCUAUGUUUUUAAUAACAAAACAUUAAUUAUCCCAAGGUUUGGGGUGUUUUCACCUUGGGGUUAUUUUUCUAGGGUUUUUCUAAGUUUUCCUUGUUUUCUUAAAAUAAAAGGUAUCCCAAUUAUUUUAUACUAAACCAGGGUAUAAUAAAUUUUUCUAGUGAACUAUACUGAAUAAGUAGACUAACAAAAAUAUGGGUGCUCCCUGGUUCUUUAUUUAAACCUCCAUUAAUAUUUUCUCUAACUUUAGGCUAAAAAGGAUUUAAAUGGUAAACUCUACCUUAACUAGGUGUACAGAGGGGUUUAUUAUUUUUAAACAGGUUAGGAAGUGAUUAGGUACUUCUCCAAAUUUUCUUAACCUCAGUCUAACAGUGCAACUAUUUUUCCUUUUAUUAUUUAGCUUUUGGCCAAAUCAAUAUUUAAAUACAAACCUUAAAUUCCUUUGCAAUACUAAGGGGGUUUUGUAUUUUUCCUAAGUAGUUCUCAUUAUUUAAAAUCAGGCAAAAUUUGUUUGACCAAAUUUGGUUGAAUAAAACUGAAGUUAUGAAUUUUACAAGCUCUAUUUGUAUUUAAAUUAGAAAUAUUAAAAAGGUUUCCUGGAAAACCAGUUUACACCGAGGACCCUGGGUUUAAUCCAAUUCAACCCACUCAAAUCUACCCCUGCGCCACUAUUCCCCUGGGAAACUGACAGUUCAAAAAUCCCCCCGACCUUUCCUUCUUCCUCCCUGAGGUCCUUCCCCUAAUGCAAACAGUACCCGCGGGAAAGAAAUGGGCGGCGCGGCUUACCGGCGGUGAGAGAGGUCCGGCGAGGGGCGGGGUUGGCUCCGGGAGGUCCUGGCGGUCACAGCGGUGUACGGCUCGACGGCGGAGGUGGCCGGAAUCGUCCGGUCCACGUGCGCAGGCGGGUGAUCUCGUCGACGGUUGGUGUUCCGGCUAAACCACGACGAUCUAGUUCAAUCAAAUGGCACGAUGAGCUCCACGGGGUGACGUAGAGGCUAUGUGCACAAGGAAUCAAAGAAUGGGGCAGAGAUUUACCUGGUCUAUGUUCACCGGCGGUCGGGCAAAGUCCGGCGACCGUGGACUGGCUUCUCCGGCGAAGCAAAGUCCGAUUCCUUGCUCGGGGAGCUUCGCCGAGGCGUGCACAGUCUCUUCUGAGGGUCGGGCGCGGCUGGGAAGGGCUCUGUUGGCCGGUCUACGGUGGCAGGGGCUCGGGUGGCCGCGGGCACGCCGUGCACGGGGCAAACGUCGGUGGUUUCGGGCUCCGGUGAGGUCAAGCGUGCGCGGAGGAGUACGGUCGAUGCCUGAGGGUGAUUUAUAGGCGCGGGCGCGAGCAGGAGACGUGGGCACGGCUUGGCGUGGCGCGGGGUGCGCGGGGUCGAGCGCGGGCGUGCUCUGGCGCGCCCAGAACGCGUCGAACACAUGGAGGUCUUCUUCUGCCCAUGUUCAAAAGCUUGCUGAGAUCGCAAACGUGCGAAUCUUGGCAAAAAUUUGGCGCAGACCUCUUCCUGGCACCUAUGGCUAUCUCUUGUAUGUGAGUUCCAAGGGAAGAUAAGCCCUAGGUCAGAAGAUAUGCGGACGCCAAAUCUGGCUUGUCUCCCUGCCCACUUCGCGACAAAAGUGAUGCCAAGACAUGUCAAAUGUCAAGGGCUCGGUCUCAACUUUUUCCAGGGGGUGCCUUAGGUGGUAUGCCACAUUUUUGGUAUACAACAUAGGUGGUUUUGGUGCCAUCUACAAGGUGAACACGGUGGAUCUUUAGAUUAGGUGUAGAAUUUGACUUAGAGAGAAUUAGAGAGCUCUAGCUCUCUCUCUCUAUUUAAGGAAUGGAUUUGGGGUUUCUUAAGGGGUCUUUUUGCAAUGUUUCCUCUCUAUAUUUGUAGAUUAAUAUGUUACUUAACUUUGGCCAAAGGUUAGGUCAUGAUUUGCACAUUUGCUUAAUCUCCCCCCACUUCAACCAAGGUUUUAGGAGAUAGGGGUUCAAGAGGGGUCUAGGGUUUACUCCCCUCUUGCCCAAGGUGAUAAUUGUACAAAAGCUUGGGUAAUGCUUUUAGGUCAUUAACAUUCUUGGUUAAUACAUGGUCUCCAAGGUUCUUAUGCUCUUCGCCUUAAGUUUCUUCCACAUGUGAUCACAGUCAUUAGUGCAUAGAUGUGCCAUGGCCAUAGUAACACCUGGGGUGUUACAGCCCUCCCCCCUUAAAGGAAUCUCGCCCGAGAUUUAGGUAGAGUCCUCUUGAGGGGUGCCAUGAAGUAAGUCAAAACCACAACUUAUACUACCCUUAUCAUCUAAGUUGUUCUUAUAUUUAUAUUCAAAGGGCAGGUGGGGGUGGGGUUUUGGGUUACGUACCGACUCUUUUGGGCAGGAAGUCGGGGAAGCGAGAGCGUAGAAAAUCCUCCGUCUCCCAUGUAGCUUCUUCUAUUGAAUGGUGACUCCACUAAACCUUAUACAUUCUGAUCGACCUUGCCCGCGUUGACCUCUCUUUCUGAUCCAAUACCUUGAUGGGGUACUCUUGAUAGGACAAGUCUGGUUCUAUCUCAUUUUCUGGUUCAGGUAGCACUUCAGUGGGUAGGCGGACACAUUUCCAUAGCUGAGAUACAUGAAACACAUUGUGAACUGCUGACAUGUGGGGUUGCAACUUGUGAUAUCCUGGCCCCUGGGAUGGGAUGUCCUGGCCCAAGGCUUAAUAGAAUUAAUAGUGUAAUCAUACCAACCAGGUGCAUCUUCUUUUUCGGAAGCCUAUCUUGAAAGAACCUCCAAGUUAAGCGUGCUUGGCUUAGAGCAAUUUGGGAUGGGUGACUGACUGGGAAGUUUUCUCGGGUGUGCAUGAGUGAGGACAAAGUGCGCACAAAAGACUCGUGUUGGUCUGUGGUGACGAUAUAUGAUCCUAGAGAGCUGCCAGGAGUAAGUACCGCCGGUCCAGGGAUUGGACGUGGUGUUACAAGUGGUAUCAGAGCCGACCCUCGCGGUUUCACGCGCGUGUGUGGGCUAGGGGGUUUGGGUAUAUGGCGCAUGGCGCAUGUGGGCCCGGAGUGGUCACAUGGCAUGGCAUAUGACGGCACUAGACAUACAGACGUGGCCAAGAGGGGAGGUUCCUGGAUUGGGGUUGACCGACGAGGACGUCGGUCUUCUAAGGGGGUGGAUUGUGAUAUCCUGGCCCCUGGGAUGGGAUGUCCUGGCCCAAGGCUUAAUAGAAUUAAUAGUGUAAUCAUACCAACAAGGUGCAUCUUCUUUUUCGGAAGCCUAUCUUGAAAGAACCUCCAAGUUAAGCGUGCUUGGCUUAGAGCAAUUUGGGAUGGGUGACCGACUGGGAAGUUUUCUCGGGUGUGCAUGAGUGAGGACAAAGUGCGCACAAAAGACUCGUGUUGGUCUGUGGUGACGAUAUAUGAUCCUAGAGAGCUGCCAGGAGUAAGUACCGCUGGUCCAGGGAUUGGACGGGGUGUUACACAACUCCAAUUGAUAGGCUACGGGUCCACAAUUUGCUUUGAUCUCAUAGGGUCCAAUGUAGCGAGGAGCUAACUUGCCCUUGAUUCCAAAUCUCUGGACACCCUUGGUGGGUGACACCUUAAGAUAAACAUGAUCUCCCACUUCAAACUGUAGAGGCUUCCUCCUCUUAUUAUGAUAGCUCUUCUGCCUGGCCUGAGCAGCUUCUAGGUUCUUCUUAAUGACUCUGACCUUUUCCUCUGCUUCAAGUACCAAGUCUGGUCCAAAUAUUUCCCUCUCUCCUGCUUGAGACCAAUUGAGCGGGGUUCUACAUCUUCUCCCAUAUAAGGCUUCAAAAGGUGCCAUCUUCAAACUGGACUGAUAGCUGUUAUUAUAGGAGAAUUCCGCCAAAGAAAGACACUUGUCCCAAUUUUUACCAUAGUGUAGCACACAGGCUCGCAACAUGUCUUCGAGGAUUUGAUUUACUCUUUCUGUCUAGCCAUCUGUCUGUGGAUGAUAUGCGGAGCUUCUUAUUGCAUGGGUCCCAAGUGAUUCUUGUAGCUGCUCCCAAAAGCGUGCCACAAACAGUGCUCCUCUGUCAGAUACAAUGGUCUUUGGAAUACCAUGCAAACGCACUAUUUGAUCAACAUAGAUUUCUGCAUAUUUCUCUGUCUUGUGGGUGGUAUGCACUGGUAAGAAAUGAGCGGUCUUGGUCAAUCUGUCCACAAUGACCCAAAUGGAAUCAUGGUGCCGGGAGGUAUUGGGCAAUCCCACGAUAAAGUCCAUACAAAUGUCCUCCCAUUUCCAAGAUGGUAUGGGAAGGGGUUGCAAAGUGCAUGUUGCCUUCAGAUGGCUGGCCUUGACUCUCUGGCAGGUGUCACAUUUGGAUAUGUACUUGGCAAUUUCCCUCUUCAUUCUGGUCCACCAGUAUAAGGAUCUGAGAUCAUGAUACAUCUUGUUGCUGCCGGGGUGCAUGGAGAAUUUUGAAAGGUGAGCUUCAUCCAAUAUCUUCUUUCUGAGCUCAGGGUCCUUGGGAACAACCAAUCGAUCCCCAAACCAUAGAAUUCCUUUGUUGUCCUGACGGAAGCAUUUGUAUUUUUCUGCUUUCUGCUUGAUCAUUUCCUUGAUAACCUGAACACCCUUGUCUUCAAUCUUGUCGGGGACCAUAAUUAGGGGUACCCUCAAGACUCCUAAUUCUUAGCUGGUAACCCCCAUCAGCAUAAAGCUGCAAAGGCCUGAUGGGUGCGAUUAAGUCAGGGAUCAGUCCAUUCGAGCGACUCGAUCAUGCCUCGCCCGAGCCUAGCCUCGGACAAGGGCAGCCGACCCCAGAGGGUUUCCGUCUCGCCCGAGGCCCCCCUCCAACGGCAGACACAUCUCCGGCUCGCCCGAGGCCCUGCCUUCGCUAAGAAGCAACCCUGACUAAAUCGCCGCACCGACCGACCGAAUCGCAGGAGCAUUUAAUGCAAAGGUGGCCUGACAUCUUUAUCCUGACGCGCGCCCUCCGGCAGAGCCGAAGUGACCGCCGUCACUUCGCCGCUCCACUGACCGGUCUGACAGAAGGACAGCGCCGCCUGCGCCACUCCGACUACAGUGCCACUCGACAGAGUGAGACUGAUAGGCAGUCAGGCCCUGCCAAAGGCACCAUAGGAAGCUCCGCUCCGCCCGACCCAGGGCUCGGACUCGGGCUAAGUCCCGGAAGACGGCGAACUCCGCUCCGCCCGACCCAGGGCUCGGACUCGGGCUAAGACCCGGAAGACGACGAACUCCGCUCCGCCCGACCCAGGGCUCGGACUCGGGCUAAGUCCCGGAAGACGGCGAACUCCGCUCCGCCCGACCUAGGGCUCGGACUCGGUCCUGGCCUCUGCCGACGACCUUCGCCUCGCCCGACCCAGGGGCUCGGACUCGGCCUCGGCCAUGGAAGACAGACUCGACCUCGGCUUCGGAGGAGCCUCCACAUCGCCCAGCCUAGGGCGCAGGCCAACCACGUCAACGGGAAGCGCCAUCAUCACCCUACCCCAAGCUGACUCGGGCCGCAGGGAACAAGACCGGUGUCCCAUCUGGCCAGCUCCGCCAGAUAGGCAAUGAUGGCGCCCCGCACGCUCUGUGACGACGGCGGCUCCCAGCUCUCUUACGGAAGCAGGUGGACGUCAGCAAGGACUCGACCGCUCCAACAGCUGUCCCUCCGCCAGGCACCGUCGCUCCUCCGACGGCCACGACAUCACACCAGCAGGGUGCCAAGAUCUCUCCGGCUGCCACAUUGGCAUGUACUUAGGGCGUCAGCUCUCCCCCGCUAGACAUGUAGCACUCUGCUACACCCCCAUUGUACACCUGGAUCCUCUCCUUACUCCUAUAAAAGGAAGGACCAGGGCUCUCCUAGAGAAGGUUGGCCGCGCGGGGACGAGGACGGGACAGGCGCUCUCUUGGGGCCGCUCGCUUCCCUCUCCCGCGUGGACGCUUGUAACCCCCUAUUGCAAGCGCACCCGACCUGGGCGCGGGACGAACACGAUGGCCGCGGGAUUCCCACCUCUCUCACGCCGGACUCCGGCCGCCUCGCUCUCUCCCCCCUUUGUGCUCGCCCACGCGCUCGACCCAUCUAGGCUGGGGCACGCGGCACUCACUCGUCGGCCUGAGGGACCCCCGGUCUCGAAACACCGACAGUUGGCGCGCCAGGUAGGGGCCUGCUGCGUGUUGACGAACAGCUUCCCGUCAAGCUCCAGAUGGGCAGUCUCCAGCAACCUCUCCAACCCGGGACGGUGCUCUGUUUCGGGAGCCUUGAGUUCAUGUCCUUCGACGGCAGCUACGACAUGAUACUCCUUCCACCGUCGCGCGACAACGACAAUGGCGGCCGACAGCCCGCCCUCCGGCGGCGGAAUCGACGACGUCUUCCCCGCGUGGUGGAAGAACGACUUUUGAGCUCGCCCCGUCCUCUCCCCCGCCAAUGGAGGAGGAGGCGGGGCAACCAAGGCCAAACAGGAGGCCGCGCCUCGUCGGCUGUCGAACGAGUCGACGUCCCUAGCGCCCCAACGGGGGGCGCGUCGGGCAUCAACCUCGCGUUUGAGACGAAGGCGAGCGCCGUCUCCCCGCGACACGCCAAACCCGAGCAAGUGGACGACGCCAGCGCGCUUGCGAAAAGCUUGCAGGACGUCGCCCUCGUACCUGAGGCGACGGUGCAGUCAGUCCUCGACGUGACUUCAUCGCCGCUUGACGACCAAAAGGUACCGACCGAUUCCCAUCCUACGUCAUUUGGACUCAGCCUCAACCCGCCUAGCGACCUUGCUUUGGCGGGCGCUCUCGUAGAGGCGAGUUCAAACCCUCUGGGGUUUCGCAUGCGGUCGCCUUGGGACCGGUUGACGGACGUCUCGACCUACGGGCCCUCUGGGUCUGAGGAAGACGACGAUCCCAACAUCUGUUGGGAUUUCUCUGGAUUUGGCAACCCCAGUGCCAUGCGGGACUUCAUGACCGCAUGCGACUACUGCCUCUCCGACUGUUCCGACGGUAGCCGCAGCCUCGAUGAUGAGGACUGCGGCCCAAGCCGCGAAUGUUUCCACGUCGAGCUAGGGGGUCCCUCCGAAGGCAAUCAUUUCGGCAUGCCGGAGGACGACGAUCUCCCUAGGCCGGUGCCUCGCGCUGACAUCCCGCGGGAGCUAGCUGUGGUCCCCGUUCCGGCGGGGGGUUACGACCCACAGCUCGAGCAAGUCCGUGGGGCGCAGGCCAGGCUCGACGAGGGAGCAGGAGCGCUUGAGCCGAUCCGCCGGGACGUCGGGCAGGUAUGGGCGGGUCAACCCCCGGCCGGAGAAAUACGUCACCUGCCCCAGGGUCUCCAGCACCGCGUCACCGAUGACGUCAGGGUCAGGCCACCACCCGCAUCCAGUGGGGUCGGUCAGAACCUGGCCGCAGCAGCGAUGCUCCUCCGCGCGAUGCCGGAGCCAUCAACCACCGAGGGUCGGCGAAUCCAGGGGGAGCUCAAGAAUCUCCUGGAAGGCACCGCGGUCCGACGGACCGAGAGCACUGCCUCUCGAAGGCAAGGAUACCCCUCGGAACCUCAUGCCGCGACUUCCCGAUUCAUGCGGGAAGCCUCGGUCUAUACCGGGCGCACGCGCAACACCGCGCCUGCGGCCCCGGGCCGCCUCGGCAACAAGCACCAUCAUCGCGACCGUCGGGCUCACCUCGACGAAAGGGUGCGCCGAGGCUAUCACCCCAGGCGUGGGGGAUGCUACGACAGCGGGGAGGAUCGAAGUCCCUCGCCCGAACCACCCGGUCCGCAGGCCUUCAGCCGGGCCAUCCGACGGGCGCUGUUCCCGACCCGGUUCCGACCCCCGACUACUAUCACAAAGUACUCGGGGGAGACGAGACCGGAACUGUGGCUCGUGGACUACCGCCUGGCCUGCCAACUGGGUGGAACGGACGACGACAACCUCAUCAUCCGCAACCUCCCCCUGUUCCUCUCCGACACCGCUCGCGCCUGGUUGGAGCACCUGCCUCCGGGGCAGAUCUCCAACUGGGAUGACUUGGUUCAAGCCUUCGCCGGAAAUUUCCAGGGCACGUACGUGCGCCCCGGGAAUUUCUGGGACCUCCGAAGCUGCCGGCAGCAGCCGGGAGAGUCUCUCCGGGACUACAUCCGGCGAUUCUCGAAGCAGCGCACCGAGCUGCCCAACAUCACCGACUCAGAUGUCAUCGGCGCGUUCCUUGCCGGCACCACCUGCCGCGACCUGGUGAGCAAGUUGGGUCGCAAGACCCCCACCAGGGCGAGCGAGCUGAUGGACAUCGCCACCAAGUUCGCCUCUGGCCAGGAGGCGGUCGAGGUUAUCUUCCGAAAGGACAAGCAACCCCAGGGUCGUCCAUCGGAAGAUGCUCCCGAGGCGUCUACUCCGCGCGGCGCCAAGAAGAAAGGCAAGAAGAAGUCGCAAGCGAAACACGACGCCGUCGACGCGGACCUUGUCGCCGCCGCCGAGUACAAGAACCCUCGGAAGCCCCCCGGAGGUGCCAACCUCUUCGACAAGAUGCUCAAAGAGCCGUGCCCCUAUCAUCAGGGGCCCGUCAAGCACACCCUGGAGGAGUGCGUCAUGCUUCGGCGCCACUUCCACAGGGCCGGGCCACCCGCGGAGGGUGGCAGGGCCCGCGACGACGACAAGAAGGAAGAUCACCAAGCAGGAGAGUUCCCCGAGGUCCGCUACUGCUUCAUGAUCUAUGGCGGGCAUGCGGCGAAUGCCUCGGCUCGGCAUCGCAAGCAAGAGCGCCGGGAGGUCUGCUCGGUGAAGGUGGCGGCGCCAGUCUACCUAGACUGGUCCGACAAGCCCAUCACCUUCGACCAAGCCGACCACCCCGACCACGUGCCGAGCCCGGGGAAAUACCUGCUCAUCGUCGACCCCGUCGUCGGUGACGUCAGGCUCACCAAGGUCCUUAUGGACGGGGGCAGCAGCCUCAACAUCAUCUACGCCGAGACCCUCGGGCUCCUGCGCAUCGAUCUGUCCUCCGUCCGAGCAGGCGCUGCGCCCUUCCACGGGAUCAUUCCCAGGAAGCGCGUCCAGCCCCUCGGACGACUCGACCUCCCCGUCUGCUUUGGAACUCCCUCCAACUUCCGAAGGGAGACCCUGACGUUCGAGGUGGUCGGGUUCCGAGGAACCUACCACACGGUACUGGGGAGGCCAUGCUAUGCGAAGUUCAUGGCCGUCCCCAACUACACCUACUUGAAGCUCAAGAUGCUGGGCCCCAACGGGGUCAUCACCGUCGGCCCCACGUACAAACACGCGUUCGAAUGCGACGUGGAGUGCGUGGAGUACGCCGAGGCCCUCACCGAGUCCGAGGCCCUCAUCGCCGACCUGGAAAGCCUCUCCAAAGAGGUACCAGACGUGAAGCGUCAUGCCGGCAACUUUGAGCCAGUGGAGACGGUUAAGGCCGUCCCCCUCGACCCCAGUGGCGACACCUCCAAGCAGAUCCGGAUCGGUUCCGGGCUCGACCCCAAAUAGGAAGCAGUGCUCGUCGACUUUCUCCGCGCGAACGCCGACGUCUUCGCGUGGAGUCCCUCGGACAUGCCCGGCAUACCGAGGGAUGUCGCCGAGCACUCGCUGGAUAUUCGGGUCGGAGCCCAACCCGUCAAGCAGCCUCUGCGCCGAUUCGACGAGGAGAAGCGCAGAGCGAUAGGCGAGGAGAUCCACAAGCUAAUGGCGGCAGGGUUCAUCAAAGAGGUAUUCCAUCCCGAAUGGCUUGCCAACCCUGUGCUUGUGAGAAAGAAAGGGGGGAAAUGGCGGAUGUGUGUAGACUACACUGGUCUCAACAAAGCAUGUCCGAAGGUUCCCUACCCUCUGCCUCGCAUCGAUCAAAUCGUGGAUUCCACUGCUGGGUGUGAAACCCUGUCUUUCCUCGAUGCCUACUCAGGGUAUCAUCAAAUCAGGAUGAAAGAGUCCAACCAGCUCGCGACUUCUUUCAUCACACCCUUCGGCAUGUACUGCUAUGUCACCAUGCCGUUCGGUUUGAGGAAUGCGGGUGCGACGUACCAGCGGUGCAUGAACCAUGUGUUCGGCGAACACAUUGGCCGCACGGUCGAGGCCUACGUCGAUGACAUCGUAGUCAAGACGAGGAAGGCCUCUGACCUCCUUUCCGACCUUGAAGUGACAUUCCGAUGUCUCAAGGCGAAAGGCGUCAAGCUCAAUCCCGAGAAGUGUGUCUUCGGAGUGCCCCGGGGCAUGCUCUUGGGGUUCAUCGCCUCCGAGCGGGGCAUCGAAGCCAACCCGGAGAAGAUCGCGGCCAUCACCAGCAUGGGGCCCAUCAAGGACUUAAAAGGCGUACAGAGGGUCAUGGGAUGUCUCGCGGCCCUGAGCCGCUUCAUCUCACGCCUCGGCGAAAGAGGUCUGCUUCUGUACCGCCUCUUAAGGAAGGCCGAGUGCUUCGCUUGGACCCCUGAGGCCAAGGAAGCUCUCGGGAACCUGAAGGCGCUCCUCACAAAGGCGCCUAUCUUGGUGCCUCCAGCUGAUGGAGAAGCCCUCUUGGUCUACGUCGCCGUGACCACCCAGGUGGUUAGCGCCGCGAUUGUGGUCGAGAGGCAAGAAGAGGGGCAUGCAUUGCCCGUCCAGAGGCCAGUCUACUUCGUCAGCGAGGUACUGUCCGAAACCAAGAUCCGCUACCCACAAGUUCAGAAGCUGUUGUAUGCUGUGAUCCUGACGAGGCGGAAGUUGCGACACUACUUCGAGUCUCAUCCGGUAACUGUGGUGUCAUCCUUCCCCCUGGGGGAGAUCAUCCAGUGCCGAGAGGCCUCAGGCAGGAUCGCAAAGUGGGCAGUGGAAAUCAUGGGCGAGACAAUCUUGUUCGCCCCUCGGAAGGCCAUCAAGUCCUAGGUCUUGGCGGACUUCGUAGCCGAAUGGGUCGACACCCAGCUACCGACGGCCCCGAUCCAACCGGAGCUCUGGACCAUGUUUUUCGACGGGUCGCUGAUGAAGACGGGAGCCGGCGCGGGCCUCCUCUUCAUCUCGCCCCUCGGGAAGCACCUACGCUACGUGCUACGCCUCCAUUUCCCGGCGUCCAACAAUGUGGCUGAGUACGAGGCUCUGGUCAACGGGUUGCGGAUCGCCAUCGAGCUAGGGGUCCGACGCCUCGACGCUCGUGGUGACUCGCAGCUCGUCAUCGACCAAGUCAUGAAGAACACCCACUGCCGCGACCCGAAGAUAGAGGCCUACUGCGAUGAGGUUCGGCGCCUGGAAGACAAGUUCUACGGGCUCGAGCUCAACCACAUCGCUCGGCGCUACAACGAGACUGCGGACGAGCUGGCAAAAAUAGCCUCGGGGCGAACAACGGUUCCCCCGGACGUCUUCUCCCGGGAUCUGCAUCAGCCCUCCGUCAAGAUCGACGACUCGCCCGAGCCCGAGGCGCCCUCGGUCCAGCCCGAGGUACCCUCGGCACAGCCCGGGGCACCCUCGGCUCGGCCCGAGGCGCCCUCGGUUCAGCCCGAGGUACCCUCGGCCUCGAGGGCGAGGCACUGCGCAUCGAGGAGGAGCGGAGCGGGGCCACGCCUGAUCGAAAUUGGCAGACCCCGUACCUGCAAUAUCUCCGCCAAGGAGAGCUACCCCUCGACCGAGCCGAGGCUCGGCGGGUGGCACGACGCGCCAAGUCAUUCGUCUUGCUGGGCGAUGAGAAGGAGCUCUACCACCGCAGUCCCUCAGGCAUCCUCCAGCGAUGUAUCUCCGUCGCCGAAGGUCAGGAACUCCUCCAAGAGAUACACUCGGGGGCUUGCGGCCAUCAUGCAGCGCCUCGAGCCCUUGUCGGGAAUGCUUUCCGGCAAGGCUUCUACUGGCCAACGGCGGUGGCGGACGCCACAAGAAUUGUCCGCACCUGCGAAGGGUGUCAAUUCUAUGCGAAGCAGACCCACCUGCCUGCUCAGGCUCUGCAGACGAUACCCAUCACCUGGCCCUUUGUUGUGUGGGGUCUGGACCUCGUCGGCCCCUUGCAGAAGGCGCCCAGGGGCUACACGCACCUGCUGGUCGCCAUCGACAAAUUCUCCAAGUGGGUCGAGGUCCGACCUCUGAACAACAUCAGGUCCGAGCAGGCGGUGGCGUUCUUCACCAACAUCAUCCAUCGCUUCGGGGUCCCGAACUCCAUCAUCACCGACAACGGUACCCAGUUCACCGGCAGAAAAUUCUUGGAUUUCUGCGAGGAUCACCACAUCCGGGUGGACUGGGCUGCCGUGGCUCAUCCCAUGUCGAAUGGGCAAGUAGAGCGUGCCAACGGCAUGAUUCUACAAGGGCUCAAGCCUCGGAUCUACAACGAUCUCAACAAGUUCGGCAAGCGGUGGAUGAGGGAACUCCCCUCGGUGGUCUGGAGCCUGAGGACAACGCCGAGCCGAGCCACGGGUUUCACGCCGUUCUUCCUGGUCUACGGGGCCGAGGCCGUCUUGCCCACUGACCUGGAAUACGGCUCCCCGAGGACGAGGGCCUACGACAAUCAAAGCAACCAAGCUAGCCGAGAAGACUCGCUGGACCAGCUGGAAGAGGCUCAGGACAAGGCCUUACUACACUCGGUGCGGUACCAGCAGUCCCUGCGACGCUACCGCGCCCGAGGGGUCCGGCCCUGAGACCUCCAGGUGGGCGACCUGGUGCUUCGACUGCGGCAAGACGCCCGAGGGAGGCACAAGCUCACGCCCCCCUGGGAGGGGCCAUUCGUCAUCGCCAAAGUUUUGAAGCCCAGAACGUACAAGCUGGCCAACAGCCAAGGCGAGGUCUACGGCAACGCUUGGAACAUCCAACAGCUACGUCGCUUCUACCCUUAAGAUGUUUUCAAGUUAUUCAUAUACCUCGCACCCACGCAAAGUUUAGUCAUCAAGGAAGGGUCGGCCUCGCCUCGGCAAAGCCCGACCCUCCCUCGGGGGCUAAAAGGGGGGGAACCCCCUCUGCGUUGAAAUUUUCCUCGAAAAAAAAAGAUCUCUUCUGCCAGAAUAUCUUUCGUGCUUUUUGACUACUUCGAAAAGUGGAUCCUGAAAACGACGGAGUACACGUAAGCAGCCAAGGCUGACCGAGCCGAGGGACUCCUACGCCUCCGGGAUACGGAUACCUCACUCAUCACCUUCUGCGAGAAGUAACUCGCGUUCGGAUAAAGUGACUCCGCGGACCGAACAAGUCUUUACGUUCGGAAGCUCUUCUGCCGAAGCGAUCCUUCGAGCCUUCUCGACUGAGUCGGUGACAGGGCCUCAUGGACGGGUAAAGGUGCGCGUAAGCGGCAAGGCCGACCGAGCCGAGGGACUCCUACGCCUCCGGGAUACAGAUACCUCACUCGUCACCUUCCGCGAGAAGCAACUCUCGCCCGCACAAACAUCCCUGUUACCGACAAAAAAGUCCAGAUACUCGAAACAAGAGGAAAGGAGACGCAGCUUUACAACACAGCGAGGGUGUGUAUUCUGGCCUCGGCGGCCGCAGAAGGCACACGCUACAAGACACUCUGAUCCUGCAGGCUCGGGUCUUGGCGCUGGAAGGGGGCAGCAGCACCCUCGGCAUCGACGACACCUUCGGCGAGAUCCGACCUAGCCUCGGACGGCGACGCGGUCUGAGGAUCUCCGCUCUGGAGGACGACGUCAUCAUCACGCCCGAGCAAUCGCUGCCAGGGACUUCUCUGGGAAUCCGGCCCGAGCAGGCGGCUCGGCCGGUUACCCCUGAGGCCUCGGCCAACCAUCUUCCAAGGGCGCCAGCCCGACCCAAGGCCUCGGCUGAUCGACUCCGGCGUCGGUCCCGCUGACGGACAACCCAGCUAGGCUCCGGCCAACCAGGUUUCAUUUUCGAGCCAACUCCGCCUCUAUUCAUGCUGAUACCGCUACCCCUGGCCUCGGCUCGUCGAAGAGCGGCCAAGGGGUCCCUUUAACUAAGCUAGAGGAGCCUCAGACAACAAGGCCGACCGAGCCGAGGGACUCCUACGCCUCCGGGAUACGGAUACCUCACUCGUCACCUUGACACGGGGCGACUCAUGCUUGGUGAAGCGGUUUAGAUAAUCAACAGGCGAGUCUUAGUGCUCGAAAAUGAGGAAAAAACACGGCUCCGUGCCAAAAUUACAUACAUGUUCAGGCCCCGAAAGCCGUAAUGAACAAAACACUGGCAUUCGAAGUGCCAUUACAAACGGAACUCCGGUUCCCCCCUCCGCAGGUACGAACAACCCCACUCGAUUGGGGUGGGCCUGCGGAGCAACAGAAGACCGACGAACGGCGCGCCGUCACCUGCUCCAGCAGCGGCGACGACGACGGCUUCUGCCCCGGGGGGCCGAACAGCGGCAGCACUGACCUCAGGGCGGAUGCUGCUGCCAGGAGGCCCCCGCCCAUGCCAAAACUUGUGAGGCAAGGACGGGCAGAAGGCCGUAGAGUUGGAGGUCGGUCCGUGGCCGGCCUUGGCUAUCUCGCCGGCGGAAGAACCUCUUCCAGCUGUCGUGGUAGACGCCGGCGCCGCAAGCGGCUCCGAAGCCACUCGCUCCGAGAGCCAGGCACGGUGCAGCUGCCAGCGCCACGGACGACAACCGCCCCUUCCCUCCGACCACUGAGUGAAGGGGCGGGCCGCCGCCCACGCAGGGGCCGACUCCGACUCGCCUCAUCCUCCAUCUUGGCCUGGAUGACGAAAAUCCUUGAGGCCGAGGGAGGGGCAGAGGCCACAGCCCGGCUCGCUCUCCCCACCAUCAAGCCGGAGGUCACCAUCUUGGGUGACUGCCGGCGGAGGGGUGCAGCUAGGCUGCAUGAUGAAAAUCCUUGAAGCCGAACGAUGGCUGAAAGGUACCAACUCCCACGGAGUUGCGUUCCUCCAACGAUAAGGCGAAAAGACGGCGGGCAUCCCCCAUCCGGGGGCUUGGAAGGUGGAAAGACGCGAUGCAUAAGGCAGGGAGAAGACAUGGUCGCCUUCCGAAAGGGAUCGCCCUCCUUUUAAAGGCCACUCUCCCUGCUUGCGCCUCCAACCGUCAUGGGCUGAGUCUUCUCCAACACGCUCCAAGGUCCUCCCCUGCGGCGCGGGGGCUGGGUCCCACAUGUCAUGCAAACCGGCUCGAAGCAGAAGAAGCCAAACCGCCGCGCGUGGUGCACACAACUGCCUAGCGGUUACAAGUGACCCUCCACUUUUGCCCAAACCAACGGGCGAAAGAGGCGAGCAGCCAUGCAGGCGGCAUGCAACCGCGCCAAGUGGACGCGCCUCUCCGACCCCCGACACGCCAGCGUGGAGGCCCAGGCCCACGCGUCACGCAACCGGCGCGCCGGAUGCUGCAUGCAAGCAACUGCACCUCCACUUGCGCCACCACCUCGCCUCCUCGAUUGCGGAACCAGUACCGCGACUCGAGGUGACCCAGCGCACGACCCAGUGGCGCCAGCCUGACGCGGCGGUCAAACGCGGCCAAAAGUGGGCCGGCAGUAAUGGCGGUGGCAGGCGGGCGGGAGCAGCGGUCACGUCGUCAGCCAGGCUCACAUCCCAUCCGGGGGCAGCAAGAGAACCCCCUCUCACGGCGUGAAGACGACGCGCCCGUGAUCCGUUCCUCGAGCGGCUCGCGCACGCGCAACGGCCGCCCUGCCAACCACUCGCCCCGUCGCAUUAACUCCGCGGCAGGACAGGCGGCGCUUCUGGCAGGAGAAGCGGGCGACGCUUCGCCUUCGCCGAAAUAACCGCGCCAAAAAAGGUAUGCCGCGUCGUUUCGAUUCCGUAUCCUUUUCGUUUUUUCCUCUUUCUCUAUCUCUUGCAACAGGGACCGGGAAAGGGGGAUACCCCGAAAAGGAUCCUUCCCCAUGAAGGAACCAGGCUCCGAGCCUCCUUACUGAUCAGAGGUUCGAAGGCUGGCCCCCCGAAGGGUUCAACAGUCGCCUCAGAUCGUGUGGGCCCUACACCCACUACUGGUCAGAGGUUCGAAGGCCGGCCCCCGAAGGGUUCCACGGCCGCCUCAGGCUACCCGGGCUCCGCGCCCAUUACUGAUCAGGGGUUCGAAGGCUGGCCCCCGAAGGGUUCACAGUCGCCUCAGACACCGAGCGAGGGAUGACCAGGGGUACGUUCGAUACAUAACCGAGGCUCGGGCUGCGCUCCCGAGGUACCCUAGGACAUUUCCGAGACUAGCGGGAGCGAUCUUGUAACGGAAUCCCAUCGGAGGGAGGCAUCGAGCCCUCGGACCCCGUCGCUAGGGGACCGGGUCCGGCAGAUCACCCGCAGGUACUUUUGGGCGUGCCUCUGGGCCCCUAGCCGACCCCUAACGAACGGGGCACGGACGUCCACUCGGAUUACCCGCUUGCAGCUCACCGGAGACACCAUGUUCGGUGCCCAUCGAGGGUAACAUGGCGCUUCCCCCCCCCCCUCCUCCUUGCGGAAAGGCGACGUAGGGGCGUAUGUAAAAAAGCCGAGUCUGUCCCUGAUCGCCCUCUCGCCCUGUGCAGAGGCUCGGGGGCUGCUCUCGCAAACCCGGCUCCGGCCAAACCGUUGACAGCGUCAACAUACCAGCCCGAGAACUUGGGCCCCGACCGUACACCCGGGCUACGGCCAGUUCGCAUGAGGGAACAACCAGACCAGCCGAAGCGUUACGCAAGGCAUUAAGACCUCGAAGGAGUGAAACCACUCCUCCGAGGCCUCGGGGGCUACACCCGGCGGGUGCGCUCGCGCGCACCCACCGGGACAAAAUGCAACCAAGAAAGGCUGGUCCCCUUGCAAAAAAGUGUGACGAAAGCCUCCAAGCGAGUGUUAACACUCCCUUCGAGGUUCGGGGGCUACUGUCGGGGACCAUAAUUAGGGGUACCCUCAAGACUCCUAAUUCUCAGCUGGUAACCCCCAUCAGCAUAAAGCUGCAAAGGCCUGAUGGGUGCGAUUAAGUCAGGGAUCAGUCCAUUCGAGCGACUCGAUCACGCCUCGCCCGAGCCUAGCCUCGGACAAGGGCAGCCGACCCUAGAGGGUUUCCGUCUCGCCCGAGGCCCCCCUCCAACGGCAGACACAUCUCCGGCUCGCCCGAGGCCCUGCCUUCGCUAAGAAGCAACCCUGACUAAAUCGCCGCACCGACCGACCGAAUCGCAGGAGCAUUUAAUGCAAAGGUGGCCUGACAUCUUUAUCCUGACGCGCGCCCUCCGGCAGAGCCGAAGUGACCGCCGUCACUUCGCCGCUCCACUGACCGGUCUGACAGAAGGACAGUGCCGCCUGCGCCACUCCGACUACAGUGCCACUCGACAGAGUGAGACUGACAGACAGUCAGGCCCUGCCAAAGGCACCAUAGGAAGCUCCGCUCCGCCCGACCCAGGGCUCGGACUCGGGCUAAGUCCCGGAAGACGGCGAACUCCGCUCCGCCCGACCCAGGGCUCGGACUCGGGCUAAGACCCGGAAGACGGUGAACUCCGCUCCGCCCGACCCAGGGCUCGGACUCGGGCUAAGUCCCGGAAGACGGCGAACUCCGCUCCGCCCGACCCAGGGCUCGGACUCGGGCUAAGACCCGGAAGACGGCGAACUCUGCUCCGCCCGACCCAGGGCUCGGACUCGGGCUCAGCCCCAGAAGACGACGAACUUCGCUCCGCCCGACCCCAGGGCCCGGACUCCGCCCUGGCCUCUGCCGACGACCUCCGCCUCGCCCGACCCAGGGGCUCGGACUCGGCCUCGGCCAUGGAAGACAGACUCGACCUCGGCUUCGGAGGAGCCUCCAAAUCGCCCAGCCUAGGGCGCAGGCCAGCCACGUCAACGGGAAGCGCCAUCAUCACCCUACCCCAAGCUGACUCGGGCCGCAGGGAACAAGACCGAUGUCCCAUCUGGCUAGCUCCGCCAGAUAGGCAAUGAUGGCGCCCCGCACGCUCUGUGACGACGGCGGCUCCCAGCUCUCUUACGGAAGCAGGUGGACGUCAGCAAGGACUCGAUCGCUCCAACAGAUGUCCCUCCGCCAGGCACCGUCGCUCCUCCGACGGCCACGACAUCACACCAGCAGGGUGCCAAGAUCUCUCCGGCUGCCACAUUGGCAUGUACUUAGGGCGUCAGCUCUCCCCCGCUAGACACGUAGCACUCUGCUACACCCCCAUUGUACACCUGGAUCCUCUCCUUACUCCUAUAAAAGGAAGGACCAGGGCCCUCCUUAAGAAGGUUGGCCGCGCGGGGACGAGGACGGGACAGGCGCUCUCUUGGGGCCGCUCGCUUCCCUCUCCCACGUGGACGCUUGUAACCCCCUACUGCAAGCGCACCCGACCUGGGCGAGGGACGAACACGAAGGCCGCGGGAUUCCCACCUCUCUCACGCCGGACUCCGGCCGCCUCGCUCUCUCCCCCCUUUGUGCUCGCCCACGCGCUCGACCCAUCUGGGCUGGGGCACGCGGCACUCACUCGUCGGCCUGAGGGACCCCCGGUCUCGAAACGCCGACAAAUCUAUGCCCUGACUAUUUGCUCUUGUAAUGUGGGCUCCACCGAGAUAUAAUUUAAAGCACCUAAAGAAAGAACUUCCAGGUUCAGCUUGCACAACUCAUCACACAGGGUGGUGACUUUUGCAUCCAUGCUCAUACAAUUGCACUGGGCCUUUCUGCUCAAGGCAUCUGCCACAACAUUGGCUUUGCCAGGAUGGUAAUGCACCUCCAAAUCAUAGUCCUUGAUUAACUCUAACCAUCUUCUGCCUCAUAUUUAGAUCUGCCUGAGUGAAAAUGUAUUUGAGACUCUUAUGAUCAGUGUAAAUAUUACAGUGAGCUCCCAUCAAAUAAUGUCUCCAAAUCUUGAGAGCAUGAACCACAGCUGCUAACUCCAAAUCAUGGGUAGGGUAGUUCUGCUCAUGGGGUCUAAGUGCUCGGGAGGCAUAAGCAAUCACUCUAUUAUCUUGCAUUAAGACGCAUCCCAAUCCAGUACUGGAAGCAUCGCAAUAAACUUCAAAGGGCUUGGUGUUAUCAGGUUGAGCUAGCACUGGGGCUGUUGUCAAAUGCUGCCUUAGUGUAUGAAAGGCAUGUUCACACUUCUGGCUCCAAUUAUACUUGACUCCUUUCUUCAACAGUUCAGUCAUUGGCUUGGCAAUUCUGGAGAAAUCCGGAAUAAAUCGUCGAUAAUACCCUGCCAAUCCCAGAAAACUCUUAAUCUGCCGCACUGUGGUAGGAGGUUUCCAAUCCAUUACUUCUUGUACCUUCUCAGGAUCAACUGAUAUCCCAUCCUGAGAAAUUGUGUGACCCAAGAAUUUAAUUUCCCUUAGCCAGAAUUCACAUUUAGACAACUUAGCAUGGAGACGAUGAUCGCGCAGUCGCUGAAGCACGAUGUGCAGAUGCUCAGUAUGCUCGUCUUCAUUCUUGGAAUAGACCAGAAUAUCAUCAGUGAAAACCACUACAAAUUUGUCCAGCUCUGGCAUGAAUACUGAGUUCAUCAGAUACAUGAAAUAAGCCGGGGCAUUGGUCAGCCCAAAAGACAUCACCAAGAAUUCAUAGAGCCCAUAUCUGGUAGAGAAAUCCGUCUUCGGAAUAUCACUGGCACGGAUCUUGAUCUGAUGGUAGCCCGAGCGAAGGUCUAUCUUGGAGAACACCUUGGCUCCCAUCAACUGAUCAAACAAAACAUCAAUGCGGGGCAGCGGGUAUUUGUUCUUGAUGGUCACCGCAUUGAGAGGGCGGUAAUCAACACACAUUCUCAAACUCUCAUCCUUUUUCUUCACAAAUAAGGUCGGACAUCCCCACAGUGAAGUACUUGGGCGAAUGAACCCCUUGUCCAACAACUCUUGCAGUUGCUUUUUCAGUUCUGCCAAUUCUGUCGGAGGCAUCCUAUAGGGUCUCUUGGAGAUAGGAGCGGUCCCGGGUUGCAAUUCAAUUGCGAACUCAAUGUCUCUAUCAGGUGGCAUCCCUGGCAAUUCGUCUGGAAAAAACAUCUGGGUAGUCACGGACCACUGGGAUCCUUUCCACUGGGGACUCUAUCAUAACGAAGGCACAAGAAUGGGUACAACCCUGGUCGGGCAAAUAUAACGUGGUUUCACCACAGGUCGGUGAGUGCACUUCAAUGGCCCUAGCUGCAAUAUCAAUCACUGCCUAAUGUUUGGUCAACCAGUCAAUUCCCAAUAUGAUAUCCACGCUAUCCAAACCCAAAAUGAGGAGGUUGGUUUUGAUUAUCAGACUACCAAACUUUAUAGGCACAUUCUUGUUGAUUUGGUAGGUGGCAACCCUGCCUCCUGGUGUGGAAAUUGUAAUACCCCCAUUGGUGUGGUGAAAAGGUAAUUGACACUUGGCACUAAAUUUGGUACUGAUAAAACUAUGUGAUGCACCAGAAUCGAAGAGAAUAAUAGCAGGAUAAUUCAAAACGGUAAAGAUACCAGUCAUGACGGGUGCUCCCUCUGGAAUAUCAGCCAUGGUGGUGAAGUUCAGCCUGCCUUGCCUCACUUGCACCUUCUGCCUCUUGCCUUGGUUCUUAUUAACAUUCUGUCCCUGCCUCUGCUGGUUUCUGAGGCAAUUCUUGGCAUAAUGUCCGGUGUUGCCACAAGUGAAACACCUGUUGUCAUUUGCCUGACGAUACUGCUGCUGCUGUUGAUUGUUCCUCUGAGCCGGAAACUGGGUGCGGUUGGGUGCUUGCUGCUGCUGCUGCUGUGGUCGGAUCACCCAUCGCCCUUGCUGCUGCUGAGGUCCUCUGUUCUAAGUGUUGGACACGAUCCUGAAGCGCUGUGGCUGAAGGGAAGGUCCUGCCAUAGUGGUCUUCCUCUUCUUCUCUGCCUGACGAGCUGUGAUACAGUCCUCCUGAGAAAUGGCCAUGUUGACUAACUCAUUAUAGAUGUUGGCCCUGACUGUGUUGAGAUGGUCACGGCGCUUAGUGCUAAGCCCCCUCCUGAACAUGUCCCUCUUCUUCUCGUCCGUGUCUGCAUGAUACCCGGCAUACUGGCACAGGUCAUUAAAGGCCUGAGCAUACUGUAACACUGUCCGGUUUCCCUGAGUGAGUGCCAGGAACUCGUUGAGCUUUCAGUCCAUAAUGCCUACUGGUAUAUGGUGUCCCCUGAAAGCUGCCUUGAAUUCCCUCCAUUCCACCUCUCGGUCCUCUAGCUGCAUAGCAAGAAAAUGGUCCCACCAUGUCCGCGCGGGUCCACGAAGCUGCUGGGUGGCGAUCCUGACCUUAGUGACCUCUGAACAAACUCCAUGGAGUAGCGGGAAUUUGGAUUCCACUACUCUCAACCAUACAUCCGCAUCAAGUGGGUCCUCUUCCUUGGUGAACAAUGGCGGCUGGGUACUGAGGAACUCCUGGUAGGUGGCUGCCGCGGGGUGACGCUGAUGAUCACCACCACCAUAGUGCUGAGGUGGCGGCUGACGCUGAGCUAGCUGUCUCAAGAUCUCAUUCUGCUGAGCCAUCAGCUCCUGCAGAGUAGGAGGCGGUGGCGGUGGUGGAGGAGCGCGCUCAUUUUGACCACGACGCGCUCUCCCGGCCAUCUGAAAAAUCACAUAUAUUUUCAAUAACACAACUUUGAGGUUCCAGGUUCAAUCGUGGUGAAAGAGUCAAAAGGAGAAAUCGAUAGAUUCUUACAUAAUCAUAAAAGAUUUCACAUGGCAUAAACUUUUCUUCUUAAAUUAAGACUGACAUCAUUCAUCAAUCAUGCUUCCAAAAGAGUUUUUCGCGAUUACAUCAAUACCCCAAAAGACUCAACUCUAUCUAGCCUAGUACCCUAAUGGUGCAAAAGCUAAGCUAGCUUCGAGGAGUUCUACCAUCACUGACUUCUAACUCUAUCCCUACGACCUAGUGAGCAAACGAGGCAACACUCGACUCGGGGGAAGGGGGUCUCCCUGAGCCAGCAGUGUCCAAGCUGGAGGCAGGCUCCUCUCCUCCCUCGAUGUCGACAUCCUCGUUGGCCUCCAUGUCCUGGAUCUCCUGGUGAUGCAUAUCCAGGUGCUCAUUAGCCUCGAUAAGCUGUUGCUGGGUGUUAAUUAACUGAUCCUCGAGAACCUCGAUGGUGUUCUCCCUUGUUCCCACCAGUUCCUCAAGCUCUUGGAUCUCAUUUGACAGUUGCUCCACCUGUAAGUCCUUUUCCACCAUCUCCGUGGAUAAGUCAACCACAAGCUCCUCUCUGUUAUCCAAGGUGAUCUUAGUUGCCUCCAACAAUGCCAUCAGAUGGGACAUUGCCUCACCACGCAUCACUUGCAGACGAUACAGGGCAUUCAUGCACCGCACCGUCAAGUGAGUAGUCUGGCCUGGGUAGAUAGCCCAGAUGUCCUUGGCAUGCUCCACUCGGUCCUUCCACAUUGGGUCGUCCUCCUUCUCAGCGGGGAACAAGCCAAUGGGGUGAGUGGACAGCUCCAAGGGGUGGAAUCUGCAGAAGGUGGUCAGUCCGUGAAGGGCAAUCGCCUCGAUCGUAUCCUCAGCCCGGUAUCCAAAGGACUUCGAGUCCAGCGAACGCCAGCCUGGCUACAGGGGAUGAGGCUCCAGGGUCAUCCUCACCCUACAGCGGGGCACUCGGUGCUUUUCGAACUGCUGCACCGCGUACUGAGGAGGCAUCGUGUAACCGGCCCCCUGAAGUACCUCCCACAAAAUACAGGGAAAACCUUGUCGUGCAAGCCCGUCAGUGUGAGACUGUGCAUUCCCUUCGUACGAUGAUCCGUGAGAAGUCAUCUUUGUAGGGUUAAGCGUAAGUAAAAGAAAAAGAAUUAUAAAAAGAAAAAGGGAUCACAACUCAGCCUCUCUAUAACUACGACAGUGGUACUGGGGUGCUUAGUUUGUCAUUAUUUUGUAUCAAAGUUCUUACCCAAUUAUUUAAUAGUUUAAUUAAUAAUGCAUGCAUGCUCGUCCUAAACGACCUCACAUCAACUUAGAGAGAAUAGGGAGGAACUCCCAUCCCUUAAAGUAGCCUGUAGGGCUUACUCAAUUAGCCACCUAGCUACCCCUCUAUCAUCCUAAGGCUUCACAUCCUAGGUCUAUCCUGAUCGUCCUACGAUCUAUCCAACAUUUGUUUCUAUCAAGUUUUACUUUGGAAAAGCAUGGUAUUUAUAGUUUAUUGAUUCCUCUGUGGUGGUACAAGCUCCGAUACCAGCUAUGGCGGAACUGCCCGAAUUAUUCCAACUUAAGUGCCUAAGUCCCGCCUUAGAGGCUAGACCACACUUAAAUGGGAAUAACCCGUCAAUCCCUCGGAUCUUGUUCGACGAGGCCACUGACAGGAUCAAGUACCACAAUCUCACUCGAUGGUGAGUCACAGAGCAAAUACAUUAAAGCAUAAAACCAUACAUUAAAGAGUGUUAAACUUAUUACAUCAUCAUCGGGGUUUUAGCGAAAGUAGUCAUCAUUGUUCGGAGUGCAGCGGAAUAAAACUAACGAUAAUUAGACAGGGAGAUGGGGAAGCCUGUCCCAUCACUAAUAAUGCUCCUCCUCAGCCGAGGCGGGGUCCCACUCGACAGUCCAACCCGGUGGCAAGAUGGACGGCCAAGUCACUCCAGCAACCAUGUCCUCCAAAGAACCUGUAAAAUUAUGCCACAAGCAAGGCUGAGUAUACUAAUACUCAGCUAGACUUACCUGGUGUGAGGAGUCUACUCCUCUACCUCUAGACAUGCAGCUGUUUGGCUGUGGGGUUUGGUUGCCAAAAGCACUAGCUGAGUCUAAAAAUCAAGUUUUAGCUUUGUCAAGUUUAAGUGUGACUCUCUUAAGACUAAAUGUGUACUAUCUACUCAUUCAUGGUAUCAAACACAUUUAGCAAUCAACAUCUUUUGCCACAUCAUCACAUUUCAACUUGUUACUCAAUGCAGUACAAUGGAUCAAGCAGUCUCAUUAGCUGCGAGAAGAAGACGAUUCGAAUCGAGUUUUUAUCCUUGCAAGGUAAACCUAAACACACGACGUGGCGAGGCACUCCGUCCCAGACACAUCAACCAUCCCCAUCGAUUCCCCGUCAACAGAUCAGGGCUCACCGCCUUGGCGUACAAUGCCUCACUGACCCCGACUGCCGUCGUGCAGUGACCGCACUUGUACCCACCAUAACCGUAAUGGGAGACCACGUCUCAGGUCGCGUGAGGGGAUAUGUCCACUGCCAGGUUCACUCAGGUACUAGGCUUACCGAUUUACCAUAUUUGUCGGCAUGUGCUUAGUACGUUCAAUCGCUUGACACAGGUAUCCGCACGUUAAUCCUUAUUCCAAUUUCAUCUCGUAGACCACGCGUCCCCAUGAAUCUGUGUCCAAAGACCAACAUCAGUAUGAUAUGAAAGUGGGUACAAUCAAUGUCCUGACCUCGCACGAGUGCUGGAAAAAUCACUCGACUUGUACCGAGAUCCCUAAUUAGUAAGCAGCUACUCGACCUAGCAUACUAGUAACCAUCACAAAAGGAAUCAUGAGUUCAUGCAACUAUGGUUUCAGGCAACUCCUACACUUAAGUGCACAGUACAAACCUACAAACAAUAAGUGUAGUAAAAUAGUAUAUAUAAAAGGUUAUGCAUAAAACCGGGGCUUGCCUUCCAAAGCUGGGGCAGGCAGAUCCUCUGGUGCAGGCUCUGGUGCUGGAUCCGGGGCUACCUCCUGAGCAGCUCCUUGCUCCGGCAUGAGGACGUACUCUCCGUCAGCGAGGUUGCAGUCUAUCGAAUGCAAUGAAUAAGAAUAUGCAUGCCAUGAUUAUGCAGGAUUUGGUAAACAUUAUGCUAAGUAAAUGAAAACUAAGUUAGUUUAGUAACUUAGGGUUUCUUGGUCUUACUUGGCUCUUGGUGGUGUAUGCUUAUCAACUUAGGUUUGGAGUUUUGUUAGGGAUAAGCAUAGUGGAUUUGUAUUUCCCUUAUACAUUUCAGUGGGCAAUUUAAAAAGGGUUUUGCUGGUUGGGUUAGGGUGACACUAAUUUCCACUAUUAAUUUCCCCUUUUUCAUUUUCUAUUUAUGAAUUCUAGUGUGGGUUUGAACUACAACAGUGGUUUAACUUUUUUCCAAAAAUUCUGUAAAAAUUACAGUGGGUUACCAUUGGUCACUAUAGUCUGUUCUAUGAGUUUGAGGUCCAGAAUAAAAAGAGUAUGCCUUGGACAAAAAUAACAAAAGUUGGGUAAAGGGGGUCACUUUGCAUUACAACUCUUAACUAGGGGUAGGUUCUGUCCUAAGGGUCAUUUUUGUUGGUAUCUAACAGUAAUCACAUGCUUCUGUGCCAAAAAUCACAGAAGGUUAAUUGGUGGUUAUUUAGUUGUGAUUUUCUAAAGUUUAAUGUCAAAAAGGCACUUUCUACUAUCUUGUUAUUUAAAAAAUGUCAAACAGCAGAUUUCAUAUUUUUUCUAUGUUUUUAAUAACAAAACAUUAAUUAUCUCAAGGUUUGGGGUGUUUUCACUUUGGGGUUAUUUUUCUAGGGGUUUUCUAAGUUUUUCUUGUUUUCUUAAAAUAAAAGGUAUCCCAAUUAUUUUAUACUAAACCAGGAUAUAAUAAAUUUUUCUAGUGAACUAUACUGAAUAAGUAGACUAACAAAAAUAUGGGUGCUCCCUGGUUCUUUAUUUAAACCUCCAUUAAUAAUUUCUCUAACUUUAGGCUAAAAAGGAUUUAAAUGGUAAACUCUACUUUAACUGGGUGUACAGAGGGGUUUAUUAUUUUUAAACAGGUUAAGAAGUGAUUAGGUACUUCUCCAAAUUUUCUUAACCUCAGUCUAACAGUGCAACUAUUUUUCCUCCUAUUAUUUAGCUUUUGGCCAAAUCAAUAUUUAAAUACAAACCUUAAAUUCCUUUGCAAUACUAAGGGGAUUUUGUAUUUUUCCUAAGUAGUUCUCAUUAUUUAGAAUCAGGCAAAAUUUGUUUGACCAAAUUUGGUUGAAUAAAACUGAAGUUAUGAAUUUUACAAGCUCUAUUUGUAUUUAAAUUAGAAAUAUUAAAAAGGUUUCUGGAAAACCAGUUUACACCGAGGACCCUGGGUUUAAUCCAAUUCAACCCACUCAAAUCUACCCCUGCGCCACUAUUCCCUUGGGUCACUGACAGUUCAAAAAUCCCCCCGACCUUUCCUUCUUCCUCCCCGAGGUCCUUCCCCUAAUGCAAACAGUACCCGCGGGAAAAAAAAGGGCGGCGCGGCUUACCGGCGGCGAGAGAGGUCCGGCGAGGGGUGGGGUUGGCUCCGAGAGGUCCUGGCGGUCACAGCGGUGUACGGCUCGACGGCGGAGGUGGCCGGAAUCGUCCGGUCCACGUGCGCAGGCGGGUGAUCUCGUCGGCGGCGGGUGUUCCGGCUAAACCACGGCGAUCUAAUUCAAUCAAAUGGCACAAUGAGCUCCACGGGGUGACGUAGAGGCUAUGUGCACAAGGAAUCGAAGAAUGGGGCAGAGAUUUACCCGGUCUAUGUUCACCGGCGGUCGGGCGAAGUCCGGCGACCGUGGACUGGCUUCUCCGGCGAAGCAAAGUCCGAUUCCUUGCUCGGGGAGCUUCACCGAGGCGUGCACAGUCUCUUUUGAGGGUCGGGCGCGGCUGGGAAGGGCUCUGUUGGCCGGUCUACGGUGGCAGGGGCUCGGGUGGCCGCGGGCACGCCGUGCGCGGGGCAAACGCCGGUGGUUUCGGGCUCCGGUGAGGUCGAGCGUGCGCGGAGGAGUACGGUCGACGCCUGAGGGUGAUUUAUAGGCGCGGGCGCGAGCAGGAGACGCGGGCACGGCUUGGCGUGGCGCGGGGCGCGCGGGGUCGAGCGCGGGCGUGCUCUGGCGCACCCAGAACGCGUCGAACACGUGGAGGUGUUCUUCUGCCCAUGUUCAAAAGCUUGCUGAGAUCGCAAACGUGCGAAUCUUGGCAAAAAUCCGGCACAGACCUCUUCCUGGCACCUAUGGCUAUCUCUUGUAUGUGAGUUCCAAGGGAAGAUAAGCCCUAGGUCAGAAGAUAUGCGGACGCCAAAUCUGGCUUGUCUCCCUGCCCACUUCGCGACAAAAGUGAUGCCAAGACAUGUCAAAUUUCAAGGGCUCGGUCUCAACUUUUUCCAGGGGGUGCCUUAGGUGGUAUGCCACAUUUUUGGUAUACAACUUAGGUGGUUUUGGUGCCAUCUACAAGGUGAACACGGUGGAUCUUUAGAUUAGGUGUAGAAUUUGACUUAGAGAGAAUUAGAUAGCUCUAGCUCUCUCUCUCUCUCUCUAUUUAAGGAAUGGAUUUGGGGUUUCUUAAGGGGUCUUUUUGCAAUGUUUCCUCUCUAUAUUUGUAGAUUAAUAUGUUACUUAACUUUGGCCAAAGGUUAGGUCAUGAUUUGCACAUUUGCUUAAUCUCCCCCCCUUCAACCAAGGUUUUAGGAGAUAGGGGUUCAAGAGGGGUCUAGGGUUUACUCCCCUCUUGCCCAAGGUGAUAAUUGUACAAAAGCUUGGGUAAUGCUUUUAGGUCAUUAACAUUCUUGGUUAAUACAUGGUCUCCAAGGUUCUUAUGCUCUUCUCCUUAAGUUUCUUCCACAUGUGAUCACCGUCAUUAGUGCAUAGAUGUGCCAUGGCCAUAGUAACACCUGGGGUGUUACAGUGUACAUCGAACAGUUCGGUGAAUUAUAGCCAGCGCGACUCACCAAAUUCCCGAGGGUGGCCAGUUCAGCCACCGUGUAGUCUGGCACACCGUACACUGUUCAGUGCAUACUGGACGGUCCGAUGCCUCCCAGACUUGCCCAAUCUUAGCGAAACAUAGCCACACUUCUUUUCUCUAGUUUUGCUCGACUUGAGAAGUUUCCUAGCACUUAGAUGUCCAUAGAGCACCUUACAAAGUUUGUACACAUGGUCGGGGUACUUGUUAUCCUCGAAGCCAAGGGGUUGUUCCACGUACACCUCCUCCUUGAUUGGCCCAUUAAGAAAAGAGCUAUUCACGUCCAUUUGAAAGAGAUUAAAGGAAUGGUGAGCAACAUAGGCUAGUAAUACGCAAAUAGACUCAAGCCUAGCUAUAGGAGCAAAAGUCUCUACAAAAUCCAAACCUGUGACUUGAGCAUAACCUUUUGCUACAAGUCUUGCUUUGUUUCUUGUAACCACACCAUACUCAUCUUGUUCGUUGUGAAAAAAACCCACUUGGUGCCCACAACAUUUUGCUUUGGACGUGCACCAGACUCCAUACUUCAUUUCUCUUGAAGUAGUUGAGCUCCUCUUGCAUGGGCAAUACCCAGUUUGGAUCCUACAAGGCUUCUUCUACCCUGAAAGGCUCAAUAGAAGAAACAAAAUAGUAGUUCUCACAAAAAUUUGCAACACGUGAACAAGUAGUUACUCCCUUACUAAUAUCACCAAGAAUUUGAUCCACCGGAUGAUCUCUUUGAAUGUUGGUGAGGACUUGGGUUGGAGGUGCCUGUGGUACUCCUUCCUCCUCUCUUCCUUCUUGUUGUUGUGCUCCCCCUUGAUCCAUGCCACCAUCUUGAUGUACUUGUUCCUCAUCUUGAGGGGUUGCACCAUUGUGGAAGAAGAAGGUUGAUCUUGCACUUGUUGUUCCUUUGGUCGCACAUCUCCUAUCGCCAUAGUCCUCAUGGCGGCCAUCGGAACCUCAUGUUCAUCUAUUUCAUCAAGAUCAACUUGCUCUAUUUGAGAGUCAUUAGUCUCAUCAAAUACAACGUCACUAGAGACUUCAACUAAACCCGGAGAUUUGUUGAAUACUCUAUAUGCCUUUGUAUUUGUGUCAUAACCAAGUAAAAACCCUUCAACAACUUUGGGAGCAAACUUUGAAUGCCUACCUUCAUUUACCAAGAUGUAGCAUUUGCUCCCAAAUACACAAAAGUAAGAGACGUUGGGUUUGUUACCGGUGAGAAGCUCAUAUGUCGUCUUCUUCAGGAGGCGAUGAAGAUAGAGACGAUUUAUGGUGUGGCAAGCCAUAUUCAUGGCUUCUGACCAAAACUGUUACGACAUCUUGUAUUCUCCCAGCAUCGUCCUUGCCAUGUCGAGAAGUGACAUGUUCUUCCUCUCCGCUACACCAUUUCGUUGUGGAGUGUAGGGAGCAAAGAACUCAUGCUUGAUACCUUCCUCCUCAAGAUAUUCUUCCACUUGAAGAUUCUUGAACUCAGAUCCAUUGUGUGGCAGAACCUCCCAAGUUAUUGGGCCCACAUGCACCUGUUCUCAUCCUAAAGACCGCAGACGGCUGUGCAUGUGCACCAAAUAACUUAACAUGAUCUAUCCGAGUGUCUCAAAGACCUCUGAUAAACCACGGAUCAUCAGGAUCACAAAAUUAAGUAAACACAACCCACAUACAAACACUUUCUGCGGAAAUAAAUUCUUUAUUACAAAAUGAUUACAAGUUACAUGAAGAUUUCAUUAUACGUUAUAGGAGUGAUUACAAAAGAAAGUGAUUCAAAAGAAUUACACUUUGAAAUGUAAUAAAAUAUUUGUAAGUUUGAAAUACAUGCUAGCUUAAGUGACAAUCCUAUAUAAAGAAACUAUAGAUGGGAUAUAUUUAUAUAAGAAGGACGAGCCCACCAGCACUUAACAUCACUCACAAUCAAAGCAACUCGUAAUCUGCAACAACACACGGAUUAAAACCAUUAGUACACAAUUACUCAGCAAGACUUACCUGACUAAAGAAAAGACUCUCAAGAGUAUGCUGGUUUAGAAGGGUUCAAGGUAAAGCUCAUCAAGUUUCAAAGACUCUUUUUGUAGAAAAGCUUACUAAUAAUUGAUCCUUAAGCCAAGUUUUUACUUCACAAGUUAUGUAAUUUUCCUAAAUCUAGAUUGGCCUAUUCUAGAUCAUACACUUGGCAUAAUCUAUCUUUCUUUUAAUCCUUUUUUGUUACACUUGUUAACUAUGAUGCUGGGCAGUGAUCCUGUCUUCAUAUCCGAGAAGUAACGUCGAUACGAAUCGAUUAAUACCCAGCUAGGAAUCUCCAACCACACGACAUAUAUAACACUUAACCCUUGCAUAUGUCAACUCACACCCGGUUUUCUCAAGAUCAGAACAGGUCCCCGCCAACCGAGAGCUCAGUACCCCACCAUCCAGCCUCUUGCCAGGUGGAUGCAUGAUACUCUCGCCAUCUCUCCACUCCCAUAGUUGGUGAGCCUUUCUAGUAUUGGUCUAGCCAAGGCUAAUCUUACCCAUGAUGAGGCAUGUGGGCAUUUAAAAGGUCCUAGAUCAGCAAGCCUAUUUUCAUUACGGUCCUUAAUCGACACAGACGGGCGACCUUUCUAGCUCAAUGUCUGGUCUCGAAUUAUUAUUUACUUCCCAAAACCAUGUACUUGACAGAGGUACCAUACUUGAAUGAUGAAUCCAACAUUACAUGAUGAUGUCUUCACCAUUACAAGUCCUUCUUCAUAAAACAAACUCAUAUCCAAUGUUACACAUCAUUCUUUUUAAAAAGAAACAUUUUUUAAUUUCCUAAGCAGGACUAAGCAUUAGUAGUUAUCUUUAUAAAACAGGUAGCAAGGAGGAUAAUCAAAUUCCGAGGAAGGAAAUGCAUCAAAUGUUUCAUCACUCAUCUCCUAUCACCUAAUGUAGCAUAUAAGUGAUAAAAAUUUUAAAACAACAAGGAGGGGGCAAAUUCACCGGGGAUUGCCUGGGAUAAACAAUACGUUAGUGUUGUUAGAUGAUGAUCACUUGGUGAGCAUCUCUUAUACUGGUACUCGAUCGGAUCAUCCAAUCUUUGGGUUCAUUCAUCAGCAUCAAUUUGAGAUUAAUUCAACUCUUGUCCUCCACAUCACGUGAUCAAUUAAUGUACCUAAAUGACAUGCAUGAUGCACAUGAGCAUGUGCAUGAAUAACAAAAGAUAAAUAAUCUAUACUAAGGAGGAUAAACACUUAAAGUAAGUAAUCACAACUCAUAGGCAUAACACUAGCUAGAUACCUCUGACUUUACACAAACAUGGCCUUCUAGUCAAAUGGACCUAAACCAAACAUCUAGCAAUAGGUUUAACUCAGGUUCUAUAGUCUUUUAAGAUUAAGCAUUCAUAAUAACCUUAGGUUCUGCACUAUCAGACACCUAGAACAAAAUAUGGAGAGAAGCAAUCUAACCACCAUGCCCAAAUAACUUGAAUCAUACACUAGCUAAGAUAAGACAUCACAAUUGUGAACUAGCAGGUAAAGCAUCCAUCACAUACAUAUUCACUCAAACAACUAAAUCAUCACCGCAACAUCGACAUUAGUUACCAUCAUUACAUUUAAAUUACUAAACUCCCCACUCUACACAUAAUUGGCAUUUCAAUCUAAACUUCUCUUGCACACCUAGUACAACAACAAUUACAUUCGAUCUCGAUCAUACACAACCAUGCCAUCCACCAGAUCUCAUAACCUUAUGCAGAGUUCUCCUACAACAAUAGCCAUCAGGCUAGUUUGAAGAUGUCACCAUUCCAAGCACUCUAUGGGAGGAAUUGUCGAACUCCGUUGCAUUGGGACCAACCCGGCGAAAGGCAGGUGUUCGGUCUAGAUAUUUUUCUUGAAGCCAAAGAGAAUAUCAGAAUGGUUCGGGGGAAUCUGAAGACAACACAGUCUAGGUAGUGAAGUUAUGCCGACACCAGAAAAAGAGAACUGAGUUUUGAAGUGGGAGAUUAUGUCUACCUGAAAGUGUCACCGAUCAAAGGAGUCAAAAGGUUCGGAGUCAAGGGCAAGUUAGCACCUCGAUACAUCAGACCAUACCAGAUCUAGGCAAGACGUGGAGAAGUGGCCUACCAGCUCAGCCUACCAAAAAGUCUAUCCACAGUGCAUGAUGUUUUCCAUGUAUCUCAGCUGAAGAAAUGUUUGCGAGUGCCAUAGGAGCAAUUGCUAACCGAGGACCUCGAAGUCUAGGAGGAUUUGAUGUAUAUCGAGAAGCCAACCCAGAUUAUGGAGACAGCAGACAGAGUCACUUGAAGGAGCACCAUCAGAAUUGCAAAGUCAAAUGGGGCCACCAUUCAGAGGAAGAAGCAACCUAGGAAAGAGAGGAUGAUCUGAAAGCCAAAUAUCCCGAGCUCUUUGCUAACCAACCCUUAAUUUCGAGGACGAGAUUCUUGUUAAAGGGGAUAGGUUUGUAACUCCCUAAAUUUGGGGGUAUAAAAUUUCUUCUCCUCUUUAUAGUUUCCUUUUUCUCUUCCUUUUAUUAGAGGGUUGGUUAUUUUAUUUGGAGAUGUAUUAAUACUUUAGUAGAUUAAACCCUAGGGGAGACAUGAAUUGUUGCAUCAUGCUGAGCUUAAACUUUGAUAUUUGUUUGAUGCAUAUGCUUGAAAUAUUCAAAUUUGAAUUUGUGGCUUCGUUGGAUUUGAUUUCAAAAGAGAAAAAAAAUAAGAGAGAUUAUAAUUUCAGAACAAAAGAAAAAGCAAAAGCAGACCGCACUUCCCUUUUCCUUGGCCUUUCGACCCAUCAGGCUUGCCUAGCCCCUGCGCCCGCUCUCCCUACUCUCUCUGCUUAGUGGGCCCGGCAUGUUGGCUCCAUCGCUCCACCUAUGCGUGCCCCUUUUCUCUCCCUGUGUGCGGGUCCCGCUUGCCAGUCGCGAUGUGUGCCCCACGGCCCCACUACAUCUGCGCACUGCCGAGCCUCGCGCUCGUGCCAUGUUGGAGCCCGCCAUCGCCUUUGAAUCUUCGUCCGUGCACCGGACCGCACGUCACCGCCCCACCUCGUCCACACCAGACCUCCGUCACACUCAAUGUCGCACGUCCGUGCCACGGGUGAGCACUGGCUUCUCCCCUCCCUUCCCUCUUCCUCUACCCAGUAUCGUUUCCUUCACCAUGGUCGUCGAGCCAUGCGUCCGCACACCCAUCGCUCGAUGUUCCCCUCCUUCUGACGUCUACCACCGAUCUUGUCCAUGGCGCUCCGCGCCGUGCUCGUUCGAGAGGGAGAUGAGGACCCCGACAACCCAUCCCCCUUGUCAAUCUCUCUCGCACCGACCCCUUUUCCCCUUCGCUCUGGGUCGCUAACCGGUGGGCCCCGCCUGUUAGCGCGCGUCCACAUCCGUGCCCGCGCGGUGCUACUGACUAGCGGGCACGGCCAAGCCAAGGGCCCACUGUCAGUCUUUGCCCGCACGUCGGGGUCAUGCCGCGCAGGGUUCCGCCCUGGGCUGCUGGCUUCUGGGCCCCACCGAUCAGCCACCGCGUCCCCCCCCCCCCCCCCCCGCGCUCUCAGCCCCUGUUUCUAAUCUCGGCCCUUCGCUCCCUAUUCGACGGACGAGAAGCUCUGGUACCCUUUCACCGCGAGCGUUUUGCUUAAACCCCCCUAGGUUCUCGGGAUUAGAACCCGCCGUCCUUAGCCCUUGCAACUGAGCCCCUAGGUUCUUGCUAAGAGAAUCUCGGGUUUUUAUUUAAUUAGAGAAGUGUGCUUAAAUUAGGGUUUUUGAAUUCUAGAACUUCUAAAAUUCAUAACUUUGUCGUAUGAACUCCAAAUUGGAUUGUUCAAAUUACAAAAUGUUCAUUAUGUUAUUUUCUAUCUAUUAAAAUUAUGUUCAUCCAAUGUUUCCAUGUCUCAAUUUUAUAGUUGGCCUCUAGGUUAGAGUUGAGGUUAUAGAAACUUUAUUAGGAAUAAAAUGAAGAUAGGAACCCUAAUGAAUGUUCAAGUGCUUAACUUUAUAGACCCAACUCUAGUUAAUGUGUGGUCUCAUCCCUGAAAUAACUUUGAUUGAGUAAGUAACUGACUAAGAUAGACUUAGUUAGAGAACAAUAGACCACUUAGCAUAGUGAUUUAUCCCAAACUUAGGAGGCACCUAUAUGUUUUUACUUUUUUAUUGAACCUAUGUUUACUCUGUUGCAUAUGUUUGGUGUAUUGUUCUUCUGUUUUCCCCCCAAAUGUGUUGAAUGAAUGAUUGCUUUGCAUAGACAACGAGCAGUCCGUGGUUCCCGAGAGUGUUGCAGGAUAUUUCCCUGAGCAGCAACCUAGUUAAGGCAAGUGUCCUCUGACCCAUUAUGUCCUACUUACUUUAUAAUUCAUUGUCCCACAUAUCAUGAUCAACCUAAGGAUUGACUAGUGUUCUAUUUUUCAUGUCCUUGGUUAUCCUUUAGGAAUUAGUUACUAUGAUUAGUAUCAUGCUAUUGUUUUACUUUAAUUAAUGAACAUGAUGAGAACAUUUAUGAUACGAUAAUGAUAUCUUGAUUAUGAUGAUGAACUUGUAUCACUUCAGGGGACUCGGGUUGUUUCCCAAGUACCUCUCUGUAAGGAUCUGUUCGUUGGAUGACCACCCGGGAAAAUAGCACAACCAUGAGGUUGGUAUGGGACACCCUUAGCUGAUUAACUAGAGGAACUUGAGGUGUAGUUGGCUUCGCAGUUGUGCCAUCAAUGGGGUUCGAGCACAGUACUUGCUCUACCGAGGCUGGGUGCCGAGGUUCUUUCGUGUUGCUUUUGUUACUCACCUUUCAUGUGGGGAAAGGUACUGUGUUUAUCAAACUGGAGAACCUAACGGGAGGCUAUGACAUUUGGGAAAUCUUUGUAAAGGCUAUAUAGUGAAUCCCUGGCCAUUCACCUUGGUAGUGAAGAUCGGGUUUGUACAACCUAGGCUGGGAAGGGAUCAUGACUCGCUGGUAAAGUGUGCAACCUCUACAGAGGGUUAGAAACUGGUAUAUCAGUCAUGCUUACGGUUAUGAACAGCGUUGGGAGCUUCUUUGAUUAGAGUUACUCUAGAUACCUUUACGAUGAUGCUUAAUGAUGAUGAUUAUAAUUAUGGUUUCUAGUAUUUCCUCUUGGUGCCUGUAUAUCGAUGAGUUCUAGAAUAGAUUAGCGGCAAACCCCUAGUCAGCUGCCUGUGAAGGCCUUAUCGUACUAUGUUUCGUUCAGCACUUCGAUUAUGGUUUAAGUUAAUGAUUUUGUGGAUGUUUUGGACAUCGUGAUGUAAUAAAGUACUUAUUUCUGCUAUUAUUUUGAGCAAUGUGUGAUGAUAUUCAAUUAUGUAAUUGACGUGUACGUGAAUUUUUGAUCCUGACAUGUACAUGGUUCACAUUUGGUUUGCCUUCCAAAACUGAGUGUGAGAUAAGCGAAGGUGGAGAGGGCAAGGACAAUAUUAGGCACAAAAUGCCCAAGCCAAAGACCAUAAUAACCAAUGACAUUACAAAAGAAUUGAGAGAGAGAGAGAGAGAGGAAAAUGGACUUCAACAAUGAAAUGACCAUAGAAAACCAUUACUCAUUGUACUCCUUCUAAGGGGGUUGCAUUAGGUAGGUCCUGGGUUAGAAUGGUCUGAGAGCAGUGGGAAAACCAAGCUAAUGAUCUCAUAGACUUUGUAUAAACCCUCCCCGUUCAAGAUCCACGUCUUCAAAAUGACCCUGAGGAUUGAUGUGUUGAUCAUGACAAGGUGCAGUACUAGUAAGGGUGGAUUUAGGAAGGAGCAAAAGGAUAAAUAUGACUAGUAUAAGGCUAGAAGCAAGAGUGCAACAAACUCACAUAAAAAAGAAAUAUAUUCAUAGAUUCUUAUUUAAGGGCCUUAACAUCUCUCUCUCUCGACUUACUAGGCACAACAAACAAAACAUAACUGACUCACGUCAAAAUGUUUGCUAAAUAAUCGCUCAACCAAUUAAGUGAUUACAUCCAAUAAUCUUUUGUAUGGGACAUGAUGAUGACGCUAAUUAAUUGUGCAACCUAGGAUUCCACUAGGUAAUCACAAAGGUCUCGUAACUAUUUUCUUAUAGAGGGUAAUAAAAAUUAUGUUUAUUUUGUCAUAAUGAUUAUAUUAGUGGACCAAGGGACGUCAAGUCCCAUUAAGGAGAAAUAGAUGCCAUGCAUGCCUCAUAUUGGCUCUUUGUCUUCCAAGCUAGAGUAUGAAAUACAUUAUAGUUGACCUAAUAGCAUAAUGCAAGGGUUAGGGAUGAAGUCCAAGAGAUAAGUCAAACUGAGGCAUAAGCCUAAUUGACCAUGCCAAGUGUCUAGAGUUCUUAGAUGUUGAUCCAUGAGACGACAAGAGCGGGCCCACUUGUGGGACCAAUCCUAUGAUAGACCUAGGGGUCUUUGGUAACACCUCGAGAAGGGAAUACCCCUAACUAUGGACAAUACAUGCUCACGGGAGACUUUUCUAGGCCUAAAGUAGAAGGGCCAGUACUCUUGAGACCCUACAGCUUGGGGGCCUCCUUUUUCCUUUACUAAUGGAGAGCACUGGCACCAACUUAGUUUAUACAUGGGUGCUCCAAACUAAGCUUAUCGGAUCCCAUCAUUCCUAGGGCAACUAAUGUUGUAAGCCCUCGAGAUCCCUCAUGUUCUGAGGCACCUACGAUUGAGCACCCAGGGCACCUAUCAGUAUAAGCCCCUUAGGACCCUCACAUUGUGGGAACACCUGACGAUAUAAUCUUGUGGGGUACCUGAUGGUAUAAACCAUUGGGACCUCUCGUGUCCUAGAGAACUUGAUGGUGUAAGCCUCCAGUCCUCCUUGCGCCUCAAGGCACCUGAUGAUAUAAGCCACCAAAGCCCCUUGUGUCCCAAAGCAACUAGACCCUUAGUGGCACCAGAAAGUAUAAACACCUAGGGCUAGAGGACCCCAUGGAGGAAACAAGAACUCUAGGUGAGGACCUAGGCCUAUCUUGGGUUUGAAGAAUAAGAUAGGCCCACCGGUGGUAGUACAACAUCUAUACAUGGGGCCCACACCAAAAUAAUUUAAAAAUUGUACUAUAGUGAUAACUUAAUGGAUAAGUCUUGAGUAUAUCAUAUUAAAUAUGCAAUGAGUGACAUUAUAGGACUAACUCAGUGUGUAGGCACACAACAUAUACUAUAGGGCACUCGAGGUCGCUACAUGAUGCACACAAUGGUCCUAUAAUUGCACAAGCACAUGCAUGUGUAUCAAGGAAUACAAUAAAUUACAAGAGACUAUACUGGUAGCAAAUCACCCGAGACCAGCAAGCCUAGAUCUCGAAAUCUGAUGGCGUAGGUUAUGAUACCUGCCCUGGUAGCUUUUAUGGAAGUCGCUAUGUGAAGGGAUAACUAUGGCAACUCUCGCAUUAAAUAUGAGCAUGACAUUUUGGGCAUGCCUUCCCCCUAAAACAUGCAUAGGGUGUAGGCGUACCUGGAGCCAAUUUGUAAGCAUAUUUUAGUAUAUAUUAUUGUAUUCAAGUAGAUGAUCCAGUCUACCAAAAGUUUGAAAAAUCCUUAUUGACAGCGAUGGGCAAUACAAGGGUUCUUGCUUGUGAUAAGAGGUACAAAGAACCAUUAAUGCGCUGAGGACAUGCCCAUGUCUACAUGGAUCACCAAAAUGAUUACACUGGUACAUACCUAUUGUGGGACAUGUGUGUGCAAUCUAGUGACAGGACAUGUGUGUUGACCUAAUGAUAAGACUCACUCCUCUAGCAAUUCUUCCACAUGUACCUUUUGUAUCCUUGUGUCUUUUCCACAACAUAUAUAUCAUAACUAAAUAACCACUUUCUAGUUGUUAUAUAGUGCCACAAGCAACCAUUUGGAACGAUCCUUUGUGGGUACUAUGCAUGCAAGGUUUUUUUUGCACAAAAUAGGCGAUACACCAUGAAUCAUUGCGGUGUAAGCAAUAUUCGUAUGUGUUGUUUGGUCAUUAAGGUUGCAAGCUCAUUGGUCACUUGUAAAUAUAGAAUUACUAUAUAUCUCAACUAAAUAGCCACUUUAUGGUUGUUAUAUAUUGCCACAACUAACUAUCUAUAAUAGUUCUCUGUGGGUAUUAAGUAUGCGAGUUUCUCAAACAAAACGAGCGAUACACAAAGAAACCUAAUGAUAUAAGUGAUAGUCAUAUGUAAAUUUUUGUCAUUAGUGUUGCAAGCUUAUUGGUCACUUAAAAUAUAUGAUAACUCUAAAGUUUAUUCACAUGUAAAUUGUUAUUCAACAAGUAAACGACUCAAAAAUAAAGACACUAAAUAUAUACGAGGACAUAUGUGUUGGUUUUGUUAGAGAAGUAGACAUUUUCAGUUUUAAUUUAAUCUAGAAAACCACAGUGAUGUAUGUGACAACAUGUAUGUGCAUAUGUGUAUCACUGCUCACAUAAGCAGUAAACAACAAUAAAAAUAUGCACAAAUACUAAGAACAGAGUGUACCCCGCGGAGAGACCGAUGCUCAAGGCAUCCGUGGCUCCAUUCACACUAGACAUCUCGUGUGUAUGUUCGAUGUAGUCGUACGCAGUCGAUGCAAGCAGAUGUACACAAUACAGUCCCUUGAACAGCGCUGGUGACGAGGAACUGGAUCAGCGUUAGUCGGGCGGACAGAGCAAGCAGGCGUGAGUACGCUCCCGAAAAACCUGAUUGUCCGCACACCCGUGCAAGUGUAGCUCUGCGGAUGGUGAUUUCGGAGGCCUGCUCUCCCACACUCUCUGUGCUCGUAGAAGGUGGGACGGGAAUGGCUAUGUGCAACGCAUUAGAGAAUGUUCGUACGUACUACAACCAAAAGCAGCCUCACCUCCUCCGUAUAUGUACACGCGCAGAGGGAGGCAAACAAACAGUAACGGUUUCCAUCAGAGCUACCGUUACAGCCAGCCAGAAACUGACGCCAUCAGUGACGUCUGUUACUAGCUGAUAGCCAUUACAGCCCGUCCGUUACUAGCCAUAACAUAGGAAACGGUCAGUAAUGGACAACAAUAAUGGACGGUCAUCACUCUAGGCAAAAUGUGCAACCGUUAGGAAGGAAUAUUUGGUCCAAGGUCCGAUCUACCGUAGCCAUGGCCUGGCCCGGCCCGGCCAGCGACACGUGCGCAUGUGGCAGUCCUUCAUCCUUUUCUUAGCUUCUCAAUAGAUGCACCAAUGGUCCACCUAUUUAAGUUGAUUGAAUUGUCCCUUGAACUUCUGGUAUGGUACUAAAUUAGUAGUACACUGUAGCAUUAAAGUGGGCCUUUAGCAUUGACUAUUAUUGAAUAUUAAUUUGGGCCAGGCCCACAUUAAUCCAACAAUCCCCACCAAAUGCUAAGUCACACUAAAAUGAUCUCAUCAUCUCAAACUUUUGAUAUACUGAUGUUUCGAUGAAGACUGUUAAGUUGAACAUCCACCUAGAAUCUAGACUACACUUGACAAUAACUGCACAAUGGACUAGGCCUUGAAUUGGCAGUUUUGCGUGGAAUAAGUUUCAUCUAAACUCUUUACCAGUACUAGAUUGCUGAGCGCAUCCCCUCUGGUUGGAGCAUAUAAGUCAAACUCCAUAGCCUUUCAUGGGUAUGUAGAGACCACCCAGAUCUCGUAAACUAUGACUAGCAGUCAACCCAUAUAGGUAUGUUCCUCUAAAGAUGUUCUCGUAGGACAACAUCUUUGCUUCACAAAGCCACUUGGAACAUAUUAAGGUGUAAACACCAACCUACCUUACAGUAAGGAAAGAUGUGUAACUGAAAUGAACCUUAUUAAGGGUCUGUCCUCUUAGUCUACCACUAGCUUGUUUCACCAUUCUAAUUCACGGGAUCUCCGAUCACAUGGAACAUGUUACCACUAUGAUAAACUUUAGGUGGGUCUUAGGCCCAUCUCACUCGAUGUACUAUCUAUCACACUACGUGAUAGCCCCAUAGGGAAUUAAUCUACCAGAUUUUUAGACAUAUGGACAUAGUCCAACGCUAUUACUUCGGAGUUUAUUGUAACGCCCUGAAUUUGAGAGUUAAAUUUUUCUUUCUCUAGCACUCACCAAAUUCGGGCGUUACCUUUCCUCUUUCUUUUUUCUUCUCGCUGUGCCUUGUUCUUCUUCAAAUAUUCUAGUGAGAUUUAGCUCGAGACCUCGUGUAAGUAAAACCCUAGAGUUAAAUCUUUUGGUUGUUGCACCAUGCCGGUCCAUGCAUUUAUUUUGGUUUGUUGAGUGAAUGUGUGAAAGCAUACAUUUGAAAAUAGAUCAAAGUGGGAAAAUUAGGAGAAGAAUAAAAAAAAGGGGAAUUUCUCUCUCUCCCCCCUUUUGGGUUGGCUUCCAACCGUGGCCCAGCCACCCCCUCCCCUGAGUCCUGUGCGCGCGGCGCGCGUGGGCGCAACCGCCGCCGCCGCCACCUCCCUGGUGGGGCCCGCCCGUCAGUGGCCUCCCCUCCCCAAACCUCUCCCCUAUCCCGCGCACGUCCCUCUCUCUCUCUCCCUCGACGUCGCUCGCCCUCGCCCCGUGCGGUAAGCCCCUCCCUCCUCUCUCCUCCCCCUUCCUUCCCUUCCCCAGCGUCCCACCCCGCCCUGGUGCAGCCCCACCCGCGACAUGGCUUCCCCCGCCCGUCUCGCGCCCGCCCCGGCGCGGCCUCGCAGCGGCGCGGCUCGGCCUCACCGUCAUGCGCCCGCGUGGCUCCCCGCCCGCCCAUCGCUCCCCGCGGCCCCAGCGCGGGUUUCCCCCAUCCGGCGUCCCAUCCUCGCGGCGGCCCGCGCUCGCCCGCCCCUGCUCGCGGCGCGGUGUGCCCGCCCGGCCUCGUCCCUGCCCCUCGGCGCGCCCGCGGCGCCCUCCCCCUGUGGCGGUCCGGCCCCACCGUUCCGCUCCGACUCCGGCGUGGCCUCCCCCGCCCUGGCAUGCGCCCCUGCUCGUCGCGGCUCGCCCACCUGGCCCAGCCUUCCCCCGCCCGGUCCAUGCCCCUGCGUCGUGCCCCUGCGCAGAGCGACCCCGGCGUGGCCCCUGCGCAGCGCGGCCCCGGCUCGCGCGGCCACGGUGCCCCUGCGUGGCGCGGCCCCCUUCCCGUGGCUCGGCCCCGGCGUGCGCGUGAUUCAUUCAUGGCGCGUCAGCGCGGCCUUGCGCACGCGCGUGCUCGCGUGGUGCACGCGGUGCCUUAGCGCGGCUCGUCGUGCCCUCGGCGCGAUGCGUAGCGUCCUGUCGCGUUCGUGACGUCCCAUCUACCCCUAGCCACCCGUCUACCCCCCUCGUUUAUUUUAUGCGCGUCGAUCGUGUUAUUUAUAUUAAUGAAACAGAAACUCUACUCAGAAAUUGGUCACGUUAGUUAUCUCAUGUAGUUAAUCAUUGACUUUGUUUAAUGUCGACCAAUUGGAAAUAGUUAUAACUCUAUUAGUGCAUGUGAUUAAUACUUGUUAGUAUAACUAGGUAGAACUAGAUGAAGUAAUGAUUAAUUAUACACUUACCCGUAAUACGCUUCGACUAUAGCUUUAACCACUGCGAGACCUUCCUUCUUCUCUUUCUAGCAGUUGCGAAUGCAAAUCGUAUGUCAUAUUUUAUGCAUAUUUGACUUAUCUGCUCUCUUGUAUGGUGUACUGUUUAUUUCCUAUUCAAAUGGAUGGAUGUAUGUUUGUGCUCGCAUAGAUAACGAUCUGGUUGAGGAAUCCGAAGAACUCGCAGGAGAAGCCCCUGAGCAGCAGCUGGUUGGUGGAGGCAAGUAUCCCUUGACCCAUCUAUGUUCUAUACAAUUCUAUAAUUCACUUUCUGCAUUUACACAGUUUAUACCUAAGGAUUGACUAGCUUUUGUUAUCCAUGUCCUUGCUUACCUAUUUGGGUUGGGUUAUUAUGGUUUAGCUUUAUGCUAGUGCUUAACAUUAAUCAAUGAACAUGAUGAGAUUCAUCUAUGAUAUGAUGUUUUCCUUCUUAUUUAUGAUGAUAUACUUGUGGCAUUUAAAGGAACUCGAGGGAUUUCUCGAGUGCCUCUCCGUAAGGACCUGUUCGUUGGAUAACCGCCCGGGAAAAUAGUGCAACCAUGACGGUGGAGUGGGACGCCCUUAGCUUAAUAAUUAGAGAAACUGGGGUGUAGUUCGCUUAGCCGUCGUGUCGUUAAUGGGGCUCGAUGUAUGCGACUCGCUCUGCCAAGGUUGGUUCGCCCCUUGGGGAGGAGUGCGGUGCAUUUAGAAAACCUAACGGGCGGCUACAACCCUAGGGAAUCUUUGUAAAGGCUACGUAGUGAUACCCUGCUGGAUCACCUUGGUAGUGAUCAAUGGAGAGUCAUGAUCUCCGGGCAGAAAGGGAAUCACGACUUGUGGGUAAAGUGCGCAACCUCUACAGAGUGUUAUGAAAACUGAUAUAUCAGUUUUGCUCGCGAUUAUGAGCGGCCAAGGGAGCUCCAUUGAUUAGUGAUACUUGAUCAGAGACGUUCGGAUUACAGGUGGUGAUGAGAAUGAUGAUUUUGGUAUUGACUAUGGUAAUGUUAAGUGGUAAUCUUUCCAUUUGGAAAGGGUACUUUUGGGGUUAACAACUUGGGUUAAGACUAAAACCUGGCUCUCUCUACUAGUAAUAAUAAUCUGACCAACUAAAAGCAAUCGCUUGACUUACCCCCACAUAAAGCUAGUCCACUACAGCCAAACAGGACACUUGCUGAGUAUGUUGAUGUGUACUCACCCUUGCUCUACACACCAAACCCCCCCUUCCCCAGGUUGUCCGUGUUGCAACCACUGCUCAGAAGAAGAUUAAGCCAUGGAGGAAGAUUUCCAGGAGUUCCAAGAUUACAACGAGUUCUAGGUGUGGGUUAGCGGCAACCCCCAGUCGGCUACCUGUGAAGGCCGCAUGUAUCUAUGUUUCGUUUUCGCACUUUGAUUAUUGUUAAAGAUUAUGUGGAUGUCUCAGACAUAUGAUGUAAUCGACUAUUAUUCCCCUUUUAUGUUAUUAUUUGAGCAUUGUGUGAUGAUGUCCGGUUAUGUAACUGUUGUGUACGUGAAUUGCUGAUCCUGGCACGUACAUGGUUCGCAUUCGGUUUACCUUCUAAAACCGGGUGUGACAUAGGUGGUAUCAAAGCCUUGCUGACUAUAGGACCGCUAACCUAGAGUAGAAUGGUCGUUCUAAGGAUUAUAGACCCCUAUUCUCACCUUGACUUGGUACCCCUUCAAAAGUUGGUCAUACCGAUCGAACCUAUGUUCUACUAUAUAUAUUAUACCUUGCUAAUUUUUUUGUUUAUUCUCAUUCCUUAUUUAUUUAUGGUUUACUUGCUAGUCAUAUUAGUUUUGUUCUCACUCUUAUGCUUAUGGUGUCUUUUGUAGAUGGCUCGUCUUAGACACACCGCACGGAAGUCUGUCAUCCCCUUCUUACCCUCUCGUCUCGCUGAGUGCCCGCUUCGCCGUCCAGUGACUGGUCAGUCUAGCCACUUGGAGAGGCUACACCACCGCCUACACGAGGAGCAAGAGCGUCGACGACAGGAGCAGGAACAACAGAGCUCUUCUUUCUCGCUCCAGCAGGAGAUGGAGUCUGUGAGAAGCUGCUCCCCUGUGCUCCCGCUGGAGGUGCCCCUGCACCACCAUUGAGCGCCCCAGCUGCUGGAGUAGCUGCUGGAAGAGACCCAGAUGACGGAGGCGGCGACGACAGCUCAAGCUUCAGCACCGACCUUUCAGCCGACCAGGAGAUGCAGGGAUGGGUUGCUCGACCCAUCACUCGCGACGCUGCUCACGGGUGUCACUUCCACGACGCGCUCGACACCCUGCUACGCCAGGCACUCGACCGACAUACUUGGUCCAUCGAGUAUCGUUGUGUGGUCUUCCAGCAUAGUCGCAGGGUUUACCCGGACCGUUGGGAGGCGACCUGCUUGGUGCGCUGUCCGGAGAACAGUCUCCGGGGUGCGGAGAUCUGCUCAGAGCACUAUUCCAUCUCUGAAUGAGACUCAGCCAAGGUGGCCAUGCAAGAUGCAGCACGGCGCGCGCUUUCGCACUACUGCUCAGUGCUCGGCGGGGUAGCCGAUGGUCUCAACCUGAAGUAUUACCUCUGUCGUCCAUCUGGCAGCAUAUGAGGCGUGAUUGUCUCACCUGUUAGCGAGGACAAUCCUAGGUUGAGCAGCACAGUCAACCUAGCCGCCGUGCUAAACACAGAGCUGGACCAUGCAUUAGACAAGCUGAGUAGGGCUCGUGCUGAGAUCGCCCAGCUGCGGGUUAAGUCUUAGCAUUAGCCUUACUGUUAGUUAGUCUUAGUUAGACAGGGUAGUUUGUUUAUCUUGUGCUUUCAUGUUUGUCAUGUUGAACUAUGUUGGAUUUGGAUCUUUGUAAUGACUGUCACUAGAGUGUGGGCAUCCCCUGCACCUUGGUUUACCUGUUAAAUGUUAAUGAAGUUAGUUAUCUAGCUGGGAAGCCUUUUUAUUCCACUUUCCUCUUUAUCUGAGAAGUUGUGUUUGCCUGUGUUGGAAAUCAGUGAAGAUGUUCAUCUGUUCAGUACUGUGGAAAGAUUCUAUACUCUUUUUUCUUAUGCUACAAGUUGCAAGAUCAGCUCUGAUGUGUGAUUGCAUUCUGCAGAUGUCAGAAAACAGGCGCAGAGGAGGAAGGCGUGCUCAGCAGGAGCAGGCAGCCCCGCAGGAUGAGGCACCCCGUCAGCAACUGCCACCACCACCCCCGAUGACCAUCGAGCAGAUGUUCUUGAUGCAGUCUCAGGCAGUUCAAGCCAUUGGUCAGACUCUGGCCGCCAUCCAGCAGCAGCAGCAGCCACCCACUCAGCCUCAGAUGCCCUCGAUGCCCAGAGACAAGCGUGCUGAAUUCAUGAGAGGUCACCCCCAGUGUUUGCUCACUCUUCUGACCCCAUGGAUGCUGAAGAUUGGUUGCGCACUGUGGAGCGGGAACUGCACACCGCCCAGUGCAACGACAGGGAGAAAGUUUUGUAUGGUCCCUGUCUGUUGAAAGGAGCAGCCCAGUCUUGGUGGGAGUCUUAUCUCACCACCCAUGCCAACCCCGACGCCAUCACCUGGGAAGAAUUCAGAGAUAGCUUCCGUCAGUACCAUGUUCCUGCAGGUCUGAUGACAGUGAAGAAGGAGGAGUUUCUGGCACUCAAGCAAAGGCCUAUGUCAGUUAGUGAGUACUGAGACAGGUUUCUGCAGCUGUCUCGCUAUGCACCUGAAGAUGUCAACACCAACGCCAAGAGGCAGUAUCGUUUCCUGAGAGGCUUGGUCGACCCUCUGCAGUAUCAGCUGAUGAAUCAUACCUUCCCCACAUUUCAGCACCUGAUCGACAGAGCGAUCAUGACAGAGAGGAAGCGCAAAGAGAUGGAGGAUCGCAAGUGUAGGACUAGUGGGCCUCAGCUUGGAAGCAGCAAUCGCUCUCGUUUCUCAGGCAACCCACCUCAGCAGUUCAAGCAGAACCAGCGCCCACCUCAGCAGCAGCAGUUCCAGAAGCAAUACCCUCAGCACCAGCAACAGAAUCGCCAGAACAAUCAGUCAGGAGGAGGUCAGUUCUAGAGGCAGAAUCAGCAGGCACCUCGUCUUCCCGCCCCAGCAACCAACCAGAACAGUCAAGCAACACUAGUUCAAGGCGGAAGCAAAGCAUGUUUCCACUGUGAAGAGCAAGGCCAUUGGAUGAUGCAAUGUCCGAAGAAGGCAGCCCAGCAGCAGUUAGACCCUAAUGCCCCAACAAAGCAGAAUGUGUCUCAGCCUGGAGCAGGCAACCGCUCUCAGCCACGCUACAAUCAUGGGAGGCUAAACUACUUGGAGGCUGAAGCAGUCCAGGAAACACCCGACAUGAUAGUAGGUAUGUUUCCAGUCGACUCCUAUAUUCAGAGGUGUUAUUUGAUACUGGAGCAACGCAUUCUUUUAUAACUGCAUUAUGAGUAGAAGCACAUAAUCUUCCAAUAAUUAACAUGUCAACACCCAUUCAAAUUGACUCAGUCGGUGGUAGGAUUCGAGCCGGUAGCAUUUGCUUGAAUGUAAGUGUGGAAAUAAGGGGGAUAGCGUUUCCCGCUAAUCUCAUAGUGAUGGGUACUCAGGGAAUAGAUGUCAUCCUAGGGAUGAAUUGGCUAGAUAAGUAUCAGGCAGUUAUCAGUUGCGAUAAGAGGACAAUCAAGUUGGUGUCCCCACUAGGAGAGGAAGUGGUGACUGAGUUAGUCCCGCCUGAGCCAAAGAAAGGAAGUUGUUAUCAGAUGGCUGUUGAUAGCUAAAAGGGAAAUAGGGUCAAACCUUUUCCAAUAAGAAUUUUGAUGGUUGAAUUGCCCAACACAAAUUAUUGGACUAACUAGUUUGCUCUAGAAAAUAUGUUCUACAGGUGUCAAAGGUUCACAACAAACCAAUACAAGUCAAAAGAAAGGGUUCAAACAAAGGGAGGAAAAGACAACCGAAGUGUGCCCUGGUCUGGCGCACCGGACUGUCCGGUUCGCCACCGGACAGUGUCAGGUGCACCAGGAAAUCCAACUCCGAACUUGCCACCUUCGAGAAUUCUGGAAGCCGCUCCGCUAUAAUUCACCGGACUGUCCGGUGUUGCACCGGACUGUCCGGUGUGCCAGCGGAACAACAGCUACUUCGCGCCAACGGUCGUCUGCGAAGGCAUUAAAUGUGCUAAAGUGCGCGCCAGAAGGCGCACCAAACAGUCUACAGGACCUGUCCGGUGCACCACCGGACUGUCCGGUGGACCCACCAGUCAUAGCUCCAACGAUCGAACCCUAACGGCCGGGUGACGUGGCUGGCGCACCGGACAGUGUCCGGUGGCACACCGGACUGUCCGGUGCGCCAUGCGACAGCAGCCUCCACCAACGGCUACUUUGGUGGUUGGGGCUAUAAAUACCCCCAACCACCCACCAUUCAUUACAUCCAAGUUUUCAGACUUCCUACACCUUACAAGAGCUAUAGCAUUCAAUACAAGACACACCAAAGAGAUCAAAUCCUCUCCCAAGUCCAAAGAUCAUUCCAAAUCUAUUAGUGACUAGUGUGAGAGUGACUUGUGUUCAUUUGAGCUCUUGCACUUGGAUUGCUUCUUUCUCUCAUUCUUUCUUGUGAUCAACUCAAUUGUAACCGAGGCAAGAGACACCAAUUGUGUGGUGGUCCUUGCGGGGACUUUGUGUCCCGUUUGAUUGAGAAGAGAAGCUCACUCGGUCUAAGUGACCAUUUGAGAGAGAGAAAGGGUUGAAAGAGACCCGGUCUUUGUGACCACCUCAACGGGGAGUAGAUUUGCAAGAACCGAACCUCAGUAAAACAAAUCACCGUGUCAUCCGCCUUAUUUGCUUGUGAUUUGUUUUCGCCCUCUCUUUCGAACUCGUUUAUAUUUCUAACGCUAACCCCCGCUUGUAGUUGUGCUUAAAGUUUGUAAAAUUCAGAUUCGCCCUAUUCACCCCCCCUCUAGGUGACUUUCAAUUGGUAUCAGAGCCCGGUGCUUCAUUAGAGCCUAACCGCUCGAAGUGAUGUUGGGAGAUCACGCCAAGAAGGAGAUGGUGACCGGCGACAAGCCCGCUACAAGCCACGGGAAGGCUCCAUCGGGAGAGUCCCGCAAUAAGGGGAAGGAGAAGGAAUCCCCUUCACACAAGUCGCAUCAGAGUGGAGAAAAGAAAAAGAAGAUGAGGAAGGUGGUCUACUACGAGACCGACUCGUCAUCGCCAUCCACCUCCGACUCCGACGCGUCGUCCAUAACUUCUAAGCGCCAUGAGCGCAAGAAGUUUAGUAAGAUUCCCCUACACUACCCUCGCAUUUCUAAACGUACUCCAUUACUUUCCGUUCCACUAGGCAAACCACCGGUUUUUGACGGUGAAGAUUAUAACAUGUGGAGUGACAAAAUGAGGCAUCACCUAACCUCACUCCACACUAGUAUUUGGAACGUUGUUGAGUUUGGUGUACAGGUACCAUCCGUAGGGGAUGAAGACUAUGAUUCGGACGAAGUUGCCCAAAUCGGCACUUCAACUCACAGGCCACCACAAUACUCCUCGCCUCUCUAAGUCGAGAGGAGUAUAACAAGGUGCAAGGAUUGAAGAGCACCAAGGAGAUUUGGGACGUCCUCAAAACAGCGCACGAAGGAGAUGAGGUGACCAAGAUCACCAAAAGGGAGACGAUCGAGGGGGAGCUCGGUCGAUUCAUGCUUCACCAAGGGGAGGAGCCACAAGCGAUGUACAACCGGCUCAAGACCUUGGUGAACCAAGUGCACAACCUCGGGAGCACCAAAUGGGAUGACCAUGAGAUGGUCAAGGUUAUUCUAAGAUCACUAGUUUUUCUUAAUCCUACUCAAGUACAAUUAAUUCAUGGUGAUCCUAGAUACAAACUAAUGUCUCCCAAGGAAGUGAUAGGUAAAUUUGUGAGCUUUGAACUAAUGAUCAAAGGCUCCAAAAAGAUCAUCGAGCAAGGCACAUCCUCCUCCGUACCCAAAGCACAACCCGUUGCAUUCAAAGCAACGGAGGAGAAGAAAGAAGGUAGAAUCCCCAUCGACGCCUCCAAGCUCGACAAUGAGGAGAUGGCGCUUAUCAUCAAGAGCUUCCGUCAAAUCCUCAAACAAAGGAAGGGGAAAGAUUACAAGCCCCGUUCCAAGAAAGUGUGCUACAAAUGUGGUAAGCCCGGUCAUUUCAUUGCUAAAUCUCCAAUUUCUAGUGAUAGUGACAUGGGCGACGACAAGAAGGGAAAGAGGAGAGAAAAGAAGAAGUAUUACAAGAAGAAGGGCGGCGAUGCCCAUGUUUGCCGGGAGUGGGACUCCGACGAGAGCCCCACCGACUCCUCCUCCGACGAGGACGCCGCCAACAUCGCCGUCAACAAAGGGCUCCUCUUCCCCAACGUCGGCCACAAGUGCCUCAUGGCAAAGGACGGUAAAGGAAGAAGGUAAAAUCAAAAUCCUCAACUAAAUAUGUAACAUCUAGCGAUGAGGCUAAUUCUAGUGAUAACGAGGAUGACUUGUUUACUCUUUUUGCCAACUUAAACAUGCAACAAAAAGAAAAAUUAAAUAAAUUAAUUAGUGCUAUUCAUGAUAAGGAUGAACUCUUGGAUAGCCAAGAGGACUUCCUAAUUAAAGAAAACAAAAAGCAUGUUAAAGUGAAAAAUGCUUAUGCUCUAGAAGUAGAAAAAUGUGAAAAAUUAACUAGUGAGCUAAACACUUGCCAUGAUAUUAUUUCCAACCUUAGAAAUGAGAAUGCCAAUUUAAUUGCUAAGGUUGGGAAGCUUGAUGUUUGUGAUGAUUCAAUUGUUAGUCUUAGAAAUGAUAAUGCCAAUUUUAUUGCUAAGAUUGACAAAUUGAAUGCUUCUCUUGCUAGCCUUAAGAAUGAAAAUGAAAAAUUAAUUGCUAAGGCUAGAGAAUUAGAUGUUUGCAAUAUUUCCAUUUCCAAUCAUAGAGAUGAAAAUGAUAUUUUGCAUGCUAAGAUUGUUGAAUUGAAUACUUGCAAACCCUCUACAUCUUCCGUUGAGCAUGUUACUAUUUGCACUAGAUGUAGAGAUAUUAAUGUUGAUGUUGUUCAUGAUCAUCUAGCUUUAAUUAAACAACAAAAUGAUCACAUAGCUCAACUUAGUGCCAAAAUUAAUGAGCAUGACUUAGAAAAUGAAAAAUUUAAAUUUGCUAGAAGCAUGCUCUAUAGUGGGAGACGCCCUGGAAUUAAGGAUGGCAUUGGCUUCCAAAAGGGAGACAAUGUCAAACUUUAUGCCCCGCCUAAAAGAUUGUCUAAUUUUGUUAAGGGCAAGGCUCCCAUGGUUCAGGAUAACGAGGGUUACAUCUUAUACCCUGCCGGUUAUCCCGAACACAAAAUUAGGAGAAUUCACUCUAGGAAGUCUCACUCUGGCCUUAAUCAUGCUUUUAUGUAUAAGAGUGAGGCAUCUAGUUCUAGGCAAUCAACCCAUGCUAAAUUGCCUAAGAAGAAAACUCCUAAAGCAUCAAAUGAUCAUAAUGUUUCAUUUAAAACUUUUGAUGCUUCUUAUGUGCUUACUAACAAAUCCGGCAAGGUAGUUGCCAAAUUUGUUGGGGGCAAACACAAGGGAUCAAAAACUUGUGUUUGGGUACCCAAAGUUCUUGUAUCUAAUGUCAAAGGACCCAAAACUGUUUGGGUACCUAAAAUCAAGAACUAAAUUUGUUUUGUAGGUUUAUGCAUCCAGGGGCUCAAGUUGGAUCAUCGACAGCGGGUGCACAAACCAUAUGACUAGGGAGAAAAGAAUGUUCUCCUCCUACGAGAAAAACCAAGAUCCCAAAGAGCGAUCACAUUCGGGGAUGGAAAUCAAGGUUUGGUCAAAGGAUUGGGUAAAAUUGCUAUUUCACCUGACCAUUCCAUUUCCAAUGUUUUUCUUGUAGAUUCUUUAGACUACAACUUGCUUUUUGUUUCCCAAUUAUGUAAAAUGGGUUACAACUGUCUUUUCAUGGAUACAUGUGUUACUGUCUUUAGAAGAAGUGAUGAUUCGGUAGCUUUUAAGGGAGUAUUAGAGGGUCAGCUAUACUUAGUUGAUUUCAAUAGAGCUGAACUCGAUACUUGCUUAAUUGCUAAGACUAACAUGGGUUGGCUCUAGCAUCGCCGACUAGCCCAUGUUGGGAUAAAAAUUCUUCACAAGCUUCUAAAGGGAGAGCACAUUUUGGGACUAACAAAUGUGCAUUUUGAGAAAGACAAGAUUUGUAGCGCAUGUCAAGCAGGGAAGCAAGUUGGUGUUCAUCAUCCACACAAAAACAUCAUGACGACUGACAGGCCACUGGAACUACUCAACAUGGAUUUAUUCGGCCCGAUAGCUUACAUAAGCAUCGGCGGGAGUAAGUACUAUCUUGUUAUUGUGGAUGAUUAUUCUCGCUUCACUUGGGUAUUCUUUUUACAGGAUAAAUCUCAAACCCAAUAGACCUUGAAAGGAUUCUUGAGACGGGCUCAAAAUGAGUUCGGCUUGAGGAUUAAGAAGAAAAGAAGCGACAAUGGGACGGAGUUCAAGAACUCACAAAUAGAAGGCUUUCUUGAGGAGGAGGGCAUCAAGCAUGAGUUCUCUUCUCCCUACACGCCACAACAAAAUGGUGUAGUGGAGAGGAAGAAUAGAACUCUAUUGGACAUGGCAAGGACCAUGCUUGAUGAGUACAAGACUUUGGAUCAGUUUUGGGCCGAGGCGGUAACAACCGCUUGCUACGCCAUCAACCGGUUGUAUCUACACCGAAUCCUCAAUAAGACAUCAUACGAACUCCUCACCGGUAAAAAGCCAAAUGUUUCAUAUUUUAGAGUCUUUGGUAGCAAAUGCUUUAUUCUUGUUAAAAGAGGUAGAAAAUCCAAAUUUGCUCCUAAGGCUGUAGAAGGCUUUUUACUAGGAUAUGAUUCAAACACAAGGGCAUAUAGAGUCUUUAACAAGUCCACUAGACUAGUUGAAGUUUCUUGUGACAUUGUGUUUGAUGAGACUAACGGCUCUCAAGUAGAGCAAGUUGAUCUUGAUGAAUUAGAUGAUGAAGAGGCUCCAUGCGUCGCGCUAAGGAACAUGUCCAUUGGGGAUGUGUGUCCAAAAGAAUCCGAAGAGCCCAUUUAAACACAAGAUCAACCAUCCUCCUCCAUGCAAGCAUCUCCACCAACUCAAGAUGAGGAUGAGGCUCAAGAUGAUGAAGGAGAUGUUGGGGACUUGUUCUCAAAUGCUAUGAGUUAAGAACAAGGCAACACAGAGAAUGUUAAACGAUAAAGUCCUUCGUCCUUUGAAGCAUUAUUUCCCUUAGGAUAUAACGAUCUUCGGACGAAGGUCAUGAAGGAUGAACCUUCAUCAUCACAGUAUAUAUUAAUGAAAGACGAAGCAUAUGAAACAUAAAAGAUAGUAUGAACAAUUAUAUAACAUUAUUCAUUUAACUUUAUUAUAUCAUCAUAGAGAAAUAAGAACAAUAUCAAAUUAUACAUGUACCUUCGGCUUGGAAGGAGAUGAAAAUACAAGUGUGACGCAAAAGCAAAUGCCAGGUCAGCGUAAAUAGUACGGGGAUACUGUUCACCUAUUUAUAGACACGGGACACAGCCCUUAUAAAAUUACAUUCAUGCCCUUUACAUUUGAUAAUAACUUUAUAGUAGUCUAUCGAGGUCUGAAUAGCCUUUUCAUCUUUAAGUCGGUUCCACUCUUUGCUGUUACACCGAAGCUUUCCUGCUCAACACCUUCGGCUCUGUAGCAAGCUUCGUAUUAUUCCAGUCUACUGCAAUGCCGAUUUUAGUCCGAGGGUACCUGUUCACACAUUGCACUACAGAAAUACUGUUAAAUCCUUGUUUUUGAGGACCUUCGGACUCCGAAGGUCCCCAACAGUAGCCCCUCGCAAUAUUAAUUUGUUUGAAAUAAUAAAUUUAGAUUGCGAUAUGGACGAAGGCUUUUACGCCGAAGGUCCGAAAAAACACCUUCCCUUUGCUAGAAUAGCAACAUUCAAUGACAAGUGGGGUCUUUCAAUUUUCAACGCACCGAGCGUAUAUAUACGGCCAUACCGCAAACUCAUUUUGCACGCUUUCUGGCCAACCACUCCCACUCACUCAAUUUUUAGCUCUUGUGCACUGUGUUUUUCUAAGCUUUUAGCUUUGAAGCUUCGGAUUUGAAAACAGUUUUUUAGUGCUUCCGAAGAUGUCUGAAGCUGCUAAGAAGGCUGCUGCUGAGAUGAAACUGAGUCUUGAUGAAGAGAAGAACUUAGGAUUUCUUAUAGCGAUGUCGAAGACCAACACAGAAAAAAUCACCAAUGAGAUUCUGGAAGGACUGUCUGAAGAUACUGGUGGCAGUGAAAGUUAUGAUGUAGACAGCGGUGGCGAAGACUCCGAAGAUCGCCCCUGGCGACCAAGUCAUUCAGUUUAUGGUAAAUCAACUAUCAAAGAGAAUCAUCUUGCUAAUAUGAGAGGAAGGUAUUUCCGGGAUUUGUCCGUUGUGAGGGCCGACGAAGGGGAGAAGACUUGUCCACAUCCUGAAGAGAAUGAAGUCGUAGUAUUCCGAAGCUUUUUGAAGGCUGGGCUGCGAUUGCCCCUGAGCAGCUUCGUCGUGGAAGUGCUGAAGAUUUUUGAAGUCUAUCUUCACCAACUUACCCCCGAGGCCAUCAUAAGGCUGAACAUCUUCGUAUGGGCCGUGCGAAGCCAAGGUCUGAAGCCUGAUGCAAAAAGUUUCUGCAAUAUGCACGAAUUAUCAUACGAGACAAUACCUUGGGGUAAGGAACAGUAUCACAAUAACUUUGGCUGCUACAGUUUUGUUUCUCGGUCUGGGUCAAGCUGUCCCGUGCCAACUUUUCGGAAGAGGUGGCCUAGCGGCUGGAUGACAGAAUGGUUUUAUGUAAAAAAUGAUCUGAAAGCACGGGAAGACAUCAAAGGUAUAAUCAUGCGACCUAUUUGGCAAAGCUUCGGCCUUCGGAGGCCGAAGGUUGAAAUGAAUGAAGCCGCCGAAGAGUGCCAAAGAGCCUUCGGCGUUGUCUGCUCUUUUAUAGGAACAAGGGACUUAGUACAAGAGCAUAUCGCCUUCAGGGUGUGGCCGCUUGCGGAGAAAUGGGAAAUGCCACAAGAAACCAUUAAAGAGGCCGACGAAGGUGGACUUAUCAGAUUUAAGUACACUUUUAAAUUUGGAGAUAAAUUUAUUGAGCCAGAUGAUGAAUGGUUGAAAAGCAUUGACAAUUUAAGUGAUGAGCUACUCGGGACCUACUCGAAGGCUGAAGAUAACGCAAUGUCAGCAGCCUUCGGAGGCCGAAAAAAGAAGAGACUGAAUCGGGUAUUUGAUGCCAUCGGGUUUGUCUACCCUGACUAUUGCUAUCCCAUUCGGAGGCAGAAGAGAAAAAACACAACCUCUGCAAAAAAAGAAGAAGCUGCAGCUGCUCCUAGCGAGCCAGAACCGAAAAGGAAAAAGUUAAAGGUUCUUACGCAUCGGCCGCGUUAUAUUGAACCAGCUUCGGUGCCCAAGUUUACCGGAAAAACAUCUUCGGCCACCGAAGCUGAAAAACCAACCGAGCCAGCCUUAUCGCCAGAGAUCGCAGAAACGGCCGAAGUGCCACCAAAGAUAGAAUCAGAACAAUCAAACAUUUUGUUGUCAGAAACAAAAGAGGAAACCGAAGCGCCGUCCACAGAAAAAAUUGAAGAGGUAAAAGAAGCAACUGAGGGCUCCAAAACAUCAGAAGUUUUGAGUCCUACAGCAAUCAUUGGGACAACAAAAAAUGAAAAAGUGCCAACCGCAACUCCGAAGAGAAAGAGAAUGGCUAAUGUGCUAGAUGUACUGGAAACGAUCAAAUCUUCGAGCACACCUCCGAAGAAGGCUGUUGUUACUCCUGAAACAACAGCUGAAAUUUCUGGUUCUACAGCUCCAGAGCAAGAAAUUGAAGCCGAAGCUGGGCCCUCAGAACCCGCAAAAACUUUGGAAAGUGAAGCAGAAAAAAUAACAAAGCCAACUUUUAAAGAAACUGGUGUUGUUACCCCCGAAGCAUCCCCCAAAAUUCGUGAUUAUAUUUUUCAUCAUGCUUCGGGGAAAAAAUUAUCAGAAAAAGAAGAACAAGAGGCCCAGCACUAUGCCCAAAAGUUGAAAUAUCCAAAGGGGGCGUUGAUAUUUAAUGGCAGUGGAGAAGAAGACUUCUUGUAUUGUCUCCCCGAUAGCAAGGAAAUUUCUGUCUGUCGGGAGAUGAGCAGAAGCUUCGGAUUCCCAACUUUAGAAGACGGACUUUCGGUAUUGUCGAAGAUCGAUCUGGCUGACAGCCUAGCUUACAACAGUUUAAAGGUGCGAGAAAUGGAAUUCUCGUGUUUUUUGUUGAGUUCAAAAAUUUUUUGUUUGUUUAAAACUAUUGACACAGACAUAUUCCUGUUUGCAGGGCCUGAUACUCAGCAAUGCCCUCAGGGCCCAGAAAGAUGCUGAGGACGAAGGAUGUACUAUAGCCCUGAGCAACCUUCGUUCCGAAGUGAUUGAACUGAGGAACGAAGGUCUCGAAAAAGACAAAAUAUUAUACUCAUUGAUAGAUAAAAUAAAGGAGAACGAAGCUGCUUUUAAAAGUCAAGCUGAAGCUCAGAAACGCGAAAUUGAAGACCUUCGGAAACAACUGGCCAGAGCCAAAGAAGAACGUAUACUUCAAGAAACAAAGCGUGAACUCAGCGAUCAAUGGGCAGAUCACCUAGAAGUGACUGUUGAAGAGCUUCGUUCAUCCAAAAAGAGAUGCUACAACAAAUCUAUAGAUUGUGUUAGAAAAUUAAAGGCUAGCUUCGCCAAGGUCGGCGCAUUCUCAAGUGAGGAAAACUUUUCGAGAGGCAAUCCCGAAGGUGUCAUUGAAUGGAUUGACCACGAAGCUGAAGCCUUCGAAGAAAUUUUAAAUAGUCGAGGAGAUAUAUGUGCCUUCUCUGGCGCCAUAGGGAUUGCCACCAUCUUAGAGAAGAAGGGCUGUGAACAUGUAAAAAUUCUAGCACAGUCCGAAGCUGCCUUGUCCUUUGAAGAUACAAGAGAUCCUACGGCCGAAGCUAGCAUAAUUGGCGGAAAGUUUUUUACCGAUAUCUGGGAUAAUGGUGGCCGAGAAAUGGCCGGAGAAAUUAUUCGAAGAAGUGAGAAGGGCAUUCACGAUGCUAGAGCAGUAGCUGAGGCUGCUGACAAGAGCAUAGAAGCCGAAGAUCAACUAGGUACUAAAUAAUGGUUUUUAUCGUGUUGUAAUCUUUAGGCUUUAAGAUCUGCUUGCGAUUUGUAAUAGCAAUGUAGCCAUGUCCUGCUUCAGAUCCGACUAAAGCGCCUUCGGACCCCCAGCCGAAGGGGGACGACGAAAUUAAAAAGAUGGCCGAAGAUAUUAUGGAUAAAGUCGUGAAUCGGCUCCUGAAUGAAGCUGCAGAAGUCGUUUUGAGAGAAGAUUAAGCAUUUUUGUAAAAAACUUCUGAAAUGUAAUAUAAUGUAACAUUUUGUAACCCUGAAUGUAAUAUAUCUAUUUUUGUUAUUCAAUUCUUUACGAUGCAUGAAACUUUACAUACAUACCGUUUUUGAGUCUUUGGCGAAAAAACACCUUCCCUUCUUUUCAUGCUUCGUGAAGAAGAAUUACCAUUUAUCACAACAAUAUCCGAAGUAUCAUGGAAAAGUGCUGAAGCUUCGUAGAAACAAUCUUCAAGGCUAUACUUCAGAAAUCAAUAUUGUUUCUCCUUAUGACUUGGCAUGAUUUGCCCCUUUUUCAAAGCGCUUUUCCGAAGAUUAAUGUCAUAUCUCUUUCUUAUGCCACAUGCAUUAUGAUGUAUGAUGCUUAUGUUAUGCAAGGAUGAUGUGAUGAUGUUAUGCUAUGUAAGGUGAUAUUCCGAAGAUACACGCAUAUUUGCGCAAUAAAACACAAUCUUUUUAUGAAUCAGCAUUGUCUUUUCGCUAUAAGCCUCCCUUAGGAGCUUCUUCGCCUUUUACUUCAGCGGAACCAGCGUUGACUUUUCGCUGUAAGCUCUGCAUUCCCAUAGGAACGUCUUUGGAGCUUCUUCGCCUUUUACUUAGGCGGUAUAAGCUCUGCAUUCCCUUAGGAACGUCUUUGGAGCUUCUUCGCCUUUUACUUAGGCGGUAUCAGCGUUGACUUUUCUCUGUAUGCUCUGCAUUCCUUUUGGAACGACUUUGGAGCAGAAAACUUACACUGCGCUCGCUUCGGAACGACUUUUUGUGACUUCGUCAAACUUACUCUGCGUUCCGUAGAACGACUUUUUGUUGUUUCGAAGAAUUUUCGACAGUCCGAAGGUCCUUUUUAUUAUCACAAGCCUGUGGAGAAAACAUAUUUUUCUUGUAGGAAUCAACGAAACUAAUUACAUGAAGCCUAAACGAUGUCCUUUAUUACAGAAAAUAAAACUGAAUGAAAAAGAUUGCUAUUAAGGUAGGAUAUUUGUCAAUAGAUGUGCUUUGAUUCUGGCACUGUGCUGUUGACCGUGCGAGCUUCGGACUGUUCUCUGAAGUCCCUUUGGUGCGGAGCAUAUUGGCUCCCUUCUGGCUGCUGGCCUUGUUGCAACGGAGGUGGAGGCGGAGGCUGUUGCCAGGAAGCUUGAGGCUGACUCGCCGAAGCAGCAGAGACUGCAGGAUGGUUGCCCACAUAUUCUGGGAUGUAGGGCGAAUGAUACGAAGCUGUGUGCAUGACCUGCUUCGGCUGGGCUUGUUGUGCUGCUGCUUCAGCUAUUUCCUUUUGCUUCUGUAUAGUAACAUGGCACGUCCUGGUAGUAUGGCCUUUGUUCUCACCGCAGAAUAAGCAAAAGAUUCUUCUCGGUUGAUCGCCAAAUCUUCCUCCGAAGCCCCUGGCGCCUCUGCCUCUUGGAGCUGGUGGCCGGAAGGAGCUUUGCUGUUGUCCAGAAGCCUGUGAGGAGUAUUGUGGCUUUUGCUGUUGGCUUCCUCUGUCAUCAUUUUGUAUAGAAUUGUGAAUUGAUCGCACAUGCCUCGGGUAAAACCUCCCUCCGAAGCCCCUGGUCAUUUCAGAAAACCUGAAAGCCUCCUCCCUUCUUUGGCGAAAAUCAUUGUCGGCCCGAAUGUAUUCAUCCAUUUUCUGGAGAAGCUUCUCCAAAGUUUGAGGAGGCCUCCUGGCGAAGUACUGAGCUGACGGACCUGGCCGAAGCCCCUUGAUCAUGGCCUCGAUGACAAUUUCAUUGGGCACCGUUGGUGCCUGUGCCCUCAGACGCAAGAACCUUCGGACAUAUGCCUGAAGGUAUUCUUCGUGGUCCUGAGUGCACUGGAACAGAGCCUGAGCAGUGACCGGCUUCGUCUGAAAUCCUUGAAAACUGGUUAACAACAAAUCCUUGAGCUUCUGCCAUGAAGUGAUCGUGCCUGGUCGAAGGGAGGAAUACCAGGUUUGAGCAACACUUCUGACAGCCAUAACGAAAGAUUUGGCCAUGACUGAAGCAUUGCCACCAUACGAAGAAACUGUUGCUUCGUAGCUCAUCAAAAACUGCUUCAGAUCUGAAUGGCCAUCGAAUACAGGGAGCUGAGGCGGCUUGUAGGACGGGGGCCAAGGUGUAGCCAGUCAUCUUCGUUGGGAAAACCCUCCUGAUGAAGAUCUUGAUGCUGAGGCCUUCGGUGUUGCUCGUCCUGAGCAAGAUGACGAACUUCUUCAGAGGCUUCGUCUAUCUGCCUUUGCAGUUCAGCUACCCUGGCCAUCUUUUCUUUCUUGCGUUGAACCUGUUGCUGAAGGAUUUCCAGAUUUUGAAUCUCCUGAUCUAGAUCAUCCUCCGGAGGUGUUGGACUGGUAGCCUUCCUCUUCUGGCUUCGUGCCUCUCUAAGAGAAAGGACGUCUUGAUUAGGGUCCAGCGGCUGCAGCGUGCCAGCCCCUGGUGCUGAAGCCUUCUUCGGCGGCAUGACGAAGGUGAUGCUUGUCGAAGAUGUUGAAAAGCUCAAGAAAUGGAAGUGAGUUCACCGGAGGUGGGCGCCAAUGUUGGGGACUUGUUCUCAAAUGCUAUGAGUUAAGAACAAGGCAACACAGAGAAUGUUAAACGAUAAAGUCCUUCGUCCUUUGAAGCAUUAUUUCCCUUAGGAUAUAACGAUCUUCGGACGAAGGUCAUGAAGGACGAACCUUCAUCAUCACAGUAUAUAUUAAUGAAAGACGAAGCAUAUGAAACAUAAAAGAUAGUAUGAACAAUUAUAUAACAUUAUUCAUUUAACUUUAUUAUAUCAUCAUAGAGAAAUAAGAACAAUAUCAAAUUAUACAUGUACCUUCGGCUUGGAAGGAGAUGAAAAUACAAGUGUGACGCAAAAGCAAAUGCCAGGUCAGCGUAAAUAGUACGGGGAUACUGUUCACCUAUUUAUAGACACGGGACACAACCCUUAUAAAAUUACAUUCAUGCCCUUUACAUUUGAUAAUAACUUUAUAGUAGUCUAUCGAGGUCUGAAUAGCCUUUUCAUCUUUAAGUCGGUUCCACUCUUUGCUGUUACACCGAAGCUUUCCUGCUCAACACCUUCGGCUCUGUAGCAAGCUUCGUAUUAUUCCAGUCUACUGCAAUGCCGAUUUUAGUCCGAGGGUACCUGUUCACACAUUGCACUACAGAAAUACUGUUAAAUCCUUGUUUUUGAGGACCUUCGGACUCCGAAGGUCCCCAACAGGAGAAGAUCAAGAAGAUGAGCCACCUCAAGAAGACGGUAAUGAUCAAGGGGGAGAUGCAAAUGAUCAAGACAAGGAGGAUGAACAAAAUCAAAGGCCUCCACACCCAAGAGUCCACCAAGCAAUCCAACGAGAUCACCCCGUGAACACCAUCCUAGGAUAUAUUCAUAAGGGGGUAACCACUCGAUCUCGUGUUGCUCAUUUCUGUGAACACUACUCUUUUGUUUCCUCUAUUGAGCCACACAGGGUAGAGGAAGCACUUCAAGAUUCAAAUUGGGUGCUGGCGAUGCAAGAGGAGCUCAACAACUUCAAGAGGAAUGAGGUAUGGCAUUUAGUUCCACGUCCUAACCAAAAUGUUGUAGGAACCAAGUGGGUCUUCCGCAACAAACAAGAUGAGCAUGGUGUGGUGACAAGGAACAAGGCACGACUUGUGGCCAAAGGGUAUUCACAAGUCGAAGGUUUGGAUUUCGGUGAAACUUAUGCACCCGUAGCUAGGCUUGAAUCAAUUCGAAUAUUACUUGCCUAUGCUACUCACCAUGACUUUAAGCUUUACCAAAUGGACGUGAAGAGUGCUUUCCUCAACGGACCUAUAAAGGAAGAGGUCUAUGUUGAGCAACCUCCCGGCUUUGAAGAUAGUGAGUAUCCUAACCAUGUUUACAAACUCUCUAAGGCGCUUUAUGGGCUCAAGCAAGCCCCGAGAGCAUGGUAUGAAUGCCUAAGAGACUUUCUUAUCACUAAUGGCUUCAAAGUCGAAAAGGCCGAUCCUACUUUAUUCACUAAGACCAUUGAGAAUGAUUUGUUUGUAUGCCAAAUCUAUGUUGAUGAUAUCAUAUUUGGGUCUACUAACAAAUCUAUUUGUGAAGAAUUUAGUAGGAUCAUGAUUCAAAAAUUCGAGAUGUCUAUGAUGGGGGAGUUGAAGUAUUUUCUAGGCUUUCAAGUGAAGCAACUCCAAGAGGGCACCUUCAUCAGCCAAACAAAGUAUAUUCAAGAUAUUCUCACCAAGUUUGGAAUGAAGGAUGCCAAGCCCAUCAAGACACCCAUGGGAACCAAUGGGCAUAUCGACCUCGACACGGGAGGUAAAUCCGUAGAUCAAAAGGUAUACCAGUCGAUGAUAGGUUCUUUACUCUAUUUAUGUGCAUCUCGACCGGACAUUAUGCUUUCUGUAUGCAUGUGUGCAAGGUUCCAAGUCGACCCUAAGGAAGUUCACCUUAGGGCCAUAAAGCGAAUCUUGAGAUAUUUAGUUCAAACACCUAAGUUUGGUCUUUGGUACCCCAAGGGAUCCUCAUUUGAUUUAUUAGGUUAUUUCGAUGUUGAUUGGGCAGGGUGUAAGAAUAAUAGGAAGAGCACAUCAGGGACUUGUCAGUUUCUGGGAAGAUCCCUGGUGUCUUGGGCUUCAAAGAAACAAAACUCAGUAGCUCUUUCUACCGCCGAAGCCGAGUACAUUACCGCAGGUCAUUGUUGUGCGCAAUUGCUUUGGAUGAGGCAAACCCUUAGGGACUAUGGCUACAAGUUUAGCAAAGUCCCUCUCCUAUGUGACAAUGAGAGUGCAAUCCACAUGGCGAAUAAUCUCGUUGAACACAGCCGCACUAAGCACAUAGCCAUUCGGUAUCACUUUUUGAGAGAUCACCAACAAAAGGGGGAUAUUGAGAUAGCCUACAUAAACACCAAAGAUCAAUAGGCCGAUAUCUUUACCAAGCCUUUAGAUGAACAAUCCUUUACCAAACUUAGGAAUGAGCUAAAUAUUCUUGAUUCUAGGAAUUUUGAUUGAUUCUUUGCACACAUAGCUCAUUUUUAUACCUUUGAUCAUAUCUCUUUCAUGCCUAUGACUAAUGUGUUUUUCAAAAGUGUCAUCUCAUGCUUAGUCACAGAUAUUGAAAGGGAAAUGGAGUAUUCGGCAAAGAAGGCGCUUCCACUCAACUCCAAUUAUAUUUGCCGGUAUUCCGCUUCGUUCUCCACUUUGGUAUAAUCUUCACUCAUAUUUUUGUGUUUGCCAAAGGAGGAGAAAGUUUGAAAGGGAUUAUAUUUCACUCACAAGUAUCCGUUUUUGGCGAUUCAUGCCAAAGGGGGAGAAAGUAUGAGCCCAAAGCAAAAGGACCGCACCACCACCAAAUUUAAAAAUGAAGUUUCAGAUUGAUAUCUUAUUGUGUUCAAAAAGGGGGAGAAAGUAAUAUCUUCAAAAAUUGAAAAACCCCCUUGAACACUAAGAGGAGAAUCUUAUUUAGGGGGAGUUUUGUUUUAGUCAAAGGAAAAGCAUUUGAGAUAGGGGGAGAAAAUUUCAAAUCUUGAACAUGCUUUCUUCAAUUUUACUCAUGUACCUUUGACUAUUUGCAAAAGGUUUUUAAAAUGAAUUUUUAUAAAGAAUUUGCAAAAUAAAACCCGUGGUGCAAAUGUGGUCCAAAAUUUUAAUAAAGAAUAAAACCAUCCAUGCACAUCUAUUGAGAUAAGUAUAUUGGUUUCAACUCUAAGCAACCUUUGCACUUACAUUAUGCAAACUAGUUCAAUUCUGCACUUUUAUAUUUGCUUUGGUUUGUGUUGGCAUCAAUCACCAAAAAGGGGGAGAUUGAAAGGGAAUAGGGUCAAACCUUUUCCAAUAAGAAUUUUGGUGGUUGAAUUGCCCAACACAAAUUAUUGGACUAACUAGUUUGCUCUAGAAAAUAUGUUCUACAGGUGCCAAAGGUUCACAACAAACCAAUACAAGUCAAAAGAAAGGGUUCAAACAAAGGGAGCAAAAGACAAUCGAAGUGUGCCCUGGUCUGGCGCACCGGACAGUGUCCGGUGCACCAGGAAAUCCAACUCCGAACUUGCUACCUUCGGGAAUUCUGGAAGCCACUCCGCUAUAAUUCACCGGACUGUCCGGUGUUGCACCGAACUGUCCGGUGUGCCAACGGAGCAACAGCUACUUCGCGCCAACGGUCGUCUGCGAAGGCAUUAAAUGUGCUACAGUGCGCGCCUGCGCACGCAGAAGUCAGAGCAGGCGCCAGAAGGCGCACCGGACAGUCUAUAGGACCUGUCCGGUGCACCACCGAACUGUCCGGUGGACCCACCAGUCAGAGCUCCAACGGUCGAACCCUAACGGCCGAGUGACGUGGCUGGCACACCGGACAGUGUCCGGUGCGCCAUGCGACAGCAGCCUCCACCAACGGCUACUUUGGUGGUUGGGGCUAUAAAUACCCCCAACCACCCACCAUUCAUUACAUCCAAGUUUUCAGACUUCCUACACCUUACAAGAGCUAUAGCAUUCAAUACAAGACACACCAAAGAGAUCAAAUCCUCUCCCAAGUCCAAAGAUCAUUCCAAAUCAAUUAGUGACUAGUGUGAGAGUGACUUAUGUUCAUUUGAGCUCUUGCGCUUGGAUUGCUUCUUUCUCUCAUUCUUUCUUGUGAUCAACUCAAUUGUAACCGAGGCAAGAGACACCAAUUGUGUGGUGGUCCUUGCAGGGACUUUGUGUCCCGUUUGAUUGAGAAGAGAAGCUCACUCGAUCUAAGUGACCGUUUGAGAGAGGGAAAGGGUUGAAAGAGACCCGGUCUUUGUGACCACCUCAACGGGGAGUAGGUUUGCAAGAACCGAACCUCGGUAAAACAAAUCACCAUGUCAUCUGCCUUAUUUGCUUGUGAUUUGUUUUCGCCCUCUCAUUCGGACUCGUUUAUAUUUCUAACGCUAACCCCCGCUUGUAGUUGUGCUUAAAGUUUGUAAAAUUCAGAUUCGCCCUAUUCACCCCCCUCUAGGCGACUUUCAAUAGCAGUGAAGCAGAUCCACUCGAGAUUAUCAAGGUUAUGUCCGAGUUCCCAGAUGUGUUCCCAAAGGACCUACCAGGUAUGCCACCUGAGCAAAAAGUUGAGUUUGCCAUAGAGCUUCUUCCUGGAACUGCCCCCAUCUUUAAGAGAGCUUAUAGAGUAUCUAGACCAGAGUUAGUUGAACUUAAGAAGCAGAUUGAUGAGCUGUCAGAGAAAGGUUACAUCCGGCCAAGCACCUCGCCUUGGGCCGCCCCUAUCCUGUUCGUGGAGAAGAAAGAUGGCAGUAGGAGGAUGUGUAUUGAUUAUCGAGCUUUGAAUGAGGUCACAAUCAAGAACAAGUACCCCUUGCUCAGAAUAGAAGAUCUGUUCGACCAGUUGAGAGGAGCCAACGUGUUUUCAAACAUAGAUCUGAGGUCAGGUUAUCACCAGUUCAGAGUUCGACCUUCAUACAUUCCGAAGACAGCAUUCAUUACCAAGUAUGGGUUGUACGAGUUCACUGUUAUGUCUUUUGGUCUAACAAAUGCACCAGCCUUCUUCAUGAAUCUGAUGAACAGUGUAUUCAUGGAUUAUCUUGACAAGUUUGUGGUGGUAUUUAUUGAUGAUGUUAUCAUAUAUUCUCGAAGCGAAGAAGAGCAUGCGGGUCAUUUGAGGAUAGUUUUGUAGAGAUUGCGAGAGCACCAACUGUAUGCAAAGUUGAGCAAGUGUGAGUUCUGGAUUGAUGAAGUCCUGUUCUUGGGUCACAUAACAAACAAAGAAGGAUUAGCUGUGGAUCCGAAGAAGGUGGCAGACAUUCUGAAUUGGAAAGCACCAACAGAUGCUCGAGGAAUCAAGAGCUUCAUUGGAAUGGAUGGAUAUUAUCGGCGAUUAUUGAAGGGUUUUCGAAGAUUGCGAAACCGAUGACAGCUUUGCUAGGCAACAAAGUUGAGUUCAAGUGGACCUAGAAAUGCCAAGAGGCCUUUGAAGCGCUGAAAGAGAAGUUGACUACAACACCUGUCUUAGUCUUGCCUGAUGUGCACAAGCCCUUAUCAGUGUAUUGCGAUGCUUGUUACACUGGUUUGGGAUGCGUGUUGAUGCAAGAGGGAAGAGUUGUGGCUUACUCAUCCCGACAGCUGAAGGUUCAUGAGAAGAAUUACCUAAUCCAUGACCUAGAGUUGGCAGCAGUGGUUCACGCACUGAAGACAUGGAGGCACUAUCUGUAUGGACAGAAAUGUGAUGUUUACACAGACCACAAGAGUCUGAAGUACAUAUUCACUCAGUCAGAGCUGAAUAUGAGGCAACGAAGAUGGUUAGAGUUGAUCAAAGACUAUGAAUUGGUGAUUCAUUACCAUCCAGGCAAAGCAAACGUAGUGGCAGAUGCUUUGAGCAGGAAGAGUCAAGUCAAUAUGAUGGUCGCUCAUCCAAUGCCUUAUGAGUUAGCGAAAGAGUUCGACAGGUUGAGCCUCGGAUUUCUAAACAAUAUGCGAGGAGUGACAGUUGAGUUGGAGCCAACCCUAGAGCGGGAAAUCAAAGAAGCACAGAAGAAUGAUGAGAAGAUCAGUGAAAUCCGGCAACUGAUUCUAGAAGGCAGAGGUAAAGAUUUCUGGGAGGAUGCAGAAGGCGUGAUAUGGUUCAAGGACCGCUUGUGUGUUCCCAAUGUCCAGUCUAUUCGGGAGUUGAUCCUUAAGGAAGCUCAUGAAACAUCUUAUUCUAUACACCCUGGAAGUGAGAAGAUGUAUCAGGAUCUAAAGAAGAAAUUUUGGUGGUACGGAAUGAAGAGGGAAAUCGCAGAGCAUGUGGCUAUGUGUGAUAGCUGUCGACGGAUCAAGGCAGAGCAUCAGACACUAGCUGGGUUGUUGCAACCGUUGUGAAUUCCUCAGUGGAAAUGGGAUGAAAUCGGUAUGGAUUUCAUAGUCGGAUUGCCUCGCACUCGAGCCGGCUAUGAUUCCAUUUGGGUAGUGGUGGAUCGCUUGACCAAGUCGGCCCACUUCAUACCUGUCAAGACCAACUACAGCAGUGCAGUAUUGGUAGAGUUGUACAUGUCCUGGAUCGUUUGUCUUCAUGGUGUGCCAAAGAAGAUAGUGUCAGACAGAGGAACGCAGUUCACCUCUCAUUUCUGGCAGCAGUUGCAUGAAGCCUUGGGUACACAUUUGAAUUUUAGUUUAGCUUACCAUCCGCAGACAGAUGGUCAGACCGAAAGAACUAAUCAAAUCCUCAAAGACAUGUUGAGAGCUUAUGCGUUGCAAGAUCAGUUUGGAUGGGACAAGAGGUUACCUUAUGCAGAGUUCUCCUAUAACAACAGUUACCAGGCCAGCUUGAAGAUGUCACCUUUUCAGGCACUUUAUGGAAGGAGUUGUAGAACUCCGUUGCAAUGGGAUCAGCAUGGAGAAAAGCAAGUGUUUGGGCCAGACAUUUUGCUUGAAGCUGAAGAGAACAUCAAAAUGGUUUGGGAGAACCUGAAGAUAGCGCAAUCAAGGCAGCGAAGUUAUGCAGACACAAGAAGAAGAGAGCUGAGUUUCGAAGUCGGAGAUUUUGUCUACUUGAAAGUAUCACCUAUCAGAGGAGUCAGAAGAUUCAGAGUCAAAGGCAAGCUAGCAACCCGCUACAUCGGUCCGUAUUAGAUUUUCGCAAGGCGUGGAGAAGUGGCCUAUCAGCUCAGCCUGCCAGAAAAUUUGUCUGCUGUGCAUAAUGUCUUUCAUGUGUCUCAGUUAAGGAAAUGUCUGCAUGUGCCAGAAGAGAAGUUGCCAGUGGAGGGUCUCGAAGUCCAAGAAGACUUGACCUAUAUUGAGAAGCCAACGCAAAUUAUUGAGACUGCAGACAGAGUCGCCCGAAGGAAGACUAUCAGAAUGUGCAAAGUCAGAUGGGGUCAUCACUCCGAAGAAGAGGCAACAUGGGAGCAUGAAGAUGAUUUGAUGGCUAAAUAUCCUGAGCUCUUUGCUAGCCAACCUUGAAUCUCGAGGGCGAGAUUCUUUUAAGGGGGAUAGGUUUGUAACGCCCCGAAUUUGAGAGUUAAAUUUUUCUUUCUCUAGCACUCACCAAAUUCGGGCGUUACCUUUCCUCUUUCUUUUUUCUUCUCGUUGUGCCUUGUUCUUCUUCAAAUAUUCUAGCGAGAUUUAGCUCGAGACCUCGUGUAAGUAAAACCCUAGAGUUAAAUCUUUUGGUUGUUGCACCAUGCCGGUCCAUGCAUUUAUUUUGGUGUGAAAGCUCGUGUAAGUAAAACCCUAGACCUCGUGUGAAAGCAUACAUUUGAAAAUAGAUCAAAGUGGGAAAAUUAGGAGAAGAAUAAAAAAGAAGGGGAAUUUCUCUCUCCCCCCUUUUGGGCUGGCUUCUAGCCGCGGCCCAACCGGCGCCCCUCCCCUCCCCGCCGUGGGCCCCGCGCGGCCCAGCCAGGCGCGCAGCCCCGCCGCCCCCUCCCCCGUGACCUGCGUGCGCGGCACUUGUGGGCGCAACCGCCGCCGUCGCCACCUCCCUGGUGGGGCCCACCCGUCAGCCGCCCCUCAAACCUCUCCCUCUCUCUCCCCUACCUUGCACACGUCCCUCUCUCUAUCUCUCCCUUGAUGCCGCUCGCCCUCGCCCCGCGCGGUAAGCCCCUCCCUCCUCUCUCCUCCCCCUUCCUUCCCUUCCUCGGCGUCCCAACCCGCCUUGGUGCAGCCCCGCCCGCGGUGCGGCUUCCCUCGCCCGUCUCGCGCUGCCCCGGCGCGGCCUCGCUGGGGCGUGGCCCGGCCUCGCCGUCACGCGCCCGCGCGGCUCCCCGCCCUCCCAGUGUUCCCCUCGCCCCAGCGUGGCUUUCCCCCGUCCGGCGUCCCGUCCCCACGGUGGCCCGCGCUCGCUCGCCCCUGCUCGCGGCACAGCGCGGCGUGCCCGCUGGCCUCGUCCCUGUCCCUCGGCGCGCCCGCGGUGCCCUCCCACGCGGCGGUCCGGCCUCGGCUCUGGCGCGGCCUCCCCCGCCCUGGCGCACGCCCCUGCUCGGCGCGGCUCGCCCGCCCAGCCCCUGCCCGACCCCUGCCCCUGCGCGCGCGCCCGUGCGCAGCGCGACCCCGGCGUGGCCCCUGCGUAGCGCGGCCCUGGCCCGGCGUGGCUCCAGCUCACGCGGCCGCGGUGCCCCUGCGUGGCGCGGCCCCUGCCCGUGGCUCGGCCUCGGCGUGCGCGCGCGUGCUCGCGUGGUCCGCGCGGUGCAUUGGUGCGGCUCGCCAUGCCCUCGGUGCGAUGCGUAGCGUCCUGUCUCGUUCGUGACGUGCCCGUCUACCCCUAGCCACCCGUCUACCCCCCCCCCCCCCUCGUGUAUUUUAUGCGCGUCGAUCGUGUUAUUUAUAUUAAUGAAAUGGAAACUCUACUCAAAAAUUGGUCACGUUAGUUAUCUCAUGUAGUUAAUCAUUGACUUUGUUUAAUGUCGACCAAUUGGAAAUAGUUAUAAAUCUAUUAGUGCAUGUGAUUAAUACUUGUUAGUAUAACUAGGUAGAACUAGAUGAAGUAAUUAUUAAUUAUACACCUAGCCAUAAUAUGCUUCGACUAUAGCUUUAACCACUGUGAGACUUUCCUUCUUCUCUUUCUAGCAGAUGCGAAUACAAAUCGUAUGUCAUAUUUUAUGCAUAUUUGACUUAUCUGCUCUCUUGUAUGGUGUACUGUUUAUUUCCUAAUUCAAAUGGAUGGAUGUAUGUUUGCUCUCGCAUAGAUAACGGUCUGGUUGAGGAAUCCGAAGAACUCGCAGGAGAAGCCCCCUGACAGCAGCUGGUUGGUGGAGGCAAGUGUCCCUUGACCCAUCUAUGUCCUAUACAAUUCUAUAAUUCACAUUCCGCAUUUACACAAUUUAUACCUAAGGAUUGACUAGCUUUUGUUAUCCAUGUCCUUGCUUACCUAUUUGGGUUGGAUUAUUAUGGUUUUGCUUUAUGCUAGUGCUUAACAUUAAUCAAUGAACAUGAUGAGAUUCAUCUAUGAUACGCUGUUUUCCUUCUUUUUUAUGAUGAUAUACUUGUGGCAUUUAAGGGGACUCGAGCGGUUUCUCAAGUGCCUCUCCGUAAGGACCUGUUUGUUGGAUGACCGCCUGGGAAAACAGUGGAACCAUGAGGGUGGAGUGGGACACCCUUAGCUUAAUAAUUAGAGGAACUGGGGUGUAGUUCGCUUAGCCGUCAUGCCGUUAAUGGGGCUCGGUGUAUGCGGCUCACUCUGCCAAGGUUGGUUCGCCCCUUGGGGAGGAGUGUGGUGCAUUUAGGAAACCUAACGGGCGGCUACAGCCCCGGGGAAUCUUUGUAAAGGCUACAUAGUGAUACCCUGCUGGGUCACCUUGGUAGUGAUCAAUGGAGAGUCAUGAUCUUUGGGCAGAAAGGGAAUCACGACUUUGUGGGUAAAGUGUCCAACCUCUGCAGAGUGUUAUGAAAACUGAUAUAUCAGUCGUGCUCACGGUUAUGAGCGGCCAACGGAGCUCCAUUGAUUAGUGAUACUUGAUCAGAGAUGUUCGGAUUACAGGUGGUGAUGAGAAUGAUGGUUUUGGUAUUGACUAUGGUAAUGGUAAGUGGUAUUCUUUCCGUUUGGAAAGGGUACUUUUGGGGUUAACAACUUGGGUUAAUACUAAAACCUAGCUCUCUCUACUAGUAAUAAUAAUCUGACCAACUAAAAGCAACCGCUUGACUUACCCCCAAAUAGAGCUAGUCCACUACAGCAAAACAGGACACUUGCUGAGUAUGUUGAUGUGUACUCACCCUUGCUCUACACAACAAACCCCCCCUUCCCCAGGUUGUCCGCGUUGCAACCACUGCUCAGAAGAAGAUGAAGCCGUGGAGGAAGAUUUCUAGGAGUUCCAAGAUUACGAUGAGUUCUAGGUGUGGGUUAGCGGCAACCCCUAGUCGGCUGCCUGUGAAGGCCGCGUGUAUCUACGUUUCGUUUUCGCACUUUGAUUAUUGUUAAAGACUAUGUGGAUGUCUCAGACAUAUGAUGUAAUCAACUAUUAUUCCCCUUUUAUGUUAUUAUUUGAGCACUGUGUGAUGAUGUCCAGUUAUGUAACUGCUGUGUACGUGAAUUGCUGAUCCUGGCACGUACAUGGUUCGCAUUCGGUUUACCUUCUAAAAUCAGGUGUGACAUUUAUCAAUUUCCUGACAUAUUUCAAACACCUCUUUAUGUGUCUGUCGAUUUCAUAUUAUCCUUAGAACUGUUUAUCUUGAUUAUCACAGUUUGAUUAUCGUAGUUCAUAGAAAUAGUCGGCACAUAUUUUUCAACCACUGGUAUAUCCAUAAGGAGUUCACAAUGCAACUCAGCCUCAACUGAAGCGGUAUCUAAUGCUGUGAGUUCUGCUUCCAUAGUCGACCUCGUUAAGAUUGUUUGCUUCUAAGGCUUCCAUAAAAUAGCGUCACCUCCAAGUGGAAACACAUAUCCACUUGUGGCAUAUAUCUCAUCAACAUCAGAUAUCCAAUUUGCAUCAUAAUAACCCUCCAGUACUAUUGGGUACCCGGUAUAAUGGAUGCCUAAACUCAUAGUACCUUUUAGGUAGCGUAAAACUCUCUCAAGAGCACACCAGUGAUUAUCUCUCGGAUUUGAAACAAACCGGCUAAGUUUGCUCACAGCAGACAAGAUGUCAGGCCCCAUAGCGCUAGCUAAGUACAUGAGUGAACCAAUUAUUUGGGAAUAUCUCAAUUGAUCCCUAGAUAUCCUUCAAUUUUUCUUCAAAAGCUUACUAGGAUUAUAAGGUGUUGGAGCAGGUUCACAUUCGCUAUAAGCAAAGUGACUCAAAACCUUUUCCACACAAUGGGAUUGCACAGAUGUGAUCCCACCAUUGCCUUCUCUCUGUAGCUUAAUGUUAAGAAUACCAUCAGCUUCUCCCAAAUCUUUCAUUUCAAAAAUUAUUAGAUUGAAAGUCUUUUGUCUAUUUAAUCACAUCAAGACUCGUCCCCAAGAUUAGAAUGUCAUCAACAUAUAGGCAUAGAAUUACUCCCCCGCCCCCACCAUACCGAUAGUAUACACAUUUGUUUGCUUCGUUCACAACAAAGCCAGCAGAUGUCAAAGUUCUAUCGAACUUUUCAUGACAUUGCUUAGGUGCUUGUUUUAGGCCAUAUAAAGAUUUCAAUAACUUACACAACAUGCCUUCUUGACCGUUUGCUACAAACCCAGCUGGCUGCUCUAUGUAGAUUUCCUCAUCUAGCUCUCCAUUUAGGAAUGUUGUCUUAACAUCCAUUUGAUGGACGAGAAGACCAUGGGAGGCAGCCAGAGAAAGUAGCACACAAAUUGUGGUCAAUCGAGCCACAAGUGAAUAAGUAUCAAAGAAAUCCUCACCUUCCUUCUAUGAAUAGCCUUUAAUUACAAGCCUUGCCUUGUACCUUUCAAUAGUACCAUCAGGCCUAAGCUUUUUCUUGAACACCCAUUUACUCCCAAUGGGCUUACAGCUAUAAGGACGCUCAACGACCUCCCAAGUUGCAUUAGACAUAAUUCUCACUCCUUAUUGCUUCCUUCCAAAAGUCAACACCAAGAGAGGAAUAUGCCUCUUCAAUGGUACUUGGGGUGUCAUCCACAAGAUAUACAAUGUAAUCAUAACCAAAAGGACUUUGCAAUCCUUGGUCUCUUACUCUUUCGAGUUGAUACAUUGUCAUCUUCCAUAGGAUUAUGUAUAUGGGAUUCCUCAGUGUGUUCUACCAGAAUAAAAUGCUCAUGGAGUAUCGUUGGUUCACCAUUAGACGUGUCAUGUGUAGCUUUCAUGGGAAAUUCGUCCUCAAAAAACAUAGCAUCUCUGGACUCCUUAAUAGUACCAACCAACAUGUCCGGUACUCUAGAGUUUAUAAUUAAGAACCUAUAUCCAAUGUUGUGGAAAGCAUACCCAAGGAAAACACAAUCAACGGUUUUUGGUCCUAAUUUGCGCUUCUGGUUAAUUGGCACAUUCACUUUGGCCAAACAACCCCACAUAUGAAAAUAGGAGAUAUUUAAUUUCCUCUUUUCCCAUUCCUCAAAUGGUGUGAUUUUUUAUUCUUUGUGGGAACUUUAUUCAGGACAUGACACUCUGUCAAGAUCACCUCACCCCACCAUUCCUUAGAUAGUCCCGAAGUCUCUAACAUGGCGUUAACCAAAUCAAUUAGAGUACGGUUCUUUCUCUCAGCAACGCCAAUGGAUUUGUGGUGAGUAUGACGGUGUCCUCUCAUGAAUAAUACCAUGUUCCACACAAAAAUCAGAAAAAUCACCUAAAAAUAUUCUCCACCACGAUCAGACCUUAACCGUUUAAUUUUCCUCUCGAGUUGAUUUUCAACUUCAGCUUUGUAGGUCUUAAAAUAAUGCAAAGCUUCGUCUUUUGAUUUUAAGAGAUACACAUAACAAAAUCUAGUAGAAUCAUCGAUAAAAAUAAUAAAAUAUUGUUUGCCUCCUUUAGUCAAUAUUCCAUUCAUCUCACAUAAAUUGGAAUGUAUUAAGUCUAGUGGUGCCAGAUUCCUCGCCUCCGCAGCUAUAUGAGGCUUACGAUGUUGCUUCGAUUGCACGCACACCUGGCACUUAAAACCUUUGACUAAAUCAGUUUUUGGGAUUAAAUUUAAAUUUGCUAACCGCACCACACAACCAAAAUUGAUGUGACAAAGUCGUGAAUGCCAAAUAUACAACUCGUUCGAAAUCACAUUGUUCACAAACUUAUUACAAACAUCAUGCAAAGAUAAGCGGAACAAGCCUCCACUAUCAUAGCAUUUUCUAGAAAAUGUCCCAUAUCUUGACAAUAUACAUUUAUUAGACUCAAACACAAGUUUAUAGCCAUCUCGACAUAGCAAUGAGCCACUAACAAGAUUCUUUUUGAUGGAGGGGACAUGCUGCACGUUCUUCAAUAGCACUGUCUUUCCCGAAGUAAACUUCAGAAUGAUUGUACCAACACCAAGAACACGCGCAUGUGAUUCGUUCCCCAUCAGCAAGGCUCUAGCCCCUUUGCACUGAUAAGAAGAAAACAAAGAAAUAUCAUCACACACAUGAGUGUUAGCACCAGUGUCAGCCCACCACACCAUACCCCGAUAAUCCUUCUGUGGUCUCGCUAACAAUCAUGUUUGUUGUUUUCGUCUCUUGAGCUGGUUUUUUCUCUUGUUUAAAUUUGUGGUCUAGACAAGCACUUGCCCAGUACUCCCGUAAAUAAAGCAACCAGCUCCUUUGUUCUUCCUUUUAAACGAGGCUGCCUGCUUAGGCUUCGUGGCAUUCUGUUGCUUGUUCUUCUUUUUAUUAUUAUGUGACGUAUUGGAGUUCUUCUUUUGUACCAUAUUGGCACUAGAAGUCUCAACUCUUUUUCCACGAGUGUCUUUUGCUCUCGCCCUCUCCACAGCAUCAAGAGAACCAAUAAGCUCAGUCACGCUAAACUCUUGUCUCUUAUUAGAGUGGUAGCAAAAUCUGUCCAAGAAGGUGGCAGCUUAGCGAUAAUACCGCCAGCCACGAACUUGUCAGACAAGACACAUGUGAAUUGUUCAAAUUCCUUAGCCGCCUGUAUUUCAUGAGCCUGUUCGACUACAGGACGGUUUUCCACCAUCUUAUAGUCAAACAGCUGCUCCAUGAUGUACAACUUGCUACCAGCAUCAGAAACACCGAACUUCUCAUCUAAUGCAUCCUAUAACUCUUUUGCAGAUGUGCACAUCAGAUUAGAGUCAACAUACUUGUUGGCAAGAGCAUCAAUCAUGGUGCCUCAAAACAGGUUAUCGGCAACGUCGAACAUUCUCUCCUCUUCAGGAGUGAACUAUUCAGGUUACCCUAUGCAGUGUGGUAGCAGUUCAUUGUAGUCAACCAUAGUAUCAUCUUACUACGCCAUCUUUUGUAAAAUGUCCCAUCAAAAGGAUCACUUGGUUUUAACACAGCAGCAAAACCACUAACAGAAAAAUGCCUAAUAUCAGGUUUUUGGAUUGUUAGAGAAGUAGGCAUUUUCAGUUUUAAUUUAAUCUAGAAAACCACAGUGAUGUAUGCGACGACGUGUAUGUACAUAUGUGUAUCACUACUCAUAUAAACAGUAAACAACAAUAAAUAUGCACAAAUACUAAAAUACUAAGAACAUAGUGUACUCCUCGGAGGGACCGAUGCUCAAGGCAUCAGUGGCUCCAUUCACACGAGACAUCUCGUAUGUAUGUUCGAUGUAGUCGUACGCUGUCGAUGCAGGCAGAUGUACACAGUGAAGUCCCUCGAACGGUGCUGAUGACGAGGAACUGGAUCAGCGUUGGUUGGGCGGACGGAGCGAGCAAUCGCGAGUAUGCUCCCCAAAAACCUGAUCACCCGCACACACGUGCAAGUGUAGCUCUACGGACAGCGAUUUCGAAGGCCUGCUCUCCCACACUCUCUGUGCUCGCAGAAGGUGGGACGGGAAUGGUUGUGUGCAACGCGUCAGAGAGUGUUCGUACGUACUACAACCAGAAGCAGCAUCACCUGCUCCAUAUAUGUACACGCAUAGAGGGAGGCGAACAGACAGUAACAGACGCCAUUAGCUAGAAACUGACGCCACCAGUGACGUCUGUUACUAGCUAACACCCAUUACAGCUCGUCUGUUACUAGCCAUAACACAGGAAACGACCAGUAACAGACUGUCAUCACUCCAGGAAAAAUGUGCAACAAUUAGGAAGGAAUAUUCGGACUAGGGUCCGAUCUACCACGGCCCGGCCAGCGGCACACGCGUGUGGCAGUCCUUCAUCUUUUUCCAGCUUCUCGAUAGAUGUACCAAUGGUCCACCUAUUUAAAUUGAUUGAAUUGUCCCUUGAACUUCUGGUAUGAUACUAAAAUAAUAGUAGUACACCGUAGCAUUAAAGUGGACCUUUAGCAUUGACUAUUAUUGAAUAUUAAUUUGGGUCAGGUCUACAUUAAUCCAAUAGGUUUAUCGUAAAAGAAACAAUUCAUUUGCAAGGGAAAUAAAACAUGAAAUGUUUGAUGAUACCUUCGAAAUAAAACAUGAAAACCCUGAUUUCCAAAAAAAUCUUAUAUCAGUGGUCCAUAUAUCUAUUUAAAAUUGAUGAUUAGACAUAGAAAUAUUUGACUUGUUGGAAAACUAAUAUGAUAUGUAAUAAAGAUAUAAAGAAACAGAGGAAGUAAUAUAUAAAAAGUUAACAGCAAUAUAUUAUUGGUCCGAUUAGAAACCUCUGUUAUUUAAACUUCACCAGCCGUAUUGAUGGAUCUUCUCCAUCAUACAUAUAUAUGAUGUAGAUCAGUUGGUGGUGGAAUUUCAUAUCAUAAAAAAUAAAUUUUUUUAUGAUAUGUUUUUGAGACACAUAAAAAAUAAAAUUUAAAGAGUAGAGAAGGUUUCCUGCGAGCAAACAAAAAGCAGGCCGGCCGUCCAGAUACAGGCUUUGUAACGUCUCGGGCCCUUUAUUGUUACCAAAGCGUUUCGUUCCACAUCACAAGCACCUAGCAGGUCCAGGCUCUAGUCUAGAGUUUUGCGUAAAGCAGCCGCUCCAGCUCCUUCAUAUUUGCGGCUUCCAUACACAUGAGCACGCGGACGCCGCCGCUGCCGCUGCCGACGCCGUUUGUUGGCCCGUCGUCAAUUAUGUACACAAAGCCGCCACGGAUGGACUCCGCCCGCGACAUCACCGCUGGCUUCCCCCAUCCGAAAUCCGUGUCGUACAUUGGCAUGCCCAGCCAGCUAAUAAGCAUCAGCUCCGUCUCUAGCAAGGUGCCCUUUACAGGCCGGCUGUCCAUCUCGGCCAUCUCACAGUAGUCGACCGCAGAACGCACGAGCUCGUCGUCCAUCCGAUCGAUGGUGUCUUUGAUGCGGCCGGCGACAGAUACCAAAGCCUCCGAAGCAAUGUCCUGAACCGCACCAGUGACGCCCAGCCUGAUCAACGCGUUGCCGAAGUAGCGGUUCGGGAGAGGCGGUCUCAUUCUGCCGCGGACGUUGGCUGGGAAGAUGAGGCGUGUUUCGGAAUCGGGUGGAAGCCGACGUGCAAUGAGAGUGCACUGCCAUACGAGGGCGCUCAUGGCGCAAAACGUGCUUGUGCCGCCACAGAGGCGCUUUAAGGAGGCGACCUGAUCCUUGGAAAUGGCAAAUACUUCAACGGCAAGGGGUCCUGAUCCUAACGGGUCGUCGGAGAAGGUGAGCUUUGGGUAGAACCUCGAGAGGGCGUCCGGGUGGACGGUAGGUGGGGACCGUGCACGGAGGAGUGUGCGGUCGUGGCACGGGAGCUCCACGGUCGCGCGGUCGCCAUACUUGCACAAGGCUGACCACGUCUGGAAGAAGUGGAACGCGCUUGAGGCAUCGCUGGCGGUGUGGUGGAGAGCCGUCCCUAGCACCACACCUCCGAACUUGAGGAAAGUCACCUGCAAGUGGACGACAUAUGAGCAUGAAUUAGACUAUCUCCACCAUAUCCCUAUUCCAUCCCCUAUUUCAAAUCUCACUUCAUAAACAUUAUCAAACAGUGUAAUCUAUAGUUCUGCAUUCUCUAUUUUACACGAUUCACUGAAUACAACUUUAUCACUAUCCAAGUAGAUCUAUCAGUACAUGCGCAUUGUACACAUACAUGCAAAUUGGCAUAUAUACAUGUUUGGGGUUGAUCUCAGGCUUAGUCAAAAAGACUAACCAAGUCUCGGUGGCCUAAGAGUAUCUCUAAUAAUUUCUAAAAUAUUUGUUCUAAUACAUGAGAAUUAGGAACUUCCUAAAACUUUAAUUGCUAAAAAAUCUCAAUACUCUAACAGCUCCUAAUAUUUUUCAAAAAAAUGAAUUUAUUAUUGGGUACCACGCGAAACCAAAAAAACGUGAGAACAUGAAACCUUCGUCAGGUUGGGAGCUCACUAGCAGACGAUUGAAGUGUUGUUUUUUCCUUUUUCUUUUUUCUAAAAAUAAGGAUUGAGACUAAGAGGGUGUUUGGUUUCACGGAUAGCUUUAUUCGGCAUCCCACAUAUUGUCUUACAAAUAAAACAGAGUGAUGACAGACGACAUCCUUCUAUGAUGCAAACCAAACAUCAACGGAGGAUCGGAUACAGGUUCGGAUAGGUACAGGAGCGACCAAACCUGCAAUCCGUAAAGUUUUGAAAGACUUUUGGAGAUGGUCUAGCAGCUCACGUUUCCUAAUCGAGUGAACACUCUUCCUAAUUAGUGGUCUGGUCCUAGGUCUAACUCAUCUGUGUAUAUUAUUGAGGGAGAGACCUCCCUGAAUACCGAUCAAAAUAGACACGAGAUGGACCGUGGACGUGUAGAGACUACGCCUGUUGCUGACCUUUUGCGUCGGUGUUCAUCUACACCUCCUCGCGUCAUGCCUCUCCCCAAAAAGCGAUCUACAACGACAAAUUCUGCUUCUAUAGUACGGUUGCUCGUCAUGCCGCGGGUCAUCACUUUAAUCAAAGGUAAAUAUCAUCAGACCUAGAUGUUCUAAUGGUUAAGGAUUAAGAGCAAGAUCCUACAAGAGAUCUAACAAUGAUAUCAGAGCUAAAGUUUUUUUUCUCUAACCCUAACUCUAAAAAGAAAUUUAUUUUAGUUCUCAUCAAAUCGAAAUAGGAAGAAAGCGAAGGAAAACUCUGAUUGAGAUUCAAGAAAGAAGGAUUUAUUCGAUCUCAAAACGAAGAAGAAAAAAAGAAAAGAAAUAGAGAAAUCCCUAAAUCACUAUGAGGGAGAAGAUGUGUCAUUGUGCAAGUGUGCAUGGAAAUUGGAAACGUCACGCAAGCAUGCAGUUGCUGCGCUCAGCGGGCCACGCGGCAUGCGCGACAAUGGUGCCGAUCGACCAUAGGCUCUCUUGUGUUUAGAGGGGCGCGGCCCCGCGUGGAGAUGGGCUCACAACGCAGUUGCACGAAGUGAAGUGGCAGCGACAGACCCUAGCUGCUAGAACACGUGCGCUCUGGCGACGACGGCGGAGCAGCGCACCCACUAUUGUGUGGAGGCACCCGCUCGGCGUGUGCGUGUUGGGGUUGGGGGAAGGAGAGAAAGCUUGGUGGCAUGCAUGGCUGACGACUAGCAAGCACACGUGUACUCAUGCCGCUGACACCUAUUCCCUGCCUCAUUUAUCUUAAGGUCAUGAAGUUAUAUACUAAGUCAAAAAUAUUUUCAACUUUAACCGUUAGUAACAAAAUAUUUAUAAAUAUUGAUUAAAUAAAAAUAAAACUAUUAGAUUAUUAUUAAAACAUCUACCACAAUAUAUAAUUCAUGUAAUUUAGAAAUAUUUAUUUUUAUAGAUAUUGUUGGUUAAAGUUUUAAAAUAUUAAUUUAGGACAAACCUUCAUGACCUUAGGAUAGUGAAUAGAGUGAGUAGUAGCAAGCAAGCACAUAUGUGUUAUAGCCACUGACGUCUAGCAAAGCAAGCACUAAUGUGCGUGUGCGGCGGCGGGAAAAGGAACAGUGCCAGCUUGGAAAGGGGAGAAGAAUCUAGGGUUUUCCAUCGACUCUGAGUUUUUUAUAAUAGUGACAAACCCUAAUGGACUAAAUUGGACCGUUUUUGGCCCAAAUAGUGAACAUUUUUAUUUUUUUGAAAACAAUUGCUAAUGUUUAUCUCUACUCAAGUUUCUUUGUUGUAUGCUUCCGCUAUUAAGUUAAAAUGGUGAUCAUGUGAUCACGUAAGUAAGCAUCGACUCUAAUUGGCAUAUUUGCUUGAGAUUUGAUAAGUUUUUCAUUAAGAUAGUAGACCAUGGCUAUAUACUGACCAACAUUGUUUAUAGUCAUGUGUCUAUGAUUGAAUCUCACAAGUAUCAAGUCAUGUUGUCUUAAGCAUUUAUGAUCAUGUUCAAGUGAUGUUUAAAGAUAAAGUGAUAUUCAUAAUGUCGACCUUCUAUAAGCAUAAGACAUAUCACAUUGACAUAUUCUAACCAAUGUUGUUUAUAUCAAGGUGUUUUUCAUAAAUGUUUGUGUAUAUUUAUUAAAUUCUUCAUUUUCUACUCAAUAGUGAUGUGAAGAAGAAUCAUUAAGUUUUACGUGGUGCUAAUACCAUGAAAGUCAUAUGAAUCAUUAAGUUUUGCAUGGUGCUAAUACCAAGGAAGUGAAAUAGAUCAUUAAGUUUUGCAUGGUGCUAAUACCAUGGAAGUGAAUUGCAUCAUUAAGUUUUACAUGAUACUAAUGCCAUGGAAAUCAUAUGGAUCAUUAAGCUUUUACAUGGUGCCAAUACCAUGGAAGUCAAUUGGUUGUGAUUCAUGCGAUAUUGAAGUUGCAAUAUCCCUACUAUUAUGUGACAGUAAGUUCCUUACUUGUACCAUAUAAGCAAAGUAAGUUUAUGCGUAGAAUGUACAUCAUGCUAGUAAGAAUGUGGGGAGAGAAAUCCUUAGAUCUAGGGGGAGUAAUCCCCUAAGUUCAAUUUAUACUGAAUUAAAUGAUUGUCAUUGAUUAAAAUGUCUUGAUUGACUUUAAAAGUAACAUGCACAUAAUAAAGUUUAGCAAAUGCUAAGUUCAUGUGAAUACUGAUAGUAUGUGACCUCAUGAAAAUAAAGUUUUCUGAGGUAAAGGCAUAGUAGUGUAAUAUCAAUCAUGAGAUUUAUCGAAAUAUGGAACUGUUGUUUUAGUUCACAUUUCGAGGGAGAGAUAAAUCCCAUUAAGAAGUUAUUUAGUUCAUAUUUCAACAGGGUAGAAAAGUCCCAUUAAGAAUUCCACUUCUCCUAUAAGAUUGAAAUUAAGAAAUUUGGGUAGAUGAUUCCCACGAAAUCAAGAAAUUUGGAUGGUUGAUUAUAAGAUGAUACCAUCUAUUUUUAAGAAGUUUUCCUGGAAGAGCCAAUACAGUGGGUUGUCAUGGGUCCCCAUAGAAUAUAGUGACUCUAAAGGGAAACAGUUGAGAACUUAAAGUUUUAGUUCCAUCCUUCUUGGAUGAGAAUUUUUCUUGCCUAGUUCAAAACAGUGAGCUGUUGUCCAUUCACAUUAAUUCAGUGACUCUAGAGGUGAGUAUUUAAAGAUUUUAAGUCAUCUUCUAAGACCUUAGGGUGAAUAUCGUGUUUUUCACACAUAAAACUCUUGUAUGGUGCCAUUUAGUAAAUGCUUGCAAUAUGCAUUUUACUGAGUAAGUGGUUGAUAUGAUUAUUAUGUUGACAAGUGACACAUAUAGUAAGUUAAUAAGCAUUGAUACAAGGUUCAUAAGUUUCCUUCAAUGAACAUUGAUGAUGUUUAUUAAGAUUUAUCAAAAAGGUCCAAAUAAUAGGGUUUUUUCCAAAAAUAAGGACAAAUAAGUUUAUGGCUGACAUAAUUGAUGUAUAACUUCAUCUUCUGGCUUUAAAGCAUUGAUACCGGGAAUUUGGGCAAUCUUGUUCCAGGAUUGGACCCCUGGAAACCAUGGAGUUCUAAGUUGCAUAUGAGAUGCAAAUGAUUGCAUGCUACUUGCAAAGAUGUUUCGGCAAGGUGAUUAUAAGAAACUACAAAUAAAUCAAUCUUUCUAGAAGGAGCCAUUUUAUGUGGGAUGACUCUGACUCUAUUUAGUUGCAUCAUCAUUAUUGAUUAGAAGUUGAAUUGUGGCAUGUCUUGAUGUGCAAGUUUUGCGAGUAAGAUUAUAAUAUCUUAAGAAUAAAAAAAUUUUGUUUUGGUACAAUGAACUCAUCCCGGGGUUCGUGAAGAGUGCAAUUUAUUCGAGUAACAUGUCUAGUGGUAUUGCCGCACCCAAGACAUUGUGAAAGAUUGAAAAUCCAGAAUCAAACAGAAAUGCAAUUGUAAGCUUUUGAUGCUCAAUACAUAAUUAUUAAGUAUUAAGAUGAAUGUAUAGAGUAUCAAAUAAGCUUCAAGUUUGCAUACUCAGAAAGUAAGAAUUAAGAUAUCUCAAGUUGUAUUGUUUCCACAAUAUGGCUUGCCUUAAGUUGCUAGAAUUAAGAUUAAAAGGAAGCUCGUUUUUUGGAACAAAUUGGGAUAUCAACUUAUGAUUAUGGAGAUAUGCUUGUCUUUUCGAAUUUAAAUGUGCACAUAAGAAGAUAUUAAGAAAGAUUGCACACCUGGACCAUGUAUAGGCCAACUUCUUGUAAGAUUAAGUAAUUAUGAUUUUUGAGAUGGAAUGGUGUAUUGUAGUCACUGGGUUCAAUAGUUCUUAAUGGUCUAUUGUAAUCCUUUGAUUUUGUGUGCUCUUUUAUUUAAGAGAUAUUUUAUAAGGUACCUAAAUGUUGUACUUGUAGAGUUUAAGUUAUCUGUCCUGAGAUAGAAUGAUUCAAUAUAUAUGUUAAAAUUUUAGUGGUGGGUAUUAAGUGUUGUAAUGCUUCAUUUUAGUGUAUUGUUUUAUCGAAAUUGGAUACUUGUAAGUUGACGUCUCUCGAUCAAGGAGGAGAAUGUUAGGAUUGAUUUCGGGCUUAGUCAAAAGACUGACCGAGUCUGCUUAAUGGGCUAAGAGCCCACGUGCCCUGAUCGGGGACACCUCCCUAGUUAGCGGCUUAGUCACAGGUCCAACCCUUUAUAUAUAUAUAUAUAUAUAUAUAUAUAUAUAUAUAUAUAUAUAUAUAUAUAUAUAUAUAUAUAUAUAUAUAUAUAUAUAUAUAUAUAUAUAUAUAUAUAUAUAUAUAUAUAUAUAUAUAUAUUAUUCUUUAUUUGUCGCGAUAUAGUUUAAAAAUAAACUAGUGAAGAAUAAAUAUUCGUAAUAUUACCUCCCUAAGUAGCGAGACGAGAGUCUCCAUGCAUCUAGAAAAACUACCGAUCAACAUAAACAUGGGGAUGGAUGUGAAGACCUACGCCUGCUGUCGGCGUUCGUCUACACCUUCUCGCUGUGCCUAUUCCCCAAGCAGAGCGAUCUACAACGACGACUGCACCUCUACAGUACGUACGGUUGCUUUCGUAUCUCUUCCCCAUGCAAGCACGGGUCGUUGCUUUAGCCAAACAUAAAUCUCAUCAGAUCCAGAAGUUGCGAUUAAUGGUUAAGAGCAAGAUCCUGCAAGGGAUCUAACAUUUAACAAUACCUAGUAUGUAGCUAGUAGUGGUGCUCGAUAUGAAACAAAGCAUGGAAAUAUCGAAUAAGCAAGAGGCGGAGACUGGAGACCUGUAUGGCCAAUAUGAUGGAUGCUGGCUCAAUGCAUGGAACAAACAGCCUCCUCAGCUCCGGCGACGGCCUGAAGUCGUCCUCGAUGUCACCAACACUGAGGUCAGCAUGAGCGACCACAAAGAGUGCGCCCUCGCCGGUGCAGGUGAUCUCUACCCUGCCAUCGUUGUUGACGCCGAGGCGGCCAGCGAGGGGGUAGAAGGCCACCAAGGUCUUGGCCAUAGCCUCCUUGAGCCUGGCCACGUCGAAGAAACCAUCGGCGGCGGCAACAUCGCUGGGGCUG
rnacentral:lncRNA from 1 species